rnacentral:lncRNA from 1 species
AAGCAUCAGCAUUCAGCAGCACCAGCCUUCUACCUCCUCUGCUUUGCAUUCCGCCUUCCAGUUCCAAUUCCAACCGCAAUCAAUGGCUGCCAUGAAGAUCGCCCUCCUUGCCGUGGCCGCGAUGGCCGUCUUGCUAGGCACCGCGUCAGCGGUAACCUACAACGUCGGCGAUCAGGGCGGUUGGACCCUCAGCACCGACUACAGCAGCUGGGUGUCCGGCAAGAAGUUCAACGUGGGUGAUGAGAUCGUCUUCAAGUACUCGACCCCAACGCACGACGUGGUCGAGGUCAGCAAGGCCGGCUACGACUCCUGCAGCAUCGACGGCGCCAUCAACACCUUGGCCUCCGGCAACGACGUCAUCACCCUCAACGCCACCGGCACCCGGUACUUCAUCUGUGGCGUCCCUAACCAUUGCAGCCCCACCGCCGCCGCCAGCAUGAAGGUCGUGAUCAACGUCGCCUCGGGCUCCUCCUCGCCGUCGUCACCCAUGCCAGCUGCAGGUCCUGGCGCGAGCAACUCUCCCCCGGCGCCGCCCUCCAACGCCGCUACCUCCGUCGGUGCCACAGCAGGAUUUGGCCUCGUCGCCCUACUGGCGGCCGGUCUCAUGGCUUGAACGCAUAUAUUGAUCAGCUGCCGCGCGCACAUACGAGCUUUUAUAUUGUUAACUACUAUACUGUAGUUAUUAUCACGGGUGAAUACAUGUAUUCUUUUUUAGAGCGAGAAUGUGAUAGUUACUUGUAUCUAUCACGUCUAUAUGUAAUCUGCAGGCCUUCAUGUCUUUUUAUAUAAUGAUUCUAGACUAUUAUUUUAUAAGGGUGCGUCAGUGCAUGCGCAGCAGUACCAAUAGUCUUCUAACUAAAAAGAAAGAAUCAAUAGUCCUCUCAAUUUUAUCCAACCAUCGACCCAAAAUAAUAGGUACACCUUUAGAAGCGAGAACUCAAGUGCCAAUCUGCACACGAGCACAAAUGCUCUGGUUAAUUAUUGAGAAAAGUCCAUUUUUGGUCCCUCAAUUCUUCGGUCCGCUCAUUUUUGAUUCUUCAACUCUAAAACCGGACAGAUUGAACCAGCCAUUUUUCGUCCCUGCGAGGUUUCGCUGCCGAGUCAACUCGGUUUUGACCACGACGUGAACAGUGCUCUGUUGAACAGUAAAUUCAAAAAAAUAUAGCAAAACAAAAUUAAAAAAAUCUGAAAUUUUAUGACAUCGAAGAUACUCAGAUGCGCAAGGUGUGUGCCAAUUUUUGUCAUGUUUGGAAGUUCGAGAAGCUCGCCGCAAAAAAGCCAAAAGUAAAUCUACUCUAUGAUGAACAGUAAAUUAAAAAAAUAGCAAAAAAAUCUGAAUUUUUUUGGCAUCAAAGAUGCUCAGGUGCGCAAGGUGUGUGCAAAAUUUCGUGCUAAAAUGACAUCCGAGGAGCUCGUGGAAAAAAAUAAAAUAGCGUACGCGUGCAUGCCGCUUUGGGUGGUUUCCAAACCCUCGGAUGUCAUUUUAGCACGGAAAUUUGCAUGCACCUUGCCUACCUGAGCAUCUUCGAUGGAAAAAAAAUCAGAUUUUUUUGUUAUUUUUUUGAAUUUACUGUUCAACAUAGAGUAAAUUUACUUUUGUUUUUUGCCGCGAGCUUCUCGAACGUCCAAACAUGACGAAAAUUGGCACGCACCUUGUGCAUCUGAGUAUCUUCGAUGUCAUAAAAUUUCAGAUUUUUUGACUUUUUUGCUAUUUUUUCGAAUUUACUGUUGAUCGCAAAACUAUUCACGUCAUGGUCAAAACCGGGUUGACUCGGCAACGAAACCACGCAGGGAAGUAAAGUGGCUGGUUUUGAGAGUUCGUGGUGCAAUCUGUCCGGUUUUAGAGUUAAGGGACCAAAAGUGAGCAGACGGAAGAAUUGAGGGACCAAAAGUGGACUUUUCUCUUAAUUAUCUGACAUGAUUGUUCUCUCCAAGAUUCAGACUGUUUUCCGUCUUGCAGGAUGUACUGUAAGGGCACGUCCAACACGGUCCCCUAAAUCAAACUCACCCGUCCAUGAAUUCAUCCAGAUGCGCCGGUGGACACGAAUACAGGAGAAGGCCAUCCAACGCCGUGUCCCGAAACAUCCGUCCACAUUUCAAACAUGAAUUGGAUAAACCAAACAAAUUUCACAUACCCUCCCACGUUGGUCCCGUGGGCGACGGGCAGGGCGCUCCCGCCGCCGCCAACACCCUCCUUCUCCCUCCCUCAUCCCUCGCCGCCGCCAAAGGACGCGGUCGGGCAAAGCCUGGCCGGUGUCGGCAGUGACGGGGCGUUUUGCCUUUUGCGCAUGGCCUCCGCCACGGGGAGGCACCGCUAGGACGGGACACCGCGAUGGCGAGGGUUGCGAUGGUGCGGCGGCGGAUCCCCACGGUGGCGGUGCUCGGGACCGGCGGUGCACGGCGGGCUUCGAGGUGGCGGAUCGUGCAGGCGAGGGGGUGGCGGCAGAUCCUGAUUUGGCGUCCGUCUUCAGCCAGCUGCGCGGGAUGUGGGCAGCGCGGGCCAGUGUUCUCCACCGUGGUAGCGAUAGCAUCGGCGUGGUGGAGGCAACGGUGUGGUGGCGGUCCUAGUGCUCUUAUCGCAUCACGACAAUGAUUUGCAUGAUCUGUCCUCUUCGAUCUGGCUGUCGACGUGUUCCGGAACUGCUGCCGGAGAUCUAGCCCAAGGAUAUCUAAAUCGGAUAGAAUCCAGUUGUGCGCGUGCAUAUCAGCCUACAGGGCUCCAUGAGGGCACGAUACGAAUCUCUAUUGCUUGUUGACACCAUGGGACAUGUCGGUAUCUCGAAUUCCAUGGCGUAGACAGCGAUGUGGAUGGUCAUGGUAAUUGAGAUGGAGGAUCAGUAAGGCGGAGGGGGCCUUGGAUGCGGGAGUCAGCCAGGUGUUUGAUAACUCUUAGAAUCAGCAGUGACAAGUGGAGGCGGCAGGCAACACUGAAGGAUUUUAUUUUUGGUGGUGCUCCUCGGGUGACGGAUGACCUUCAGGGUGAAAACAUAAGUUCUAACCUUCAUUAGUUAUGCCUAGCAAUUGCAUUGCUAAUUGUAUAGUUUUGAGAGCUCGGACUUCCUCCAGGUGAAAACCUAAGAUCUUGGAUCGGGCGACGACGGUGCUUGUGCACUGUUUUCUUUUUGAAGGCGUCAAUUUUCGAGACCUUUUAUGUUUUCCAGGUAUUGUCUUUGGUGGUGGUUUAUGUUCUAGUGCUAAGAGGAGUUGAUCAUCGUCGCGAGGCCUUUGAAUUUUUUCCUUUCUUUUUUCUUUUCGGACCGUGUGCAUCCUGGGUGUCUUUAUGACAUCUUGUUGAUGCAGAGGCUGGGUGUAAUUGGUAUCUUCGCGAUAUUAAUAUAUUUCCUUUUUUGACAAAAACCAAAUUUAAUGCAAACCGGAUGAUUUACAUUUAAACCGGACUGAAUUCAUAAAAAGUUUGAAAUUUUCACUAAACGAAAGCGGACAUGCAUUUGUUUAACAUACCAAAAGCUAUCCUAGUCUAAAUUUUCACCAGCCAUGGGCACGGCCGCGUUGCACAUCAUGAUCUUUGCCGGACCUAGAUGGUUCCGUCUCCCAUGUCUUACUCUUCCCCCUCCGCGGUCCGCAGCCCGGCCAUGGACAUCUCCGAUCGUGGUGACGUGGAUGCACCAGGCUCUUGGCCAGUGUGGACCGGUGCGAAGGACGCGAAGCUGUUGACGUUGGAAACGUUCCCGCCUGCGAUCGCCUACGUCGUCUCUGCGUCCACCUUCGCCUUGAUCUCAUCGAAUAGGGUGUCGCACUCCACUGCCGUCACGCAUGGUCGCCACCACUCACAGCAGAUGUCGCGGGCGAUGUGCAUGGACUCAUACCGUGCCCGCCGCUCAUCCAUGAAGGUCGGGUUCUCCGCGACCAUGGUUGCGACGGCAUCCUCAUUCGCCUGCAUGCUGGUGAUCUGUCCCUCUGCGUGUCGGUGCUGCACGAGGAGCUAUAGGUUGUACCGCUGCUCCUCUUGCAGCACAUGGAGAUCGGCGGCGCAAACGGCUGUGGUUGUUCCUCCUCUGCCUUGAGUGAUGGAGUCAAAUCCAACAGAUCUCACGUACAGGGUCCCGAGCCGGUAGCCUUGGCAUGAUGGUAACAGGGGACACAAGAUUUACCCAGGUUUGGGCUCUCCUGAAAAGAUAAUACCCUACGUCCUACUUUGAUUCUAAUGAUUUGAAGGGAGUGAAGGAAAUACGCCCUAGAGGCAAUAAUAAAUUUGUUAUUUAUAUUUUCUUAUAUCAUGAUAAAUGUUUAUUAUUCAUGCUAGAAUUGUAUUAACCGAAAACUUGAUACAUGUGUGGAUACAUAGACAAAACACAGUGUCCCUAGUAAGCCUCUACUAGACUAGCUCGUUAAUCAAAGAUGGUUAAGUUUCCUAACCAUAGACAUGUGUUAUCAUUUGAUGAACGGGAUCACAUCAUUAGGAGAAUGAUGUGAUGGACAAGACCCAUCUGUUAGCUUAGCAUAAUGAUCGUUAAGUUUUAUUGCUAUUGCUUUCUUCAUGACUUAUACAUAUUCCUUUGACUAUGAGAUUAUCCAACUCCCAGAUACCGAAGGAAUACCUUGUGUGCUAUUAAACGUCACAACGUAACUGGGUGAUUAUUAAGAUGCUCUACAGGUAUCUCCGAAGGUGUUUGUUGGGUUGGCAUAGAUCGAGAUUAGGAUUUGUCACUCUGAGUAUCGGAGAGGUAUCUCUGGGACCUCUCGGUAAUGCACAUCAUGAUAAGCCUUGCAAGCAAUGUGACUAAUGAGUUAGUUGCGGGAUGAUGCAUUACGGAACGAGUAAAGAGACUUGCCGGUAACGAGAUUGAACUAGGUAUGAAGAUACCGACGAUCGUAUCUCAGGCAAGUAACAUACCGAUGACAAAGGGAAUUACGUAUGUUGUCAUUACGGUUUGACCGAUAAAGAUCUUCAUAGAAUAUGUAGGAACCAAUAUGAGCAUCCAGGUUCCUCUGUUGGUUAUUGACCGGAGAUGUGUCUCGGUCAUGUCUACAUAGUUCUGUAACCCAUAGGGUCCGCACGCUUAACGUUCGAUGAUGAUUUGUAUUAUGAGUUAUGUGAUUUGGUGACCGAAUGUUGUUUGGAGUCCUGGAUGAGAUCACGGACAUGAUGAGGAGUCUCGAAAUGGUCGAGAGGUAAAGAUUGAUAUAUUGGACGAUAGUAUUCGGACACCGUAAGUGUUUCGGAAUGNNNNNNNNNNNNNNNNNNNNNNNNNNNNNNNNNNNNNNNNNNNNNNNNNNNNNNNNNNNNNNNNNNNNNNNNNNNNNNNNNNNNNNNNNNNNNNNNNNNNNNNNNNNNNNNNNNNNNNNNNNNNNNNNNNNNNNNNNNNNNNNNNNNNNNNNNNNNNNNNNNNNNNNNNNNNNNNNNNNNNNNNNNNNNNNNNGGUUACCGGAACCCCCUGGGGAAAGAUAUGGGCCAUAGGAGGGAGGCAAGACAGCCCACAAGAGGUGCCCCCCAGGGAGGAUUCCUAAUUGGACAAGGGGAGGGGGCGGCGCCCCCUUUCCUUCUCCUCCUCUCUCUCCUUCCCCCUUUCCCCUUUCGGUAAAAGGAAAGGGGGGCCGAAUCCUACUAGGAGCCCAAGUGGGACUCCUCCCACUUGGGGCGUGCCUAGGGCCAGCCUCCUCCCCUCUCCCUCCUUUAUAUACGGAGGUGGGGCGCCUCUAAUACACAUCAAUUGUUCCAAUCCGUGUGCGGUGCCCCCUCCAUAGUUUACGCCUCCGGUCAUAUUCACGUAGUGCUUACGUGAAGCCCUGCGCGGAUCACUUCACCAUCACCGUCACCACACCGUCGUGCUGACGGAACUCUCCCUCGACACUUUGCUAGAUCAAGAGUUCGAGGGACGUCAUCAAGCUGAACGUGUGUAGAACUCGGAGGUGCCGUACGUUCGGUGCUUGAUCGGUUGAAUCAAGAAGACGUUCGACUACAUCAACCGCGUUUAGCUUCCGCUUCCGCUUUCGGUCUACGAGGGUACGUGGACACACUCUCCCCCUCUCGUUGCUAUGCAUCUCCUAGAUAGGUCUUGCAUGAGCGUAGAAUUUUGUUUGAAAUUGCAUGCUACGUUUUCCAACAGUGGCAUCCGAGCCAGGUCUAUGCAUAGAUGAUAUGCAUGAGUAGAACACAAAGAGUUGUGGGCGGAGAUAGUCAUACUGCUUACCACCAACGUCUUAUUUUGAUUCGGCAGUAUUGUUGGAUGAAGCGGCCCGGACCAACCUUACAUGACCACGUUCAUGAGACCGGUUCCACCGACAGACAUGCAACUUGUUUUGCAUAAAGGUGGCUGGCGGGUGUCUGUUUCUCCAACUUUAGUUGAAUCGAAUUUGACUACGGCCGGUCCUUGUUGAAGGUUAAAACAACAAACUUGACGAAACAUCGUUGUGGUUUUGAUGCGUAGGUAAGAACGGUUCUUACUAGAAGCCCGUAGCAGCCACGUAAAACUUGCAACAACAAAGUAGAGGACGUCUAACUUAUUUUUGCAGGGCAUGUUGUGAUGUGAUAUGGUCAAGACAUGAUGUGAUAUACGUUAUUGUAUGAGAUGAUCAUGUUUUGUAGAAGUUAUCGACAACUAGCAGGAGCCUUAUGGUUGUCUCUUUAUUGUAUGAAAUGCAAUCGCCAUGUAAUUACUUUACUUUAUCACUAUGCGUUAGCGAUAGUUGUAGAAGCAAUAGUUGGCGAGACGACAAUGACGCUACGAUGGAGAUCAAGGUGUCAAGCCGGUGACGAUGGAAAUCAUGACGGUGCUUUGGAGAUGAGAUCAAAGGCACAAGAUGAUGAUGGCCAUAUCAUGUCACAUAUUUUUGAUUGCAUGUGAUGUUUAUCUUUUGUGCAUCUUAUUUUGCUUAGUACGACGACAGCAUUAUAAGAUGAUCCCUCACUAAAAUUUCAAGGUAUAAAUGUUCUCCCUGAGUAUGCACCAUUGCGACAGUUCGUCGUCCCGAGACACCACGUGAUGAUCGGGUGUGAUAAGCUCUACGUUCACAUAGAACGGGUGCAAGACAGUUUUGCACGUGCGGAAUACUGAUACGUCUACAACGUAUCUAUAAUUUUUUAUUGUUCCAUGCUGUUUUAUUAUCAAUCUUGGAUGUUUUAUAAUCAUUUUAUAUCAUUUUUUGGUACUAACCUAUUGACAUAGUGCCAAGUGCCGGUUGCUGUUUUUUCCAUGUUUUUUACAUGGUAGGAAAUCAAUAUCAAACGGAGUCCAAAUGCCACGAAACUUCACGAUGAUUUUUUAUGAGCCAAAAGGAAGCAGAUGGGCCCUGGUUGCACCUGGGGGGAUUCCCGAGGAGGGGACAACCCACCAGGGCGCGCCAGGAGGCCCUGGCGCGCCCUGGUGGGUUGUGCCCACCUUGGGUGCCCCCCGGACCGCCUCCUUGCUCUAUAAAUACCCCAAAAAUACCAGAACCCUAGGGGAGUCGAUGAAAUAUUCAUCCAGCCGCCGCAGAGUCCAGAACCACCAGAUCCAAUAUAGACACCAUUACGGAUGGGUUCACCACUUCCAUUGGCUCUCUCCGAUGAUGCGUCAGUAGUUCUUUGUAGACCUUCAGGUCCGUAGUUAGUAGCUAGAUGGCUUUCUCUCUCUCGCUGAAUUCUCGAUACAAUGGUCUCUUGGAGAUCCAUAUGAUGCAACUCUUUUGCAGUGUGUUUGUUGGGAUCUGAUGAACUUCGAGUUUAUGAUCAGUUGUAUCUUUUUAUAUCCAUGAAUGUUAUUUGAGUUUAUUUGAUCUCUUAUAUGCAUGAUCUCUUAUAGCCUCAUAUUUCUUCUCCGAUAUUUGGGUUUUGUUUGGCCAACUUGAUCUUUUUAUCUUGCAAUGGGAAGAGGUGCCCGGUAGUGGGUUCGAUCUUACGGUGCUUGAUCCCAGUGACAGAAAGGGAACUGACACGUAUGUAUCGUUGCUACUAAGGAUAAAAAGAUGAGAUCUAUAUCUACCGCCAUAUAGAUAAACGGAUCUUGUCUACAUCAUGUCAUCGUUCUUAUUGCAUUACUCCAUUUUUCCAUGAACUGGAUAGUGGUCUAUGUGUGGAGUAAUAGUAGUAGAUGCAGGCAGGAGUCGGUCUACUAAUAUUGGAUGUGAUGCCUAUGUAAUGAUCAUUGCCUGGAUAUCGUCAUAAUUAUUUGAAGUUCUAUCAAUUGCCCAACAGUAAUUUGUUUACCCACCGUUUGCUAUUUUUCUCCAGAGAAGCCGGUAGUGAAACCUACGGCCCCGAGUCUUCUUUCUCAUAUAUUUGCCUUGCGAUAUACUUUUCCUUUGCAUUUUUAUUCAGAUCUAUUAAACCAAAAAAUACAAAAAAUACUUUGCUGCGUUAUUUGGCGUUCGAUCUAUCAAUCUACUACAAUUUACCUCACGCCCGCUUGCCUAUCUUGAGGCGCCGUACCCCGAAAGGGAUUGACAACCCCUUUAAUACGUCGGGUUGCGAGGUGUUGUUGUUUAUGUGCAAGUGCUGUUUACGUUGUGUUACUUGGUUUUCUCCUACUGGUUCGAUACCUUGGUUUCAUAACUGAGAGAAAUACCUACCGUCUGUCGGUGUACAAAAGUAGGGGCACACCUUUGUACCCCUUUACUUGUGCGCGGGCAGUCGGAGCCACGCGCCACAGCCACACUAAGUAGGGCAGAGGAGGGGAGCCGGAGAGAAGCCGAAGCCCAAGACAACCACGACAACGCCAAGACCAGAAACGCAAGACAACAAAGGGGUGGGGUGGAGUCCCCCGGCAAGGCCCUUGCCGGGGCAGGCCUCCACGGCCCCGGCAAGAACCUUGCCGGGGCAACUUGCCCAAACACCAGCAGAGCAAGCCACCCUUGAGCCCGCGGGUUCCAACCCGACUAACUACGGUUGGACAAGGGCUCGGGAGGCACCUCUGUGGCGGCAUGCAGAUCUUUGUCAAGACCACGGACGUAUGAGAUCAUAUUAGGACCAGAAGACGGUGACCCUCGGCGGAAUCCUUGCCGAGGAAAGCCACAAGACCCCCGGCAAGAUCCUUGCCGGGGACGACUGCGCGCCACGGCAAGACCCUUGCCGGGCCCCCGGCAAGGCCCUUGCCGAGGACAUCAGUGGGGCCACUGCCAGGCCCGCGCCAGCCAAAGUUUUCCACCGCCGUUCGCAUGCAGCUGCCAGCCCAACCAGCUGGGCUGGCACCUGCGUGGCAACAUGCUGCUUCCAGGCCAGAUCGGCAAGCACCUGCGUAGCAGCAUGCAGAUCUUCGUGAAGACCCUACCACCGCGCCACCUUAGCUGUCUGCCUGCUUACAUGGCGCCGCAUGCAUCGCUGGCCAGGGCGUGUGUCGAAGCGAGGAGGAGCGGCGACGGACGGGACGUGCCUCGCUCCUGUCCCCGAUAAAGCUAGGGGACACCUCAGCGGCGCAUUAAAUGCGUCUUGUCCUAUAAUAUGGGAGAUAAGCUCGCAGUACUGUAUGCCUUUCCACCUCCUGUGUGCCACUGUGGCAGCCCCUUUCAACUAUAAAAGGAGGCCCAUGGCGUACUGGAGAGGGAUUCGGCUCUUUUGGACCACGCAGCCACCAUAGCUAGUUCGAGAGCUCAAGAACUCUCCGAAAUACAGCCACCAAAGCAGGACUAGGGUAUUACGCAUCCUCGCGGCCCGAACCUGGGUAAACAAUCCUUGUGUUGACUGCUAAUCCUGCUCUUCUCACAACCCUGCACCCCGGCAACCAUAGUAGGGAUUCUUGUGAUCCCAUAGGUGUCAUUUCUCACCGACAUCUUUGGCGCGCCAGGUAGGGGGCGCAAUUGUGAGAAUCUAGUCUAGUAGUUAGCCUAGCGUUUCUUCAUCGCCAUGGCUCCCAAGAAGAAGACGGCCAAAAGGACAAUGAUACCUGCAAGCGCGAAGGGCGCCAGAGCGGCGACAAGAAAGCUAAGUCAUGCCGGACCUUUGAGUAUUUCCUUUUUUUAUAUAUAAGGUUAUCGUCCUCAGAGAUCCUGCCUAUGUAUGGAAAACCUGCACGCAAAGGGGCCCUCCCGCGAUUGGCAACGCCCUUGUCCUGUUUCGAGUCUGCUCAACAGCUCAAGCGGCCGCGUCAAGAGUGGCUGGGUAGCCUUCCGCACCUGGCAACGCUCUCGAUUCUGACUCGAGUUAAGCUCGACAGUUCAGGCGGCCGCGUUAGGGGCGGUGAGGUGGUUCGCCUGGCAGCAAGCACACCUGGCAGGCCAAUGGGGAUCCGUCCCCAAGACGCCGCCCUGGGUUUACGCGCCGGCAGGCCUACCCAGUUACGUAGGGUGGACAUACAAAGGAAAAUCGAACAGGAAAAUAACGUGCAUAAUAUCAAAGUACUGCAGAAGUUAUAUUACAUUGCAUGUUGCCGCAGUUCUAACUAAAGAUAAAAAUCGUCUUGGUUGUGAACUUGCAACAACGAAAAGAAACGGGGUGCCUAAUCCCGGCGCUGGCCCUCCACCCUCAGAAUUCCGCCGACACCGCUGAUGACGGGUUUGAUGCGCUCCCUGAGCGGCGCGAGGUCAGUAUCCUCCGACAAGCUCUCUAGCGCGGCGUCGAAGUCGAGGUCGGGGUACCAGUACGCCACCUUGGUGAGAACCUUGCUCAUAGCGCCCCGGCAAAGCCUCCGGGCCUCGUCGGCCAGCGAGGCCGCCCGGUUGGCGUGAAGCCGCUCCAAAGCACCGAUAGGAGGUAGGGGUAAAGUGAGCAGCGCGCCCGCGGUUAUUCCUUUUUACGGGGAAGGCGCAGGCCGCCUCCUUUUCCCAUUAACUGCGACGUGACGCAUGCGUGCGAAAACGCAUCACGCAUGACCCCCACAUCAUGCACGACCCUCCACGUCGCGCGCGGGUCGUGGGGAAGUGCAGCGGAUGAGUAGUUACUGCGGUAAAAUCCGCCCCGCCUGCCCGCGCACCGUUCUGGGCCUAGCCCAACAAUGUGUUGCGCUUAUGUGUGGCCUAGGCCCGGGGGCUCCUGUCGGUGUACAAAAGUAGGGGCACACCUUUGUACCCCUUUACUUGUGCGCGGGCAGUCGGAACCACGCGCCACAGCCACACUAAGCAGGGCAGAGGAGGGGAGCCGGAGAGAAGCCGAAGCCCAAGACAACCACCACAACGCCAAGACCAGAAACGCAAGACAGCAAAGGGGCGGGGUGGAGUCUCCCGGUAAGGCCCUUGCCGGGGCAGGCCGCCGCGGCCCCGGCAAGAACCUUGCUGGGGCAACUUGCCCAAACACUAGCAGAGCGAGCCACCCUUGAGCCCACGGGUUCCAACCCGACUAACUACGGUUUGACCAGGGCUCGGGAGGCACCUCUGUGGCGGCAUGCAGAUCUUUGUCAAGACCACGGACGUAUGAGAUCAGAUUAGGACCAGAAGACGGCGAUCCUCGGCGAAAUCCUUGCCGAGGAAAGCCACAAGACCCCCGGCAAGAUCCUUGCCGGGGACGACUGCGCGCCACGGCAAGCACUACAAAAAAAGACACAUCCGUGACAUUUUGGGCCGAACGAAAUUUUUUUCUGUCAUACAUAUGACACUUCUAUGACGAUAAUUGUGACAAAACCCGGUAUCAUCAUAGAUGUGGUGGGCUCCUACUUCUAUGACAAAAAAUCAUGACAGAAAAUGGGCUUUUCGUCCUGGGCGGGCUAGAGACGCAGCUGCAUGACAUUCUUUGGGCCGUCCAUGACAGAAAAAACCGUGGUAGAAGCGAGGGCGAGGAAAAUUUCGGGGAGUUCCCGGUUACGGUGGGAGGUCGGGGGCCGAGCGAUGCGCGUUUCUCUCGUACACGUACACGCGUGUGUGCGAGGCGCUGGCUCUAACUGAACCCGAGCGAGGCGUUGGUCUCUAACUGAACCCGAGCGAUUGCACUGCAGGCUAUGCGUUACUGAACCCGAGCGAUCGAUCGAUGGCUGUUAACUGAACCCGAUCGAGCGAUUCCUUCGCUACUGCUGCUAACUGAAGCCGAUCAAUGCUGCCUCUNNNNNNNNNNNNNNNNNNNNNNNNNNNNNNNNNNNNNNNNNNNNNNNNNNNNNNNNNNNNNNNNNNNNNNNNNNNNNNNNNNNNNNNNNNNNNNNNNNNNNNNNNNNNNNNNNNNNNNNNNNNNNNNNNNNNNNNNNNNNNNNNNNNNNNNNNNNNNNNNNNNNNNNNNNNNNNNNNNNNNNNNNNNNNNNNNNNNNNNNNNNNNNNNNNNNNNNNNNNNNNNNNNNNNNNNNNNNNNNNNNNNNNNNNNNNNNNNNNNNNNNNNNNNNNNNNNNNNNNNNNNNNNNNNNNNNNNNNNNNNNNNNNNNNNNNNNNNNNNNNNNNNNNNNNNNNNNNNNNNNNNNNNNNNNNNNNNNNNNNNNNNNNNNNNNNNNNNNNNNNNNNNNNNNNNNNNNNNNNNNNNNNNNNNNNNNNNNNNNNNNNNNNNNNNNNNNNNNNNNNNNNNNNNNNNNNNNNNNNNNNNNNNNNNNNNNNNNNNNNNNNNNNNNNNNNNNNNNNNNNNNNNNNNNNNNNNNNNNNNNNNNNNNNNNNNNNNNNNNNNNNNNNNNNNNNNNNNNNNNNNNNNNNNNNNNNNNNNNNNNNNNNNNNNNNNNNNNNNNNNNNNNNNNNNNNNNNNNNNNNNNNNNNNNNNNNNNNNNNNNNNNNNNNNNNNNNNNNNNNNNNNNNNNNNNNNNNNNNNNNNNNNNNNNNNNNNNNNNNNNNNNNNNNNNNNNNNNNNNNNNNNNNNNNGGGUCGACGGUGGAGAUGAACAGUGUCCCGUGGAGUCCUGUUUUGCGGUACGCCACACCCCUCCCGAUGAACAGGACCCCCGUUUCGACCGUAGCGCUCCAACACAAGUCCGUUUCCUCCGUUUUGCGGUACGCCACACCCCUCCCGAUCAACAGGACCCCCGUUUCGACCGUAGGAGGUCCGUUUCCUCCAUUUUGCGGUACGCCAGACCCCUCCCGAUGAUCAGGAUCCCGUUUCAAACGUGGCCGGUCGAACACAAGGCCGUUUCCUCCGUUCUGCGGUACGCCAGGCCUCGUUUCCAUCGGCUGUUCCGUCCAAGCCCUCCGGAUGAACACGACGACGCAUUCCGUUCCGACCCAGCCGGUUGGCUCCCCAUGAACACGACGACGACACUGUUUCUCCGUUCCGACCCAGCCAUGUACACGAGCCCUGGCCGUACGUAUGCGCGAGUAGGCGUUCGAGACCCUGCCCGUAUGUACGUACGUGGCCGUAUUUUCUUUCUUGCACACUGGCCGCUGUACGUACGUGUACAUGCUACGUGCGCGCCUCUACUACGACACGUGCGCGCCUCUACAUCGACCAGUAUGUACGUACACGUUCACGACCAGAAUGACAAUGCUACUUACGCUUCGACCAGGUGGGUCCCGACUGUCAGGCACUUCCUUGCCUGCGAAGAUGUAGCUGGUGGGUCCCAGCAGUCAGGGGGGCGAAUCUUUUUUUUCCCGGACGCACUUCCUUGCGUGCGAAGAUGUAGCUGGUGGGUCCCCGCAGUCAGGGGGAAACAUUUUUUUUGCGGAAUACGGUGGCCCGUUCGGUGGGUCCCUGCUGUUCGGUGGGUCCCCGCUGUCAGGUGGAGGAAUCAUUAUUUUCCGCGUAAUAAGGAGGCACUUCUUUGCUGCGGUUGUGGACCCAGCUAUCAGCCUCUCCACGUACAGUCCACAUCCGAUGGAAGUCGUUCCUUGACCACGUUGACCACGCCGCGCCGAGAGCACCAGGGCGGUGGACGACGGCGAGGCCUAGGAAGGGGACGACGGGGAGCCGGAAGACGCAGCAGUGGAAGCCCGCGCGGAGAGGAGUACGAGGGUUCACUGGUUCGGCUGCGGUGUGAGGCUGCCGUCGCCGCAGGGCCUGGCCAGCGGUGGGAAUAGUAGGGGGCGGUGAGGCCUCCGCGGCAGCACAGCCGGCCACGGGAGGCAGGAGCAUGCGGCACGACCGGCGCUGCUUUGGGCGGCUGGAGCAAGAAGACCAGAGGUUGAAGAAGCACUACGGCCGUUGGAUGGACAUCGUACGGUCACUGGAGCUAGAAUCGUUCAUAUUGACUAAAGUUGACAAAGGCCCCCGUCCCAGUCAACUUAGUAGACCCACAAGUCAGCCUCCCACCAUGGUGGGUCCCAGUUAGCAGGGGGAGUAUUCAUUUUUUUGUGCGUAAUAAGGAGGCACUUCCGGUGGGUCCGAGCUGACAGCGGGGGGAACGUUUUUUCGCGAAAUACGCCGGCCCGUCCGAUGGGUCCCAGCAGUCAGGGGGGAAACGUUUUUUUUCGCGAAAUAAGGUGGCCCGUCCGGUGGGUCCCUGCUGUCAGGUGGAGGAAUAAUUAUUUUGCGCGUAAUAAGGAGGCACUUCCUUGCGGCCGCCUGGACCCAGCUGUCAGCCUCUCCACUUACAUUUACUCUUCCGAUGGAAGUCGGUCGUUGACCACGUUGACUACGCCGCGCCGAGAGCACCAGGGCGGUGGUCUGGACGACGGCGAGGCCUAGGAAGGGGACGACGCGGAGCCGGGGAAAACGCAGCAGUGGAAGCCCGCGCGGAGAGGAGUACGAGGGUUCACUGGUUCGGCUGCGGUGUGAGGCUGCCGUCGCCGCAGAAUAACAGGGGGUGUGGGUGAGUAGAGGGAUGGCCUGGCCAGCGGUGGGAGUAGUACGGGGCGGUGAGGCCUCCACGGCAUCACAGCCGGCCACGGGAGGCAGGAGCACGCGACACGACCGGCGCUGCUUUGGGCGGCUGGAGCAAGAAGACCAGAGGUUGAAGAAGCACUACGGCCGUUGGAUGGACAUCGUACGAUCACUGCAGCUAGAAUCGUUUAUAUUGACUAAGUUUUUUUGAUUUUUAUAUUGACUAAGUUGACAAAGCCCUUGGUACGCGUCAACUUAGUAGGCCCACAGCUCGGAUUUGGCAGAGAACAUAUAGCCCAUUUGCGAUUUGUAAGAAUGUACAACCCAUUUUUUUAAUUCUAAUGGAAUUUACUACAGCCCAUUUACAGUUUGUUAAAAGUACAGCCCAACUUCUAGCUAGGACAACGAUUAAUAAUUUCAACAACCGCUCAAAACAGAAUUCAAAAAAAAAAUUCCAACAUUUUGAUGGGAUCUGAAAUAUUUUUAUCCGAAAUUUCUAGUCAGGUUAAAUAUAAUUUCAAAAUAAAGUUGUAUUACGUUAAAAUCCAACGAAAUAUUGCGCGCGCAACAAGUAAUGAAAUUAAAAUUUUCAAAUUCCAAAAAUAAUAUAUUUUUCAAACUAAUUACGUGUUUGGUGCAUAGUAACUGUCCAGUUAUUAUAAUUACAUCCCAUUUAUUAUUUCUUAAAGUCCAUUUUCUUGUUAAGCCUAAUGCAUACCUCCUAGGAAAGUUUGCAGCCCAGCGGGACGGAGAAUAACAAGUUGACCUGGAUAUUGUGUACAACUGUCGGCCCAGUUGCAUUGCUGAUGUUGAAGAAAAAGGCCUGUGUAGUACAGUACAACCUAACAUGGUUACUCAGCCCACAUUCAGCGACGCCGGAAAGGCCCAAACAAGGCUUCUGUACAACUUUUUGAAGUCACUGAGCUCAAUUAAUAACUUAAGAAAAAAGUUAGAUUACAGUGGAACCUAAUUAAAAGCUGUCAUGAGCAAAUAAAUAAUUCAACGGGUCCCACUUGUGCGUGUGCGUGUGUGUGUGCGUGUGUGUGUGUGUGUGAGAGAGAGAGAGAGAGAGAGAUAGAGAGAGAGAGACCCAUCGGUCGAUGCUCGUAAAUACAUCUUUUAGCCAUAUGCAUUGCUGAUGCUCAGCAAAAACUUAUAUAGUUGACACAAUCAUAUAGAACAUCAUAGCACACUGAACUUGCAUACAAAAAUUUCACGCAGGCGGCACAAUCAGGAUGGAAGCAGUGGAUCGCUACGGGAAGGGCUAUGUUGAAACCAACGAAGUCAUACAUAACGGUUCAUCGUCUUUAUCAAUGACGGGGAAAUAUCUUGAAUGUUGUGCAAAGAAAACAGACAGACAACACAAUAAGUUCUGCUAGCACAUUAAGUUGACGUACAACCCUUUCUAAAAAAAGUUCAGGCACAAAAUUAGAACAGGUCACUAUCAAAUGUACUGGCAUAUCAGUGCUUCACACCCAUAGCUCGGAUUUAACUAGUAUCUGACAAGAUUCAGUUGUUACCUCAAAUUACAGCACAUCCAGGCAGCCAGCCUUGCCUCUUCUCCCAAAGAAGGAGUGGCCUCCGCCGCGCGAUGGAGUAGGCCCUGUGCCAUCCAUCAUUCCGAGCAACACGGGGAAAGUCUGACGUUGACUCCUGUAAUGGACGUCGUCGACGGACCCUGGCACCAGCGGCGGCGGCAGGAGUUCGAUUGAUGGAUUGACCACUUCUUCGACAUGCACGAACACUCGAUACAGGUACAUCCCUAACGUGGUCCGCGGCGGCCUUGGUGGCGACGAAUAGUACAACCCCGGUUCCUGCUCCGGUUCUCAACACCAAUCACCUUCGGUAUGGUGGACGGCUUCUUCAUCCAUGCCAUAACCGUCAGAGCCCAGCUGUCUGGAGGAACAAACAUACUUACGAGCUCACCUCCAAGGUCGUUGAUAAGCUCGUUCAUGGACUCGCUAUUCCAAGCACGUCGAGGCAUGCCGUGGAAGGUAAGCUUUGUUAACAACUCAAGCUCAGAGGGCACCGAGCCCCAUCCUGGGUGCCACCGAUCAAAGCUCACCAGCGCGCCAUCGCAGAACAAACACCGGGAAGAUUCGAACACAUGACUGCAGUCGAAAGUUGUCCGAAACCUGACGAAGAAAUCAGCCGGUGGCGGACAGACUUCGAUGAGCAAGUCACUUAUUUGGAUGCCGUGCGCAAUGCCAAGAGCUUUGACAAGGUCGUCCGGCGAGACGGGAGGCCGGUCGCCGUUGAUGGUUACCAUCAGCACUUUGCCGGCAAACUGGUCGUCAAGCGCCGCCAUGCCAUUGUUGAGCAAUAGCACGCAGCGACCGAAGGCAGGACGGACCUCAGGAUCUCCGGCUCAGAGAUCCGCGUUGACCGGCGACAUGAUAGUGCGCUUGAGUACAGGGAGUACAUGAGGGGGAUUUGGGGGAACUGGAGUAGGAAUCGAGAUUCCAGAGGUGGGGGAGGGGCGGGAGACUGGGGAUGAAAAGGUAGCAUGAAUUUCGAGCACGCGCAAAUAUGCUCUCGGCGCGCAAGCGCACAUAAACACCGGUGGCGCCCACAUGUCGGCAUAAGAGUCCUUAUUCUUUCUUUUUUGGAGAGCCCGGCCUCUUUUUUUUUCCAGGAUCUUUUGAGAGCCCGACCUGAGAGCCAUAAUUGACCUGUUUUGCAUUGCGUUACUACUCGGCCCAUAUUCAACGACACCUCACUGGCCCAAACAAGUGUACAUCAUCGAAAAGACACUGAGCUCAAAUUAUAUAACUUGAAAAAAGGAGAUAUACUCUGAACACUGGAGAAUGGUGAUGCCCUCAUUUAGCCCACCAGUAGUUCGAGACAAUAAACAAUUCGAAACAACGAUAUAUACAACAUUCAAACUCUGACUAGUGACUACUACUGACAUAAACAGCAAGACAUGAUAGUUCAUAAGAAGUCUUGCUACACCACCAAAACACACCCAUCUGCAGUGCUCAGACUCUCGUGAUCCAGACGAGAAUGACAUUCUAAACAGAAGCAACUAUUACAUAGUAAGAGUGACAUAGACGGGGAUGACCAAAUGACAAGGAAUAUGCAUAACAAAAGAAAGAACUACCCAUCCAGAACCAGCAGCAAAGACAACAAAGUCAUUCGAAGAGAUGAUCCAACACCACCAUAAUUUGCAGCCCCGAUUCAGCGACCAGUGAUCCGGAGACACCAGUACUCCACCCUUUCAAUGCAACAGCCCAAUUACCUAUCAACCUGAAGGCUUGAACCACAUCACUGCCUGUCGUAAUUGAGACAUCCAAGGAUCAAAUUUAAUCCGGAUGCCUUUGUCAUUCUCACCUUCUUUUGGCUGCAGGCUGUAUCGUUGACAAUCAGGGGAGUUUGCUCCCGAACUCCUAGGGCUCGCCGUGUAGACACAGUUUUCCAUAGCAAACAGAGCCUCUCUGCCAUCAAGGUCCUUGCCAACGGUGAUCUCCUGGUUAAUCGGAUAACUGAGUCCGAGAAACAGAGAGUGUGAACCAAGGCUGUUUACCCGCCUCCAACUAAAAAAUCCUAAAGGCCCCAACAAGCUGGUAUCCUGCUCAUAGACGUAACAACCAUUGUCCGGAUACUCACGUAUUACACGGUGCUUGUAUACAGUGGGGUUUUUGCAAUAUAACUUUUUCGACUCAUGUGUCCGAAUGAUCAUCAGUCUUUUGCCGUCGUCUGAUCGAGCGAGGAACAAGUUGUGCUUCCCUGUUUUUGGCAAAGGUGGUGUGAUUACAAAGGGCAGUAACUGUAGGGACACUGCAUCAUAUCAAAAAGGACAGGCAUUGUUAAUGUAAGAUCAGCAUUGUUCAGAGUAUGAGUAGGAUAAUGCAAGAAACAACAUUGAUAUGUCCUUGUUGGAACUGGGAGGAAAAUACAGGGAAAUGUAUACUUGGUUCGAAAAUAUAGAAGUGCCAUGCAUGGUUAUACCCAUGUUAUCUCGCAAUCGAAUCUUCACAGGAAACUACCAUGUCAUGCAUGUUAUGUACUCCCUCUGUUCCCAAAUAUUUGUCUUUCUAGGCAUUUCAAAUAGACACAACAUACGGAUGUAUGUAGACAUAUUUUAGAGUGUAGAUUCACUCAUUUUGCUCCGUAUGUAGUUACUUGUUAAAAUCUCUAGAAAGACAAAUAUUUGGGAACGGAGGGAGUAAUCAUGUUCUGUCCUCACAAACAAAUUCUUCAAGGUAACUAACAGACCAUGCAUUGUUAUAUACUCGUGUUCUAUGGGCAAAAUUUUUGUGAGGAUAUUAUUCUAGCCAUUGAUUGCUGAAGGGUGAAUAUAGGUAUGUACACAUGGUAAGCGUUGCAGGAUUUCACUACUUCCAAAUAUAGAGUUCUUCAUAUGCACAUUUACUUCCCUAAUGUAUGGUUAGAUGAAACCAACAGUGUGGUGCAUGUUUCUACAUCAUGAAAAUGAGGAAACUAACAUGGCCAUUGAUACACACUCAUAUUUAGUAGUAGUAUAUAGAUUACUGUAAAAUAAGGAUAAUAUCCAUAUAUUCCUAACCGUUUGAUUAUUCAGGGUACAAAUUGGCUGUAAUGACAUGGUCACAAUCGCAUGAAUUAACUCAUUCCAAAUAUAGCUGAUUUACGGCGUCUCUAAUACAUUGCCAUAGUUCUACUCAAAUUCUGCUCAAACAGGGAUAUGCCAAUCAUCACAAAAAGUUCAAACAGUGUCAUGGCGUCAUCAUUAACAUGAGACGGAAACAACUUACACGCGUCGUCCCAGCAAUACGUGGUGCCAUCUGCUUUGUCGAUCGCGUAGAUGAUGCCAUUGUGUUCAAUAGCAUCACAGAAGUGUGUAUCAGCUUUGACGAUGAUCCACUGCGAGCAGAGUUGUCUCCAGCUAAAGAAGGCACUGGCGUAAAGAUAGGCGAGUCGGCGGUCGAACAAGGCAAUUAGCUUGAAGUCUGCGUAAUUCACAUGUCGUGUGGGCACUUGGCAGAUUACAAUCUUCUGCAAAACAAGAUCCGUCCAACUGACGUAGUAAUCUAGAUGACUUGGACCGCGAUGGUAAUACUCUAUAUAAUCCAACGGAGGAAGGAUAAUCUCAUGGGAGGUCUGGAAGUUCACGAGCACCAACUUUUUACCGUCUUCUCUGAAGGCAGCCAUCCAGUGGAAGUUCAUGCCAACCCAGUACAUACCUGCCAAGAAGUUUCGGGCGAUGGUGAUCGGAUCGAUGUUGAGGGAAAUGAUGUACGGCGACCCACUACAUACCUGCAAAGAAGUUUCGGCUAAUGGAGAUCGGAUUGAAGUCGAGGGGCAUCAUGCACGCCUCCGUAUCAUGGUGAGCCAAUCUCGCAAGACCAGAUAGCAGCAAGCAGGGUGUCUUGAAAAGCUUAGGCCUCGCUUCGACGAUGGCCGUGUGCAUGUCCCUCGAGCAUGCAGCCAGCUGCAGGGCGCUCAACAUAUCCAUACACGAACAACAGAGGUCAAGGAUGUCACUGGGGACAUUGCUCCAAUUGCGGCUCAUAUGGAUGCUGCGCUGUUCGCGUUCGGCCAUGGUGGAGUUUGGAAGGGGGCUUGAUUUACGGGGGAGAAGGAUGUCGGUGCUGGAGCGGCUAGCGAGGGAAUAGUGGUACUGGGGGAGGCGAGUGAGGCGACGGUACACGGGGGCACAGUGAGAUGGAGACGGAGACGGAGAAGGAGAUGGAGAUGGAGUGGUGCUAUGGGAGUGGAGAGGGAGACGAGGCGAGGCGCCAAUGUGCUGUACAGCGGCGGUGACAGACUGCACAGUGCACAGGGUGAGGCUGACUUUGGUAACCCGAACACGCCGCCUGGACUAGUGUCAGGCGCAGGGUGUUGUCACUUCACUGUGAGGACCAGAUGAAUAGUAUUUUGACCAUCAAGUGUACCACAGUUGUACUACUACUACUACUACUACUACUACUACUACUACUAGUAGUAGUAGUAGUAGUAGUAGGAACAUGAGUACUCCAAUAUUGUAUAGCGGAAAUAGGUCUCCCAUGCUAGCAUGCCUGUUCACUUCAUCGUUCAGGUAUUAUCCAUAUUGCGAGCAGAACCAAAUUCUCGUGCAUGCCCAAUCAACGCCCUGCCGCGAUGCAUGCAGUGGUCGUUCUGGUGCAUCAAGGACGGCAUGCAGAUCGUUCCACACUUGAGAAGAGGAAAAAUGGAAUGGUAGAACGCGGCAGCAGAGGAAGAGAACGCUGGCUAACGAGGCUGGGAGGGGAUCGAGCAGGAAGUUAAUGCUCCACGCCUAAAGGUUUUGGGAAAACCUGAUUUUCGUAAGGUGACUUAUACUCACCUAAACGGAGGGAGUAUUCCUUAACCAGAGAAUGUUGUGUCUCCCACUCACGCGCUCAAAAAAAAACUACGACACAUUUUUUUAUCUGUUUGAAUAGGUCCCACCUAUCAGGAAGGAUGGGCACGUACACGAACAUGUACGACUCAUCAGUCUACCCGCAUAGCCUUUUCGUUUAGUCUACCUAGCCGUCUAAUCAACUGCCUGCACACCACUUCUCCCAUUUACUUCUCCAUCGCGAACCGAUUCUCCUCGGCUUCUUCACCUCCCCUUCGUCUUCAUUUGCAUCCAAACCCCACUGCGUUCACAUUGUUUUAACCUCUUUAAAUAAUCAUCUACUACUUCAGUUAGACUAGCCAUCUAAUCCUAAUUCUCCAAACCAUAGCCCUCCGUUCCAGCAGUUCCAAAUGGCGAAAGAGAUCGAGAUGCAGGUUUUUAGCGUCCAACAUGUCCUCGUCGAAGGCUCGAUGCGCAUAGUUGCCACCGUCACCGUCCAUCCAAGGGUUGUUCGGCAGUGGAUCAACAAUGUAUCCAACUCCCUCGAAAAGGUAGAGAUGAGGGUCAAAGGUCUCGACGCAAAGUACACGGAGCGUGCCCCUGGGAAGAUCCAGCGCACCGCCGUCCUUCAGCUGUGCCUCGAAGAUGAUGUUUUGGUGUACCACAUCAUACACUCGCCCUCCAUACCAGGUGAGCUUCACGAUUUCUUGUCUUGGGAGGACGUAUACUUCUGUGGGGCAGCCAUCGAAGGGGACAAACAGAAGCUGGAGCCGUACAACCUUGAUUUGAAAAGCAUCACUGACCUACAAACCAGAAUCAAAAUUCCUGUAGAAGAUUGUGAUAAACAGACACCAUCCCUAUUCGACAUAGCAAAUUUUGUGCUCGGUACAAAUCUUCAGAAGGGUGACGAGACGGUGGCAUUAAGGUCGUCUGGAUGGGAGAAUUAUCCCUUGUCGUACGAGCGGAUAAAAUAUGCUGCCCUCGAUGCCCGUGUGAGUUUCGAGAUAGCUGCAAGGUCCAAAGAGCUUGUUGCGAAGCCGUCUCCCACAGAGAAUGAGAACAAGAAGAAGAAGAAGAAGAAGAAGAAGAAGAAGAAAAGGCUGCACCAGCGGGAGGGCAUUAUGGAUGGAUGAACUAUUUCCUCUCUUGUAAAAUAAAUUAUUCCCUCUCGGUGUAUAUUGAUAUAGAUGGACUAUUUCGAUAGUGUGCAUGUCUUUGGAACAGAGUAGUAGCGUGGGUCUGCUUGACUAUAAGGAACUAUUUAUCCUCAUAUAUAGCUUUCUCUGCUACUCCUUCCAGUGAUCGGUAUGCAGUGCAUGUGUCCGUAGACAUGACAGCUUGUCCAUGGAAGUUCAACUACGGCGACCAUCACGUUUCAUCUCGCGAUUCCCACGACGCCUCUCCAACCCACGGCACCACGCCCCCCGACGUGCGCCUCACCCCUCUCGGCCGCACCGCCCCUCUGCCUUUGUGUGCAUGACAUGUGGGCCACCUAAAAUGCGGCGAGCAUCAAGUUUCUACCACAGCCACCCGCGAUUCCCAUGACGGCGCUCGAACCCAUGAAACCACACGUCCCCCGACCUGCGGCUCACCCCUCUUGGCCCCACUGCCCCUCUGCCUACGGGAGCAUUACAUGUGGACCAGUCACCUAUCGGGUCCACAUGUUAUUGACUCAAAGGUAGGUGUAGUAAGGCGCUGAAGCUCAGUCCCGACGGCCCUGAGAGGGAAAUGUAACUCCUGCGCCAGGGCUUGUGGUGCUCCCGCAGCAUGAACUCGUGCCAAACUCGAGAUUUGUUUCUUUACUAUACAUGCACACAACGAUUUAAUGGACACUGUAAUCUCAACAUGUGAUGGGGAGCUCUAAAUUUGAAUUUGAAACUUAUAAAACGAAAAGAUUCAAAACAAAUAAACUGGGAGAGAGGGAGUAUAUCGUAGGAUGUGUCCCAUACAAAAUAAGUCCCCUGGUUUGUCACCGCGAAGAUGCGGUUAGAAAGGAGCACAACGUCUUCCUACUUGUACGGCAACAAAUCGGCCGCAGACAGCAUGGUCCGCCUUUGACCGCCAUGUGCAAGGUUCAUGCUAUCUUAUUCAAUCUCACCGUGGUUCCAUCGUACCAAUUCAUGCGGUGGCCCGUUGCAUGGCUGAUCCCAAUGUUGGACAAAGGUUCUACGGGAACGGUGUCACCGUUGUAAAUGUUGUGCAAAUUGAUGUUGGUACCCUCCCGUACAUAUGCAAGCCAAUCUCCACUCGCACCGAGCCUAACCUAUGAAACAGUGGGCAGGGGGAGAAUUAGGAAAUGGACACGGAAGUAGUCUUUAGAAUGCAUUUACUACGUGAUCAAACUCAUCUUACCUGCUCAUCGGAGGAAAUCCGAGUGCCCCUCAACGUCGGCAUCUCAAGGGGCGUCAACUUGCAACUACGGCCACGCCGCGCUGGAGAGACCCCCAAGGAAACAUCCUCGUGCGUUCCACGAAACAUCAAGAUGCAUUUGUAUGAGUAGUUUAUCUUGUGAGAGAAAAGGAUGAACGAGGGAAGGCCUCUAGAGAUAGAGAUGGACACUACUACUACCAAUGUGCUGGCCCGUGCGUUGCAAUGGAUCCAAAGUAGUAGAAUAAUACUUGUUCACGUGCUUGAAAUAUAAACACUCUAGUUUUGAUAUACAUGUGUCAGCAGACAUGACAGCUUGUCCAUGGAAGUUGAACCACGGCAACCAUCACGUUUCUUGUUUCUACCACUGCCACACCCACACGCGAUUCCCACGACGCCGCUCCAACCCACGGCACGACGUCCCCCGACGUGGACAUGGAUCCUCUGACGUGGCUAUCACUGCCUUGCCCUGCCUUUCCUUCGCUGACAGGUGGGACCCACGCUUAUGGGUCCCACAUGUCAUUGACAGAAUGGUAGGAUUGUUCGCGUCAGGGGAUCCUCAUCCCCCCGACGUGCCCCUCAUCCCUCUCGGCCCCAUCGCUCCUCUGCCUUUGUGUGCAUGACAUGCGGGCCAGCUGAACUGCGGCGACCAUCAACUUUCUACCGCAGACACACCCGAUUGGACGCGGUUUGCCUCCUCCGCUGCUGUGCUCCGAUCCGUACUCCCGCACCAUCGAAUUUUCAUCUAGCGGCUCUGACACAUUUCGUCCCGGUCAUCAAUCCUCAGCUGGAGUACUUAUGUACUAUAGGUAGUACCCGCCGGUGUGGCCAUCUACGCCUCGUAACGCCCCGACGCCCAGCUGUGGCACCCUCGCCACGACCACGCCACCACCGGCCGGUUCAUCUCGAACGAAUGAGUCGCGAACCACGCCACCACCAUGAGAAUGACAUGUGGGCCAGCCGCAUUGAAGGUCCGCAUGUCAUUGACUCAUAGGCCGGGCACUAAGCCACUGAAGUUUGGUCCCGUGGGCCCCGAGAGGGAAAUGUAAAUCCUGCGGCAGGCCUGGUGGUGCUCCCGCAGUACGAGCUCGUGCCAAAACUGGAAUUUGUUUCUUACUACUACCAACUAGAACUAGUAAGGUACACGUGCAUUGCACGCAUGAGAUUCUGGUGGUUUGUGCAUUAUGCUUCUACAUGUGGAGCUUUCUGGAUUCUAACAUGUGGCAAAAUCUGGUGGAAUGUAAGGUUAGGCAAGUUUGAUUAACUUAGGUGAGUGUUUGGUUCAAGCCACACCUUAGGCAAGCCACACUAAGGCCCCACAUGCGAUACACACAAAAAAUGUGGCAAGAUUCCCUUAGGCUUGCCAACUUGUGGCUCUCAUUUUGAAGAACUAAUAACUUUGCCUAAGCUUAGUUGUGGCAAAGUUAGUCAUGAAUUAAGUUCAACCAUGGAGUCUUCUAGAUUAUACAUGUGGCAGAAUCUGGUGGAUGAUAUCCAACGGCCAGUAGUGCUCGGAUUUGCCAUCUUUGUACCGUCGGAUUGGCUUCAUCCAACGACCAACUUUCAAAGUUUUUCACACACUAUAUAGGGGGUAUAGAUAUAGAUGUGCCGGUCCAUUGCAAUGGAUCCAAAGUAUAUCUAUUUAGUGGAGUGCACUCUAAACACAUUAUCUAUUUAUUUUUCUCUAACCUUCCGUAGCCAAGCAACCAAGCCACAUAAGCUUCAUGGGUGCCCCCCACAUCAUAUUAUUCAUACUACGUUGAUUGAAAAAAAGAUAAAUCACCCAAAACAAGAUCUUCCCGUUUUUUGUUCCUACGAUGUUGUGCCGUGCAUGUACCUACUAGUUGUAUAGUGGUAGUACUAGUAAUAUAGUAUUAGGAGUACAAAGUUGGUACUAGUAGGAGUAGUACUAGUACGGAAUGCUCCUACUCUAUCAACGAGCCCCGUCUAACACCAAAUCUCUUGGCUUCCGUGCUACAGCUAGAUCUUCCCCUCGUUUCUGUUUUCCAACCCGGCGGCGGGCGGGGUGUCGGUUUGCUCAACGGAGGUCCCACAUGAAAGUGAAAAUGCUAGGCAACACGCCUUCCCUAAGCUAUGUGUCGUGCCGGACGGGCCAUGUUGUACUCCCGAUUCCCGGGCGUGUGGGGGUGCGACGCGAACGCGGCAUGCCUUUUCCUUUUACCAGCAAUGUGCCCGUGCGUUGCGACGGAUCCAAAGUAGUAGAAUAGUAGUAUUUGUUCACAAACUUGAAAGAAAUCACUAUUGUUUUGAUAUACUCCUAAUAUAUUACUCCCUCCGUACCUAAAUAUUUGUCUUUUUUGAGAUUUCAAAUGGACUAUCACAUACGGAUUAUAUAGACAUAUUCUAGUGUUUCUAGCAAGAUGCCCGCGCGUUGCACGAAGUUGAUGGAAAAGGUAAGCACAACUUAUAAAUUGACGGAUGGAGUACUAGUUACAGUGAUCCAUAUAAUUAAGCAAAGGGAUCACACAUGUCGGUAUUGACUGGAACGAGAAUGCAACAGCACAAUAAGAAUUAAGGGCACGAUGAUGCGAUCGCAGUGGUGGUUACAGAAGGCAAGAAGAAAGAUGGAUCCACGAACGUACGACCUCCUCCUCCUCAACUUAGUGCGCCGGGCCAUCGACCGGCGGCUAAGGAGCGGCGGCUUUUGUGGCGAGGUCGAGGUGCUUCUCAGCAAAGGCAUCUAAGGCUUCCAGCCGGUUGAGGAAGGCCAACGUCGUAGCGUCCUCACUGGCCUUGUAGAUACCUAUGUACACGAUUUGCUCGUACACGUGGAUGUGUAGGAAGACGAAUUCUUGCAGGGCGAGGCGCCUCACGGCGAGCGCGACCUCCCGGUGGACAUUCUUCGUGGCGUCGGCGGGCAGUCGCAGGGCCACCAGUGCUUGAAAGAGGUUCCGGCCAUGGAGGCCGAUUAGGGUGGCAGGCAAUCAGGAGCCCGGGCGCCCGGGCUGGAGGAGUACGGCGAUGUCAUCCGCGAGCUUCUUGAGGACGGUGAACUUGUUGCUGGUGGCAACGAUCAUCUGGUCCAACUGAGAGUCGUAGUUGGCGUCGACGGCGGCCAUCCACCAGCCGGUCUCCAACACCGUCUGGAGACGAUCCUCGGCGCCAUGCCGCAGGCCGGCAUCGUGGACCAUCUGGCGCAGCCGCUGGCCGCUCACGCGCAUCGCCGCCAUGGGUCUGGAGUGAGCUCUUUUGCGCUUAGUGUAGGUGCUUAGGCAAAUGCUUAGGUGCGUCGAUGUGGUAGAUGCAUUGGAAUGGAGGGGCGCCUUUAUAUGAGGGCAAUGAGGGCAAACGGCGUUGCAUUCACAUCGUGCAGCCUCUUUUCCCGGACCUCCUCCCAUUACUUCCCUCAUGCAUUAAUUGAAGGAGGAUGCAUUGGUCGUUCAACAUAUCGGGAACCGCUACUCCCUCCCUCGUCUGCAUUAAAGCCGUAUCGGGAACUGCGCCGCCCGCUGUCAAAUCGAAUACUCCCUCCGUCUAGGUGAGUAUUAAGUCAUCUUACGAACCAAAUAGUAAACACAUAGGCGUGGUGCAUUAACUCUCAUGUUGUUUCUUAUUUUUCGACAUAAAUAGAGGAAUCAACCAAGAAGAGAUGUGGGGCUUGUAUGCUUUUAAUGACUUGAGACUAUCAAACAUGACAUGCAGUGGUCAGUUCGUUGCACAAGAACAAAUACAACCCACGUCAGCACACACGCAUCUUAUAUAGCAUCGCAUCCAAUGGCUAUAAAAGAUGAAUGAGACCAAAUUAUAUCUCAUCUAGAUGAGUUCUAGCAAAACUGUAUUAAUAAUACUUAGUACUCCUGCGCCAUGUAUCAUAUAUUAGUAUCAUGUAGUACUUUAUUUAUUGCCAUGUAUGACACAUAGUACUCAACUCCCUCUCUUUCUUCAUUUAAUUCUAUGACACCUCAUCAAAAUUGCUAAGCCUAGUACCAUUACAACCAGCUUUAGCAAAUACUAAACAUUAGUUCUCUCGUUUUCCUCUCCACCUUGGUCACCUAGACAGAGGGAGUAUACGGCGCGGGUUUUUCCUGCGCGGUAGGCGGGGCAGUUACGCCUAGUCGGUUCGACAGAGAUGCGAGAAGACGAGGGAGUAGGAUGCUGCAAACGUAGGGCUAUGUGAUUUGACAGCGAGUUACUGCUGGACAGGUGGGGCCCCGUGAUUUGACUUGCCAUUAUCAUUUUAACUGCGGCGCUACAACCGGCGUGAGUCUCCCGAUUCCUGACCACCUCCAUACAGGUGCCUCUCCCAAUGCUCCACCAUGUAGUAGAGGCUGGCUCUUGCAUGAGAGCCCACUUCUCCACUUUUUCCUUGCCUCUCUUUCCUCCACAUAUGCAAAAAUGCCAUGUAAAGCGCACUAUUGUACUUACUUGCUCCUACAGGUGCUUAAGCUUGCCACAUAGGCAUAAAGUCUGAUGUGGCAAGUUAAUCAAGAAGAGAGAGACUAGUUUGGUGACCCAAGCAAGAAACGGUGCUAAGCACGUGUACCUAGGUGAAAAGACAAUUUUGAGUCUAUAGCUAAUUAAAUGAAGCAAACUUAGCAACACCAUUUCAUUGGAAGAGGUCACUCCUUGGCAAUGCAAUAAAUACUAGUACUCCCUGUGUCCCAUAAUAUAAGAACGUUUUUGGCACUACACUAGUGUCAAAAACGUUCUUAUAUUAUGGGAGGGAGGGAGUACGAAGAAAGAGAUAGAGAGAAGUAAAAAAAUAAAUACACUUAUAGCCAACCUUAUAGCCAAAACCUUGUUGUAGUAUGAGUGACUAAGUGAUGACUAUGUAUGACAUGCCAACAUCAGAUAGCCUAACGCAUCGUGUUAAAUCUCCAAGGGCGCGAUCGCACGAGCGACGCGACGGUCGUGGUAGGCGCGACCACGAUACGGGCUGCUGGCAGCCCUUGGAUCUGAGAUCAAACAGUCACAUGCUAAGUUGCUGAAAAUUUGCAGAAUAACCCUCCAGGAUAGGAUAUUCACCCAUAGGUCUAGAAUCAUGCCAUGCAACCGUUCGAUCUCAGAUCCAAGGGCUCUCGGAAGCCCGUAUCAUGGGAGAAUGGAAAGCCACUACCCUGCCGUUCGCACGCUGGCAGUUCGCUCCUACUCGUCCCCGCACAUCCUUCAAUACUACGGCGGUUUGCUCCUAGUCGUCCUGUCCAUUCACAUUAUGGCAGCUCCACUAAUCCUAACCCUCCUCCCAAAUCCAUGGCGUCCCAAAUCUCCCCGAUCGGUGGUGAGUACAAGGUUAGAACCAUCACCGGCGAUGAGUUCGACGUCAUCUACACCCGUUCUUCCGCGACGGUGAAAGGAUGCCUUUCUCGCUUCAGACGCAUGUUCGAAGACUUAGAUGAUGAGUGGGUCGCUGGGCUAGAUGUUGAGUACACCGCAGUCCUGGGACGAGAGAAGGAUCUAAAGGACGAAGAGAGGAAGAAGCCCGCCGUGAUCUAGGUUUGCGUGCAUGACUUAUGCUUGGUCUACCACAUAUGCCAUGCCGACGUUGAGUGCCAGGAUUUUAAGGACUUCCUCGAGAGCAACCUAGUCAAAUUCGUUACUGUAGACUUUGGUAAUGACAAAGAAGUCCUGCGUCGGAUAGGCCUCGUUGUAGGCAACACCUUCGACCUCCAGAAGAAUUGGCUGGUGUCCUCUCGUCAGCCUUCAAUGCUGACCCCGGCAGGAGCCAUGGUUCAUCCUUCGUACGAUAAACUGGAGAAACCUCCAUACACGUUUCAUCGUCAUGCAUGGCAGCGGAAUGUACUAGAUAUAGACCACAUCCACUACGCUGCAAUGGAUGGCUACCUUUGCUUCAAUAUCUACAAGGGUUGGAUGAAGAGCAACAGCCAAGUGUGCGGUUCAAGCAAAGAAGUAUCGGCCAAGAGAAAGAGGGACAAGGACGAAGUCGAGGACGUGGACGAGGACUCCGAGUAAGGUGGCAGUGUCGUUGCUCAUGGUGUUUCUAAUGCAGUGUCUACCGGAAUAGUUGCAAAGUUUAAUUCCAGGUGUGCUUAAUUUAAUUUGAGGGGUGUGUUGUGCUGAGCCCCCAGCAGAACUAUGUUAUGUUUCUUCUUGGUACUUUAUCUCUUCAGUACGUACAUACUAGUAUUUCUUACAUUUCAUCUUUUAGUUGGUAUAGUAGUACCACUCGUUUCUUCACAUUAUAUACAUACAAUAUAUAUGGCCAACAUCAUAUAGCCAGCAGUUUAGUUGUCAAAGAAUUUCAGGGUGCUUAGUUUUGUCAAAGAAUUCCAGGGUGCUUAGUUUUAUUUGAGGGGCGGGUUGUGCACUUGUGCUGGACACCAUUAUUGUGACAAGCCUUUUUAAUAGUACUAUAUGCAUAAUUUGGCGACGAGCGCUCUCUAUAUGUACCACAUUUUUUUUAAUUUCAAGUUUUGCUCCAUGGCGCAAUCCAUCGAUACUACUACUGUACAAAAGUGGAGUAUAUACCUUUUUAAAAGGCUAGAGGGCCGGGCAGUCUAGCUCGGUCGGUUUCAUGAGAGGUGAGGGCCUUUGUGAUUUGCCAGCUCAUUACUGCUGUCAAAUCGAAUAGUAUUGCGCCGCCCGCUGCACGCCCGGCGCCUCCAUUAAACCCCUCCGUUAAACCCGCAUGCAAACCGAGAAUCCUAGUCCUGCCACACGUCCGUUCAUGAGCGGGCCGGAAUUAAACGCAACACUGGCCGAGCUCCUCCCGUCCGCCCUCAGUUUAAACGAGGCCAGAUGCCGGCCAAGCUCCUACCGUCCGCCCUCUAUUUACACGAGGCCAGACAGACAGCGGGCAAGAAUCGCACCCCUCUGCCGCUCCCCCAUCUCCUCCUUCACCAUUUUCUCCACUCUUCCGAUGGCUUCCGAUGAGCCAUUCUCCGGCAUAUUACCCGGCUGGGUGGCCCGCCGAGCCCUCCGGAUACGGGCAAGGCCGCUCGGUGCUUCACCAACCUCGCUUGGCCCGAUGGAGCCAGUUGCCGCCCCAAGCAGGCGCGUGGUUCAGCAACUCGCCGCUCCAGUUCAGCUCGAUGAGGAGUGGCGAGUUGCUCCACGCUGGCACGGCGGCUAGCACGCCGGUACGGGCGCCGUCGCUGCCGCGUCGUACCGCGCCACCAGUGUCUGCGGUGGCCGCGCCUCCCGUGUCUGUGGGCGCGCCUCCCGUGCCUGCGGCAGCGCCAUGCAGGUAGAGACAGAUGCCGGGUCCGUGGAGAGCGACGAGUCGGUGGCCAGCUUCUCCGUGUCCGCCGCCAUCAUCGAGGAGAAGUAGAACACGGGAGGCCGCCUCCACUUGGGACCCAUGAAGGCCACCGCCGAGGCGACGACCGCGAAUUCAGGUGGUUUCUUUGCUGCUUCGUCUCUUUCGAGGACCUUCGUCGACACCGCAAGUGUCUGACAGACAUGAGGAAGACAAAGGGAUCUGCGGGCGGCCAUUUAGAACUAAAAUAAGUCUAGAUACAUCCAUUUCUAGGACAAGUAUUUCCGGACGGAGGGAGUAUUAAUUAUACAAGAGAGCCGGAUUGGACCUCUUAGUUCAUGUAAAUGUAAUGAAAUCCAUCAUGUUUAUAUGAAGAUCCGGCUUUUUUAUACAAAAUCCUUCAUGCUUAUAUGAAAUCAGUCCGUGUUUGCAUGAAUUUCAUCUGGUUGGUUAGAGUUGUAAAAAUGUAUGCCGCUGGCGUUUGAUGUCGUGCUCCGCUUAAGGAAGCGGGAGGAAAUUUGCCGGCUGUCGUUGGAGAUGCUCUUUAUGCUGGAAAUAAUAGAGUGACAUCCAAUCCAUUUGAGUUAAUUGCCUGUAUGAUUGUCCCUCUAUAAAAAGUUAAUUGCAUGUACAGUGUACACGUGACUUGCAGGGUGGCUACAGCUUCGUACAGAAAGUUAAAAAGAAACAAGUCCAUCCUUAAUCUUGUAUUCUAAGUACUCUGUGGGUUCCACUGUCAGUACAGUAGCGAAAGAAGUAUAUAUUAAAUAAGUAGAGUAAUAUAUAAUAUAAAAAUAUAAUGUUAAAAGACAGAAUUCGAACUCAUGUCAUCGCGUUGCGAGCAUCCGGCGCUAACCAGCCCAGCACAUUUUUGUUGUAGACCAUGCUGGAGAUAUAUCUCCAUGUCUACUCUUAUAUAUACUCCAUUCGUUCCUAAAUAUUUGUCUUUUUCAGAUUUCAAAUGGACUACCACAUACGGAUGUGUAUGUAGACAUAUUUUAGAGUGUAGAUUCACUCAUUUUGCUCCGUAUGUCUUUUCAGGAAGGGGUCAGAUUUGUCCUUGAUUUAUUUAUGAGGUAUCCAGAUGGCAUUGCACCGCCAAGAAAAGAGGGUAACAUCAAAAUUAUGGACUACUUUUUUUAGUAUGUUGGUAAGGUCCGGUCAUAGUCACUUGUUGAAAUCUCUAAAAAGACAAAUACUCCCUCUGCCCGGAAAUACUUGUCAUCAAAAUGGAUAAAAGGAAAUGUAUCUAGACGUAUUUUAGUUUUAGAUACAUCUCUUUUUAUCCAUUUUGAUGACAAGUAUUUUCGGACGGAGGGAGUAUAAAACAGAGUUGGUGAUGAUGGUGUGCAUCCAUCCUGCAAUAUAGGCCGUCGGAUUUAUAUCUAACAGAUAGAAAAGAAACUAUGGCAAUUUUGCAAAAAUAUACCCACACGUCUCUCCACGUUCGCAAAUAAGGCCUUCCCUCGUUCAACCUUUUCUCUCACAAGAUAAACUACUCAUACAAAUGCAUCUUGAUGUUCCGUGCAACGCACGGGCAGCUAGCUAAUUUCUUUUAAAAUAGUUGCUGCGAUAAUUGGGUUGAAGUGAUAUAUUUUAUGUCUGCCCCGAAUGAUUUCAGAUUCACUAGUAGUAACAAAGAAAAGGUUGCCUUGUUAAUUAAUAGAAAACAGGGCGAAAACUAUCACAUGAGGCCGGUAAAAACAAGGCACACUGGGUUCAGCAUCAUCGUCACUACAGCUGUGCGCGCGCGAGAAGUCUACAUAUCGAGGGGGCUACCGAGCGAGGCACCGAGACACAAUGUUUGAGAGAGAAACCAAUUGACAGAUUAUGAUCAGAUCGAGUUGUCACCCUUCNNNNNNNNNNNNNNNNNNNNNNNNNNNNNNNNNNNNNNNNNNNNNNNNNNNNNNNNNNNNNNNNNNNNNNNNNNNNNNNNNNNNNNNNNNNNNNNNNNNNNNNNNNNNNNNNNNNNNNNNNNNNNNNNNNNNNNNNNNNNNNNNNNNNNNNNNNNNNNNNNNNNNNNNNNNNNNNNNNNNNNNNNNNNNNNNNNNNNNNNNNNNNNNNNNNNNNNNNNNNNNNNNNNNNNNNNNNNNNNNNNNNNNNNNNNNNNNNNNNNNNNNNNNNNNNNNNNNNNNNNNNNNNNNNNNNNNNNNNNNNNNNNNNNNNNNNNNNNNNNNNNNNNNNNNNNNNNNNNNNNNNNNNNNNNNNNNNNNNNNNNNNNNNNNNNNNNNNNNGUGUGUGUGUGUGUGUGUGUGUGUGUGUUUGAAAGAGGAGUAGAUAGAUUAUGAUCAAGAUCGAUGUGCCACCCUACUCCUUCGGUGCCGGGUAGUGUGUGUGUGUAUGUUUGAGAGAGAAGCAAGUCGAUAGAUUAGUAUCAAGAUCGAGGUGUCACCCUACUCCUUCGGUGUUGGGAAGUAUGGGUGUGUGGGGGGGCAGUGACACUCACAUAUCUCUACUCUUAUAAAAAACAGAGUUGAUGAUGAUAGUGUUCCUGCCAUCCUGCAAUAUAGGCCAUCAGAUUUAUAUUCGACGGACAGGAAGGAAACUAUGGCAAUUUUGCAAAAACAUACCCACACCCCUCUCCGCAUUUGCAAAUAAGGCAUUCCCUCGUUCAUCCUUUUCUCCUACAAGAUAAACUUCUCAUACAAAUGCAUCUUGAUGUUCCGUGCAACGCAUGGGCAUCUUGCUAGUAGGGAGAAGGAGUUUGUGUGACACAUAUCUAGCUAUAUUAAGGGAUAGGUAGAUAGCAUAUGUGUGAGAGACAUUAUUAUACUUUGAGACAUUAGUGGCUGUGGGUGGGCGGAAUUAAAGGGGUGGGCGUGUUAGACAUAGAGAGCGUGUGUGUUUCUGUGUGAGAGACUUGUAGGACGGGGUAGAAAGACGAAUUUAACGCUGACGGAGGGAGAGAAACAAACGAAGUGCACGUGUGUGAUUCCGAUGCCCACAGGGAAAUGAGAUAUAUAUGCGUGUGAGAGAGAUUGCACAAUUCAUUCACGUAUCAAUAUCUAGCGAUCGUGGACGUGCAUCGCUUGCAUAAGUCAAUAUCUACUUCGUAUCGUGGCCAAAGUUACAAUAUCGAUUCAAUGCUAUAAAGAUUGGACACUCACAUAUCACAUUUUUUUCUAUUUAAAUAAACCUUUUCAGUUGUGCAUGCCAAAGUUACAGUGAUGUUUCUUCAAACAACCAAUGUAGCUAUCAUGUAUAUGCACCAUUGUUACUCUUGCAUUCAAAUUCAUUAGUCUUGGAUGAUUUAAGUUUCUAUUUUGAAGUAAUAUAUGUAAUAUUCAUAUAUGAAUUCAACGGGUACGCAAUUUAUGAAAUGGAGGCUAUGCAAUCAUAUGAGGUAACACUUUUAAGUAGCUGACUACAAUAUCCAUUUCUUUUUCUGCGCCUCUACACUAACACGUCAAUGCAUUAUGUUUAAAGUAAAUAACCAAUGGCACUAAAUUAUCUAUUUACACGAGAAAUACAUAGGCUGAGCAUUUGAUCCCUUUUUUUGUGAACGCGCCACUACACCCGUACGAUUGGCCAUGCCCGUGUGAACGUCCAAGUUAUCGGCGCAUCAUCCCGAGUUAUUGUCUUUUUUUUCUGGGGUGGACUUCACACCAGUUAUUAACUGCUGACGCGUGCCCCGUGUACACAGUCUAGCAUGACCUUCCCGCUAGCACGGUCCAAAAUUAGUUGAAACUGGAUACGAACGAUCCCGCGGACGGCAAAAUCUCCCGCCUCCUUCUAAAAUUUCCGCCACCUUAGUCUUUAGCAUGUGAAAUCCCCCUUUUGUCCUUGGUGCAUGGAGACCAACAGUUACAAUGCCACCCUCAUCUACAUGAUAGGUCGGGGCUGCAAUGGUAACUUCCGGUUCCCCCACUACACGGCACCCCCAUUUCCUCUCCCCCUCCCGCAAAAAUGACUAACUCCACAGCACCAGAGCAUCUUACAUCACACCGUCCGUACUUCAUCGCCCUUUCUCCCUCCCCUCUCGAAACCCUAGACUGCUCAUCCAUCGGCGUACCAUAGCCCAUUCAGUGCCAGCGGCGUCCACCUCGCCGGAUCUGCUUCUGCGGCCGCAUCUACCCCUCCCACCUCCCCUAGAAACAAGUAGACUGCUCAUCCACCACUGUACCAUAGCCCAUUCAGUGCCGGCCUUGUCCACGGCGCCGGAUCUGCUUCACCGAUACUCUCGUCAAUCGCCGGGCAUCUGCAGCGGCUCAUUCAUACUCCCCACCGGAGACGCUUCGUCCACACCCCCCGGAGCCGCCCCACCGACGCCCCCGUCGACGGCCUCUGAUCCUCUUCGCUGACACCUUCCUCAACCCUACCGGAGCCGCUUCGCCGACACCUUCCUCAACCCUACCGGAGCCGCUUCGCCGACACCAUCGUCAACCCUACCGGAGUAGCUUCACCUAAACCAUUCUCAACCCUACCGGGGCCGCUUUGCCAACUCACAAGUCCACAGCCUCAGAUCCGCUUCCUCGCACCCUCAUCCAACCUACCGGAGCAGCUUCUGACGCCCCGACGGCCGCAGAUCCGCAUCAUCGACACCACCCUUAACCCAACCACCGGAGCAGCUUCUGAUGCCCCGUCCACGGCCGCAGAUCCGCAUCGUCGACACCAUCCUUAACCCAACCAUCGGAGCAGCUUUUGACGCCCCGUCCACGGCCGCAGAUCCGCAUUGUCGACACCAUCCUUAACCCAACCACCGGAGCAGCUUCUGAUGCCCCGUCCACGGCCGCAGAUCCACGUCGUCGACACCAUCCUUAACCCAACCACCGGAGCAGCUUCACCUACGCCCUCAUCCACGGCCACAGAUCCGCUUCGCCCACACCGUAGUCCACCCUACCGGAGCCGCUCCACAAACACCCUACUCAACGGUUCUAGAUCUCCUUAUCGGACCCCGACAGCCAGCGCAGCGUCAUCACCCUCGACGUUUCUAACCUGAUUCCCACCGUCUGGAGAGAUGCCAAGCACCCGCCACGGCCUAGGUACUUGUCACCUUUAAACCCGUCCAGCAUCACCUGCCCGAUGUACUUCAAAUAUACUAACUGGUCGCUGUUACCUGUUAUGCAGCUGGCACAAACUACAAGGACGAUGUUUCUUCUGGAUCUAACAGCUUGGCCAACCAAGAUCCUGGACUGAGGCAUUGCUAUGAUCUUGUAAGAGCGUCUCUCUCUCUUGUAUUGUUCUGUGCCUGCCAGCGUGCUUUGCUAGGAUUUUCGACCAGUAAUCCCUUUUGCAGACAAUGAUUUCCACUACUGGCUGCUAAAUUAGAUAUGUAGAUGUCAUACAUGAUACUACCUCGUACCUUCGUUCCUAAAUAUAAGUCUUUCUAGAGAUUCCACUAUAGGCUACAUACGGAGCAAAAUGAGUGAAUCUACACUCGAAAAUGCAUCUAUAUACAUGUAUAUGUGGUCCAUACUGGAAUCUCUACAAAGACAUAUAUUUAGGAACAGGGGCAGUACAUUACACAAAAUCGUAGGUGGCAUGUAGGAAUUCCAGUGCACUACAUUAGGCUCCCUUAGAGUGCCUGCUACUCCAGCAUACAGAGUCAUGGCUAGUUUAUGGUACGCACACAAUCGUUAAUUGGUGGUUUAAAUAUGCGCAAGGGAUAUGCAAUGUAGUAUCAUGUAGAGAUGUCUGAAAUUAGCCGUGUCAACUUGCAGAUAGGGUUACACAAUGAAAAAGUACAAGAUGUAUGUGGCAAUUUCAUGGAACAUCGCAAAAAAAGGAGAGGCAGCGGUGAGCCUAUACAGUGUGCUAUGGUACGUCACUCCUCCAUUGCAAUCAUCGUGACAUGUUAUUUGUAUGCCAGUUCUAUUAGCCAAGUUUCUCAGGGACAGUUAUUACGAGUUAUCCUAAGAAAAUAAGCACCUGUGAAUAUAAGCUCCAUGUAAUAAGCCAACCAGUUCUUUUCUUUGCGUUUUCAGCUUAUCUUUGGUAUGAUCAGUGGAAAGUCUAGAUUGCAUUAUAUUUUUUUCAUUUUGCUGCCCAUAUGGAAAUUAAUUUGACUUGCAAACAUCACAAAUUGAACCCAGUGCAGUAAUUAAUAUGAUAGGAAAACAGACCAUCACUAUUUGCUCAAAAUGCAAAUACAAAGAUACCAUCUACUUGGCACAAUCUACUUUGGUCAAUGUUUUCCACAGAGAUCCCAUUGCCUAAUUUAAACGAAGAACGCAUGACCCACAUUUAAAUGAAGAACAAUUAUUUAUUGAAAUUUGAUGGUCCAAGUGGCUGGUUAUUAUUGUAUAGCAGCACCACCUGAAAGCAUCAUAUAGCAGCAGCAACAGCUCAGAGCAACUCAUCAUACAACAACAGCAGUCUGCAAUUCAUCAUAUACCAGCAGCAACUCAUAGCAAUUCAUCAUAUAGCAGCAACAGGAGCAGCUCAUGGCAAUUCAUCAUAUAGCAGCAGCAGGAGCAGCUCAUAGCAAUUCAUCAUAUAGCAGCAGCAGGAGCAGCUUGUAGCAACUCAUCAUACAGCAGCAGCAGCUCAUAGCAAUUCAUCAUAUAGCAGCAGCAGCUCAUAGCAACUCAUCAUACAGCAGCAGCAGCUCAUAGCAAUUCAUCAUAUAGUAGCAGCAGGAGCAGCUCAUAGCAAUGCAUCAUAUAGCAGCAGCAGAAGCAGCUCAUAGCAAUUCGUCGUAUAGUGGAUCAGAAUGAAAAUUUGGCAAAAAAUCAGAGGAGAUCCUCACCUUGUUGGAUGAGCUCAUCCUUCAACAGCACCUCAAGGCCAUGGCUUGGGAGGAGGGGAGGGGGAAUAAGGUGCCUUCUGCCGCAGUGUGGCAUCAGUCGUAGUUGUGCAGCGCCCGCCGGAGUAGUGCGUUGGACGAACCAUAGUGGAGCAGCUGCUGGAGACCAUGAGAAUGAGGGGUGGCGCCAGAGGGAGGAGCAGCCAGGGAGAUUUGCCCCUACCCGCCGGCCAUGUAGCCUAGCUGGACAUAGCAUCGUCGAGGACCAGGCCAGAUGGGACCAGUGGCGACGGCUCGCAGGAGGAACCCUAGUGCUACAGGCAGGGGAUCGAGGUAGAGGGAAAGGGGAGAGGAGAUGCAAGCGGGCAGGGCAAUGAAUGCUUGCGUGUUUGUUUUUACUUGAGGGUCAGGUGUGACACGGGCGUCAGCAGUUGCAUUUUGAGUGUAAUAUAGGCAGACAACAGAGUCAAUUCACUAUUCCCCUUCCCUUCAAUUUUUAGUGAGGUUCUACCCGAAACACCCCCCUCCAAAGCGAAAUUAGUUAAGCCCAAGCCCAUAACUCAAAAAUGAGUUCUUUACAUCUUUUAUGGCUUAUUUUGACAACAUGCCCUGAAAAGGCGGAAUCAAACUGGCCCUUAACCUGCAAUUCAAUUGUGCGUGCAAUGAUGAAUCACUCCUGCCUGCUAUCUGUACAUUUAGGCAUCAUCAUACAUGGCAUAACCUAAUACAUGUGCAUUCCAUUGUAGAAUCUGGAAUAUGCAAUGUUUAUGUUAGUUCAUACGUUGCACAUGAUGUUUAAAUGCCCCUUAAAUCUGGUCAGUCAAGUGAUGGUCUUUAAGCCUCCUUCUUUGCUUCUUUUCUUGAUAUGUAAGAUUUGCUCACACAUCUGUUCAAUUGCUUGUUUGCAUCAGCCAUCCAUACUAGGACUGUUUGCUUUGAUUACUUGUUGUUCUUGACCUAACACUCUAACAGAGCUUGUCAACGAUUUAAACACUAAGGGCUGCUGUAGUGGGGCCUUGUCUAACUCAUAGGUGACAUAAAGGUUCGGCUGUACACUACAGUAGGCUCUCCAAGAGUACCUGGAGAUCCAGUUCGAAGGUAUGCCUAGUUUUUACAUAGUGCAGUCAUAGUAAAUGCUCAUUUCAUUGUGUGCAAGUGCAAGAGAUGCGACAUGUUUCAUUAUGUGGUGUUGUUUUGUUAUAAUCUCAUCCUUUUGUGUUCACAGACUUGAAAGUAUGCAUAUUUAUCUUCCAAGGAGACGAGUAACUAGUUUGUGUCACCUUGCAGAGGGGGUGCAAUGAAGAUAAGAUUGAGGAUUUCCAAGUACAAGAUGUUAGGAAGGAGCCUUGCAAGAGAAGUAGGAGCUGUGCUGAGCCUCUUCAACCUGCUAAGGUAAGUCACUCUAUACAACUCAACAGUUCAAUUCCUUGUUUGUUUCAGGCAUAUUUAAUUUUCUCUUUUCAAUUGCUUUAUUUGUCCUCAGUUAAUGAGAUGCCCAAAUAAUCAUGUCUGAUGUUCGGUACUUGUAUCACUAUUAGUUGACAUAAUUAAAGGCCUUACCAUUUAAUUACUCUGCCGAAGUGUGCCUGAAGCUUUGAAGUCUAUUAACCAACUAUUAUUGCAUGAGGCUCACAAUCUAGUUUAUACUACGCUAAUGAUUGCAUAGUUUUGCCUGCUGUAGUAUGUUUGUAUGAAACCCUCUCCUGUUCAUUAUGCUUCCUAAGACUUUAAUUGAGGCACAGAAUGGCCAACUGCUUGCUUACUUAUACGCAACGUGCUGUCUAAAUUUGUAACUUGUCUGUGUUUUCGAUUGGGCCCCAACAUCAUGCUCCUCUGGUGAGCUAAGAGGGAUUUCUAUAUGCAGGCUGCACAGACUAUCUUUUUUAUAAUUUUUAAAAUAUCACCUGCUUAUGCUUCAUGACGUGUAACAUUUUUUUUGAAAGUGACGUGUAACAUUAUUGUUAGUCCUGUUUUGCCAUGUAGUACAAAAUAGUGUCUUGUUCGCUUCACUGUUGUAACUAUAUUUUUGCCCUAGUCAUGUGUACUUACAGAAACAUUUCAGGAUGAAGUGACAUCAACACAAAGAUCUGCGAGCAGUGCGGCAUGGCCGUUACCGAAUGAUUAUGGAUUGGAAUUGGAAUGUGCUGAUGUUCUCGAGCAUCAACUAGAGGUGGUAAGACAACAUGUACAUGAUUGUCAACGUAUAAUCAACAAGUUGAGACUGGACAUGCAGGUAUUAGAUGCAGGAGUCAAAAAAUGAAACAAGACACUGAGGUAACCAUGAAGGAAUUGGAGAUUUUGCAGACUGAAAUUUGUGCUAUCUAAAUCCGGCCAAUCCUAUUUUCUGAAGAGAUUAUAGUUCAAAUGGAGUUAAGUUGAUGCGCGUCCAUGAUGUAUGAGCUGUAUUUGCCCAGUGUAUGUAAUUUGCUGUUUGUGUAUGCUUUAUUAUCACCUGUGCCGAACCAUAAUGCCCAGUGGGUAUAAUCGGCUGUAAUUUCUUUAUUGUAUAAUGUAGGAUUAUUCUACCUUUCUAUGCCUUGAUCUCUUUGUUGUAUAGUAUUGAGUAGGAUAAUUCUUUGAAUAUGCUAUAUCGUUCAAACGGGGGCCAACUCGCCCGACCAUGGCCCUUCACAGGCCGUCGGAUCCAUGGGCCUUCUACGUCUCGUAGGAUCCAUGGGCCUUCUACAUCUCGUAGGAUCCAUGGGCCUUCUACGUCUCGUAGGAUCCAUGGGCCUUGUACGUCUCGUAGGAUUCAUGGGCCUUGUACGUCUCGUAGGAUCCAUGGGCCGCCGACUCAUUUAUGGGUCUUGUACGGGCCUUUAAUGGGCCGUAGACGGGCCUUUAAUGGAAAUCGUACGUUUUAUGGGCUGACCAUAACGGGCCGUUAAUAUGCCGUAUUUGGUGAUGCUAUGAAAAUGGCCCAACAGACUAACGGUCCACAAACGGGCCGACUGUAAUGACAGGCUGAAUUUGGCCCACAAGCAGAAAAUGACAGUAACGGGCCGUAAGUAACCAAAUGCUGCAAAUGAGCCCAAGAAUAAAUCGGCCCUCAGAAGGCCAAAAGUUAACUUGGGCUGGAAACGGCCCAACGGAAUAAUGGGCCGUUAAUGGGUAUAAAGUGAUACACUGUUCAUUACGGGCCAGUUUCACCACGGGCCGUUAAUGGGUGUAAAGUAAUACACUGUUCAUUACGGGCCAGUUCCAGCACGGGCCGCUAAUGGGCCAAGAGUUACAAAGGGCCUCAUAUGGGCCGAAAGACGUCAUGGGCUAUACAUGGGCCAGAAGUGAAAACGGGCUGGAAUCAUAUUGGAUGGCCCAAAUGACGCUACUGGGCCUAAUUCGGAUAGGGUGUAACGUCCCUUGGGUUAGCGGGCUGUAAAUGGGCUAUAUGCGAACAGGCCGUUCACAGGCUGGCCGUGGGCCGGCCCGCCACCUUUUGACCAAGUAAAACGGGCCGGCCUUUUCACAAGAAUGGGCCACUGUUGGGCCGUGCCACGUGUCGACGUAUCAUAGGCGCCUUCUGUCCAGUGAGUGGAUGACAUCUGUCCCAACGGUGAGCCGACACGUGUUUCCUCCAGCCAAUGAUGAUUUUACACGUGGAAAAUCCCCAUUGGUCGGGGCUGUUAACGGGUUAUCAGAUCCAAAACCGGACCCGAUAGCUUAACGGCGUUCCGUUACGACGGAUGCCACGUGUCGGUCACCCUUGACGAAAGCACUUCUGUGACGCGCGAUUUAUCGUCAUGGAAGUGGACACUUCCGUGAUGAUAAUUUUGGUAAUGUCAUGGAACACUUCUACGACAGCGCAGGUAUGACUAUCUUGAUUCUGUCAUAAAUUUUUCAUGGAUGUAUAUGCAUGACAAAAAACGCGACCUACUAUGACAAACACGUAUCAUCACGGAAGUGUAUUUUUUUGUAGUGAAGACCCUUGCCGAGCCCCCGGCAAGACCCUUGCCGAGCCACUGCCAGGCCCGCGCCAGCCAAAGUUAUCCACCAUCGUUCGCAUGCAGCUGCCAGAACAACCAGCUGGGCUGGCACCUGCGUGGCAACAUGCUGCUUCCAGGCCAGAUCGGCAAGCACCUGUGUGGCGGCAUGCAGGUCUUCGUGAAGACCCUACCACCGCGCCACCUCAUCUGCCUACCUGCUUACAUGGCGCCGCACGCAUCGCUGGCCAGGGCGUGUGUCGAAGCGAGGAGGAGCAGCGACGGACGGGAUGGGCCUCGCUCCCGUCCCUGAUAAAGCUUGGGGACACCUCAGCGGCGCAUUAAAUGCGUCUUGUCCUAUAAUACAUGUGAUAAGCUCGCAGUACUGUAUGCCUUUCCACCUCCUGUGUGCCACUGUGGUAGCCCCUUUCAACUAUAAAAGGAGGCCCAUGGCGUACUGGAGAGGGAUUCGGCUCUUUUGGACUACGCAGCCACCAUAGCUAGUUCGAGAGCUCAAGAACUCUCCGAAAUACAGCCACCAAAGCAGGACUAGGGUAUUACGCAUCCUCGCGGCCCGAACCUGGGUAAAUGAUCCUUGUGUUGACUGCUAAUCCUUCUCUUCUCACAACCCUGCGCCCCGGCAACCGUAGUAGGGAUUCUUGUGAUCCCAUAGGUGUCGUUUCUCACCGAUACCGUCGCUGUGCUACAUCAUCCCUCCCUCUCCCGGGAAAUACCGACAUAGUUGCAGCUACCAUCAAGGAGAAUUUUUGGCGCCGUUGCUGGGGAGGAUCUUCAACAUAACCAGGUUCCUAAUCACAAAUCUCAUCUCCUUGCAAUUUACAUUAUUGCCAUUUGCCUCUCGUUUUCCUCUCCCCCACUUCACAAAAAUUUGUCGUUUUAUUCGCCUCUUUUUUCUGUUCACUAUUUUCUUGCCGGAUCUGUUUGUGUUCUUUCUUGUUUGCGUAGUCAUGAUGCCUCAAAGAAAAUAUUAUGAUGUUCCUUACCCCAAUAUUUUGCUUGAAAUUGAGAAAAGUACUAAGGAGUAUAUGACUACACAAUUUGAGCAUAACAAAUAUUUUACUGAAGAACUUAAGGAACACUCUGUUGUGCUAUAUACUAUCACAAAACAACUUGAUGAUAUCAGUAGAGAAAUUUGUAAUCUUCAAUAUAGGUAUGCUUUUGCUGAAAGUUUGCUAGGAAAAACAUCCGGUGCACAAGCUACCUUAGUAAAUCAAAUGGCUGCUAAACCAAUCUCGUUAGAAGAUAAAAGUGAUGACGAUCUUAAAAUGAUAGGUGUUUCUUCCAUUGAUUCCUUGUUUAGUAAAUUUAAGAAUGAUGAAAAAGGGAUUGGAGAAGAGUCAACUUUAAGUAGAAGGCGUCCCAAUAUUUUGGAGGGUGAAAAUCUUGUUGAGAAAAUUAAUGAAAGUGGGUUUGGAGAGGUCAAAACUUUAACUAGUGAUGUACCCACUCUUUUGGAUUACAAAGACUUUAAUUAUGAUAGUUUCUCUUUGAUUGAUUGUAUUUCUUUGUUGCAAUCCAUGAUAAAUUCAUCCCAUUCUUAUGAACAAAAUAAAGCUUUGACUAAACAUAUUGUUGAUGCUAUGAGGAAAGCUCUUGAAGAAAAAUUGGAAUUAGAAGUAUCAAUUCCUAGAAAAUUGCAUGAUGAGUGGGAACCUACUAUCAAAGUCAAGAUUAAAAAUUAUGAGUGUUUUGCUUUGGGUGAUUUGGGUGCUAGUGUUUCUACAAUUCUGAAAUCUUUAUGUGAUGUGCUUGGUCUUACCAAUCUUGAAGAAUGUUCCUUGAAUUUGCACUUGGCGGAUUCUACUAUUAAAAAGCCUAUGGGAAGAAUUAAUGAUGUUCUUAUUCUUGCAAAUAGGAGUUAUGUGCCCAUAGAUUUUAUUGUUCUUGAUAUUGACUGCAAUCCGUCUUGUCCUAUUAUUCUUGGUAGACCGUUUUUACGCACUAUCGGUGCCGUGAUUGAUAUGAAAGAAGGCAAUAUUAAGUUCCAAUUUCCUUUGAGGAAGGGUAUGGAACACUUUCCUAGAACUAGAAUUAAGACACCUUAUGAAUCAAUCAUGAGGGCAUCUUAUGGAUCUCGAACCAAAGAUGACAAAACUUAGAUCCUUGCUAUAUGCCUAGCUAAGGGCGUAAAACUAUAGCGCUUGUUGGGAGGCAACCCAAUGAAUAAAAUUUAUUUUUUCUUUUUUCUUUCUGUUCUUGAGUGAUAGCACAAUUAUGCUACUGUUAUUUGUGUUUUAAUUAGUGUUUGUGCCAAGUAGAACCAAUAGGAUCUUCUUGGGUGAUAGUUGUUUGAUCUUGCUGAAAAAGACAGAAACUUUGUGCUCACGAAAAUUAUUGUCAAAAUUCACCAGAACGUGAUAAAAUGCUAAUUCUUUUUCAGAAGAUCAAUAUACAAAUUACCCAGGUUUUUCUUGUUUUUCAGAAUUUUUGGAGCUCCAGAAGUAUUCUAACAAAUCAGAUUGCUACAAACUGUUCUGUUUUGACAGAUUCUGUUUCCUUUGUGUUGUGUGCUUAUUUUGAUGGCUCUAUGGCUUUCUUUGAUGAGUUUUUUCCAUAGAAAAGUUGGAAUACAGUAGAUAUAAUACAAAAACAAAAUAAUAAUUGGUUUGAUACAACACUUAUAGUAGUGGUUUAUUUUUCUUACACUAACGGAUCUCACGAAGGUUUUGUUGAGUUUUGUGUGAUUGAAGUUUUCAAGUUUUGGGUUAUCUUACGAUGGAUGAAGGAAGGAUGUAAGAGCCUAAGAUUGGGGAUUCCCCGGCAUCCCAAGCUAUUAUCCAAGAAUGAGCAACCAACUAAGCUUGGGGAUGCCCCUGAGUGGCAUCCCCGCUUUCUUCCAACAACUAUCGGUAUUUUACUCGAGGCUAUAUUUUUAUUCCUCACAUGAUAUGUGUUUUGCUUGGAGCGUCUUGUAUGAUAUGUGUCUUUGCUUGUUUUAUUUUGUGUUUUAAGUCAUAAAUCCUUGCUGGACACACCUUUUUGAGAGAUCCAAAAUUAUAUCAUGACUUGUUAGAAUUGCUCUCUAUGCUUCACUUAAAUCUUUUAUGAGCUAGGACUUGCUCUAGUGCUUCACUUAUAUCUUUUUGAGCACGGUGUGCUUUGUUAUUUUUGAAGUAAUGCUCUCUUGCUUCACUUAGAUUUAUUUGAGAUUUAGUAAAAUUUUGAAGAAAUUCUCUCUUGCUUCACUUAAAUUAUUUUGAGAGAAAGAAAAUUUGUUAUGCUCAUGAUCUUCACUUAUAUUUGUUUGAGCUUAUGAAAGGCAACACAUAAAAGUUAGUCCCAAAGUGAUAGAUAUCCAAGAAGGAUAAAGUAAAAGAAAAUGUCAUGAAGAUCAUUGGACAAAAUAAACUUGAUUCUUAGUAAUAGUUUUGAGAUAUGAUGAUGUGAUAUGUGAGUUAUGUUGAUGAGUAAUUGUGCUCUAGUAAGAAUAUUGGUGUUAAGGUUUGUGAUUCCAUGUGCAUGCACGGAAGUCCAUAAUCAUGCAAUGAAAAUUAUAUCCCACUUGUGGUGCAUUAUUUGGUGUUAAUUAUGCUUAAUGCUUGCUUAUCAGAUUAUUCGUUUCUUGGUUGGUCGCUUCCCAAUCUUUUGCUAGCCUUCAUUUUGCACUAAGUAUGACCUCUACUUGUGCAUCCAAAAUCCUUUAAACCAGUUUUGCCACAUGAGUCGACUAUAUCUACCUAUAUGUGGUAUUCUUUUGCCGUUCUAAGCAAAUUUGCAUGUGCCGUCUCUAAUUUUAAAAAUAAACUUCUCUUUUGUGUGUUUGUUUCGCUCGCGGAACGGUAACGGGUGGCUAAUAUUUUCCAUGCUGGAUGUGUUAUUCUUAAGAUGAGUGUUUAUUCACUUGUCAUUGCACGAGAGUAAGGCAAAGGUCUUAAGGAUGUCCAGUCCCGAAAUGCAAAAAAAUGAAUUUACUUUAUGUUGUCAAAUAAUAAAUUCCUUGGAAAGUGUUGGUAUGGAGGGCACCCGUGGAUACGGUUAGCCAUGGAAAGUGAAAGAAUGGUGGAAAAAGGAAUAAACUUUAUUUUCUGUUUGGGAACCGCUUAUGGCAUAUCUAGCAUGGAAAGUGUUGGGAACUCUAAGUCAUUUUCGUUGGUGAGAUGGAUACACCUCCCAAAAUUUUUUAUCUCUAAUUUUUCGCUUUGAGCUCUGGCACCUCUCCAAAUCCCUACUUCCCUCUGCGAAGGGCCUUUCCUUUACUUUAUGCAAUUUUUAUUUUAAAUUUGAGUCUCCAUCUUCUCUCAUAAAAGCACCAACUAGGAGGCAAUAUGAUAGUGCUCAAGUGUUGGGUGUAGUUAAUAUUCGAGUGUGUUUGAUGAAUGGAUCAAUGUUUGAGCGUGAUGGGCUAGGGAUAACUUGUUUUAGCAUUGAUAUUUUGAAAGACAUGGUUGCUUGUUGAUAUGCUUGAGUAUCUAAAUUAUUAUGUUAAAACUAGACUAUUGCUUUGAAUCACAUAAAAGUCCAGAUUUCCAUGCUAUAAAUAAAAAAUAUGAUAUGACUUGAUGAACAUCACUCACAUCAAAAAUUCUGUUUUUAUCACUUACCUACUCGAGGACGAGUAGGAGUUAAGCUUGGGGAUGCUGAUACGUCUGAAACGUAUCUAUAAUUUUUGAUUGUUCCAUGCUGUUUUGUUAUCAAUCUUGGAUGUUUUAUAAUCAUUUUAUAGUCAUUUAUAUCAUUUUUUGGUACUGACCUAUUGACAUAGUGCCAAGUGCCACUUGUUGUUUUUCCCAUGUUUUUUUACAUCGUAGGAAAUCAAUAUGAAACGGAGUCCAAAUGCCACGAAACUUCACUAUGAUUUUUUAUGGGCCAAAAGGAAGCAGAUGGGCCCUGGAUGCACCUGGGGGAGUCCCUAGGAAGGGACAACCUACCAGGGUGCGCCAGGAGGCCCUAGCACGCCCUAGUGGGUUGUGCCCACCUCGGGUGCUCCCCGGACUGCCUCUUUGCUCUAUAAAUACCCGAAAAUACCAGAACCCUAGGGGAAUCGACGAAAUAUUCAUCCAGCCACCGCAGAGUCCAGAACCACCAGAUCCAAUCUAGAAACUAUCAUGGAGGGGUUCACCACUUCCAUUGGUGCCUCUCCGAUGAUGCGUGAGUAGUUCUUUGUAGACCUUUGGGUCCGUAGGUAGUAGCUAGAUGACUUUCUCUCUCUUGUUGAAUUCUCAAUACAAUGGUCUCUUGGAGAUCCAUAUGAUGUAACUCUUUUGCAGUGUGUUUGUUGGGAUAUGAUGAACUUCGAGUUUAUGAUCAGUUAUAUCUUUUUAUAUCCAUGAAAGUUAUUUGAGUUUCUUUGAUCUCUUAUAGCCUCGUAUUUCUUCUCCGAUAUUUGGGUUUUGUUUGGCCAACUUGAUCUAUUUAUCUUGCAAUGGGAAGAGGUGCCCGGUAGUGGGUUCGAUCUUAUGGUGCUUGAUCCCAGUGACAGAAAGGGAACCGACACGUAUGUAUCAUGGCUACUAAGGAUAAAAAGAUGAAAUCUAUAUCUACCGCCAUAUAGAUAAACGGAUCUUGUCUACAUCAUGUCAUCGUUCUUAUUGCAUUACUCCAUUUUUCCAUGAACUUAAUACACUAGAUGCAUGCUGGAUAGCGGUCGAUGUGUGGAGUAAUAGUAGUAGAUGCAGGCAGGAGUCGGUCUACUAAUCUUGGACGUGAUGCCUAUGUAAUGAUCAUUGCCUGGAUAUCAUCAUAAUUAUCUCAAGUUCUAUCAAUUGCCCAACAGUAAUUUGUUUACCCACCGUUUGAUAUUUUUCUCGAGAGAAGCCACUAGUGAAACCUACGGCCCCUGGGUCUUCUUUCUCAUAUAUUUGCCUUGCGAUCUACUUUUCCUUUGCAUUUCUAUUAAACCAAAAAAUACAAAAAUACAUUGCUGCGUUUUAUCUUUAUUUAUUUUAUUUUGCGUUCUAUCUAUCAAUCUACUACAAUUUACCUCACGUCCGCUUGCCUAUCUUGAGGCGCCGUACCCCGGAAGGGAUUGACAACCCCUUUAACAUGUCGGGUUGGGAGGUGUUGUUGUUUAUGUGCAGGUGCUGUUUACAUUGUGUUGCUUGGUUCUCCUACUGGUUCGAUACCUUGGUUUCAUAACUGAGGGAAAUACCUACCGUCGUUGUGCUACAUCAUCCCUCCCUCUCCAGGGAAAUACCGACGUAGUUGCAGCUACCAUCAAAUACUCGGGUUAAACUUGACGAGCCUAGCAUGUACAGACAUGGCCUCGGAACACUGGAGACCUAAAGGUCGAACGUGAAUCAUAUAGUAGAUAUGAUCAACAUAGAGAUGUUCACCAUUGAAAACUACUCCAUCUCACGUGAUGAUCGGACAUGGUUUAGUUGAUAUGGAUCACGUGAACGUUUAGAUGACUCGAGGGAUGUAUAUCUAAGUGGGAGUUCUUAAGUAAUAUGAUUAAUUGAACUUAAUUUAUCAUGAACUUAGUCUUGAUAGUUUCUGCAUAUCUAUGUUGUAGAUCAAUGGCCCAUGCUACCGUUCCCUUGAAUUUUAAUGCAUUCCUACAGAAAGCUAAGUUGAAAGAUGAUGGUAGCAACUACACGGACUGGGUCCGUAACUUCAGGAUUAUCCCCAUUGCUGCACAUAAACUUAUGUCCUUGAUUCACUGCUAGGUGAAAAGCCCCCUCCCAUUAAUAUAGGCGCUUUGAGCAUCUGGCAGACGUGGUCUGAUGACUACUCUAUAGUUCAGUGUGCCAUGCUCUACGGCUUAGAAUCGAGACUUCGAAGACGUUUUGAACGUCAUGGACCAUAUGAGAUGUUCCAGGAGUUGAAGUUAAUAUUUCAAGCAAAUGCCCGAGUUGAGAGAUAUGAAGUCUCCAACAAGUUCUAUAGCUGUAAGAUGGAGGAGAACAGUUAUGUCAGUGAACACAUACUCAGAAUGUCUAGGUACCAUAACCACUUGACUCAGCUGGGAGUUAAUCUUCCGGAUGAUAGUGUUAUUGACAGAGUUCUUCAAUCACUGCCACCAAGCUACAAAGGUUUUGUGAUGAACUAUAAUAUGCAAGGGAUGGAUAAGACAAUUCCCAAGCUCUUCUCUAUGCUCAAAGCUGCGGAGGUAGAAAUCAAGAAAUAUCAUCAAGUGUUGAUGGUUAACAAGACCACUAGUUUCAAGAAAUAGGGCAAUGGAGAGAAGGGGAACUUUAAGAAGAAUGGCAAGCAAGUUGUCACUCCCGGGAAGAGGCCCAAGUCUGGACCCAAGCCUGAAACUAAGUGCUUCUACUGCAAAGGGACUGGUCACUGGAAGCGGAACUGCCCCAUGUACUUGGCGGAUAAGAAGGAUGGCAAAGUGAACAAAGGUAUAUUUGAUAUACAUGUUAUCACUACAAAAAAAAUACACUUCCGUGAUGAUCCGUGUUUGUCACAGUAGGUCACAUUUUCUGUCAUGCAUGUACAUCCAUGACAAUUUUAUGACAGAAUGAAGAUAGUCAUACCUGUGCUGUCGUAGAAGUGUUCCAUCACAUUACCAAAAUUAUCAUCACGGAAGUGUCCACUUCCAUGACGAAAAAUCGCGCGUCACAGAAGUGCUUUUGUCAAGGGUGACUGACACGUGGCAUCCACCAUAACGGAACACUGUUAAGCUAUCGGGUCCGGUUUUGGAUCCGAUAACCUGUUAGCAGCCUGGACCAAUGGCGAUUUUCCACGUGUAAAAUCAUCAUUGGCUGGAGGAAACACGUGUCAGCUCCCCGUUGGCACAGGUGUCACUCAUCCAAUGGGCGAGAUGCGCUUAUGAAAUGUUGACACGUGGCCCGGCCCAAAAGUGGCCCAUAAAGUUUAAAUGGGCCGGCCCAAGUAAAGGCCCAGAAGAUUUUGCGGUCCAUAAUGGGCCAGCCCAGAAAAAGGCCCACGAGAUUUUGCGGUCCAUAAUGGGCCGGCCCAGCUAAAGGCCCGCAAGAUUUUGCGAGCCAUAAUGGGCCGGCCCAGCUAAAGGCCCGCGAGAUUUUGCGGACCAUAAUGGGCCGGCCCAGCUAAAGGCCCACAAGAUUUUGCGGACCAUAAUGGGCCGGCCUAGCUAAAGCCCACGAGAUUUCACAGACCAUAAUGGGCCGGCCCAGCUGAAGGCCCAAAAGAUUUUGAUGACACUAGUAGGCCGGCCCAUUAAUAGGCUGCCAUGUUUUGGGCCAAAUGCCGGCCCAUAUUUUAUCCGGUCCAUUAACAGUCUGCCACGUUCCGGGCCUAAUAAAGGCCCAUAUGAGAUCCGACCCAUUAAAAGCCAACCACGUUCUGGGCCAAAUUACGGCCCAGAUCAGGUCCGGCCCUUUGAGAGGCUUUGGGCUAAAUUAUGGCCCAUAUCAGAUUUGGCCCGUCAACUGGACGCUAUGCUUUUGGGCCCACUUGAUAAAGGCCCAUUUAGUAAUUCGGCCUGAUAUUAGUUUCAGCCUGUUAAAGGCCCGUUUAACAUUUUGGCCCUAUAUAUAUUUCGGCCUGUUAAAAGCCCGUCAUAUAGUUGGGCCUAACUACGGCCCUGUUUGCAUCCGGCCUGCUCACAGACGAUAAUCUGAUUGGGCCAAACAAUGACCGAGACAAUUUUGCCCUGUUAUAAGCCCAUGAUUUGAUUGGCACAAUCAUGGGCCGGGGUCUAUUUUGGCCUGCUGCCGGCCCAUGAGCGGUUCGGCACGUUUCAGGCCCAACCUACUUUUCAGCCUCCUAAAAGCCCAUUGAGUUUUCUUGGGAAAAUAGGGCCAGCGGUUUACUCGGCCUAUUAAAGGCCCGAAUCUACUAGCGGGCCAAUUUACAUUUAGACCUGUUAACGGACCAAGAUGACGGGGCCCAUGAUGCGGAUCAUACAUAGUGAUUUGCAUGACGGCCCGAUUAUGUACCAUAAUUUUACGAUUUGGCCGGUUUACUGCGAAGACAUGAUAUAUAUACAGUAAAAUAACUGCAGCAUCAUGAAUAAGAAAAAAACCUAGACUAUACAAUAAAGAAAUUAUGGCAUAUUACAUCCACUGGGAAUGAAAGUUCGCCACUAUGAUAAUAAAGCACAAGCAGACAGCAGAUUACAUACACUGGGCAUCAAAGAUAGCCACCAGUUCAGUUAAACACGCCGACAAAAUAAUAUACAAAACCGAUAGCACUUCAAUAGAGUUCAAGAAAGGUUAGCCCUGCUCGGGAGCUACAGCGCAAGUAGCUGAGCAAGCUGAUGAGACUGCACUUGUUUGACACUUAUAUCCUCCUCACUCUGAAAGAUAAACAAGCAGACAAAUGACAGGUUUUGCACAUAUAAGUAUCAGUGUUGACAAUUCAUCACAUUUCUUACUGACGAAUAAGGUGACAUAGUUUAAAAUAGCAUUAACACAAUAUGGUAUUGUUCAGGUCAAGACAUGGCAGGAAAUGACAUUGUGAAGGAGUUGGCAGCUUCACGACACCACUGGAUUACAUAUCAAGAACUCAUAAGUAUCAAUGGUUAGUGUGCUGUCAAUUUAUCCCAUUUCAGAAUGGCAAAAUAAGAUCACUUGCUAUGUAUAGUUUAAUUUACAUGGUAUGAAGAAGGAACUUGGUUGUACAACUGAGAACUUAAAUUGAGAAGGACAAACUUUUGUUUAUGAACUAGUACAUAAUAAACUUUAAACAUGCAAUUUCAUGCAAACGCCAAAAAUAAAGAACUGUUGCAGUCAUGCCUAACCAAAUAUACACAACAAAGUUUGAAGGCUUGAGAAGGACAAACUUACAUUAUUGGUGAAGGCAAGCUCUAUAAAGCCCUUGUCCAUGUUGAUGGGGGGGAGGGCAAUUCAAGAAGUUUACCAUAGAAUCUUCUUCAUAAGCAUUGCCUUUAUUCUACAUUUUGUUAAGAGUAAAUAUAGAUGUGACAAUAUAAGAAAAAAUGGAGAAUAUUUAAGAUAAGAUGAAGAGUGAUGCUACAUAACCAAGUAGCUAUAAAUGUAAGUACAGCGAUAGAGGCAAAAGGUACAACCAAGAGCAAUGCAGAGCCAAACUUCUUCAGUACCAUCAGUGUUAUCCAACCUUAUGGUAAGAGUAAAUAUAGAUCUUAUGUGUAGAAAAUGGAGGGCAAAGGAAAAUAAACUGCAGAGUGAUGGUACAUGAACAACUACCUGUCAAUAUAAGUACACCGAUAAAGGACAACAGGUACUUACAAGAACAAUGCAGAGCUAAAUUUUUUUAUUGGCAUUGGAUAUAUUCUACACUAAUGUAACCAUUCAUACAGAUCAGAUAAUUUGGAGCGAACAAUUGAUAAGCAAGCUAUGAUGCAUACUGCUGUCACAUAAUGAACCAGGUAUGUAUGCAAGUACAGUGAUACAGGACAACAGGGACUAACAAGAGCAAAGCAGCGGGCAACAUAUUUGCGAUAUCCCGUCGUUCUUUUCAAACCAGAAUUCUUUUUCAAGCAGAUUUCCUGCAAAAAAUAUCCGUAAGGCACAUGCCGAAAAGUAGAAGUUCAAAUUGUCAUGCGAUAUCAUAGAUAGUACCUCAUCCUUGGAACGAGACUAGUGCAUAACAAGGUUUUUCCAUUCAAUGUCUUCUAAAUUUAGCACAAGAGACUUCACCAGAAAUUUGUUUAUAGACUUGCCAUCAAAGUGUGAUUUCCUCAGGUAACACCGAUACUGCUGCAAUGCUUCCUUGAAAAGCGCAAGCAAGCUUUGCUCGUCAUGACUAUCCAGAUUGACCCUCUCCUACUUACAACAAUGUAAUGUAAAUCAUUGAUGUGUUCAAUCAGUAGAAAACAGGAAAAUAAUCACCAUGAAUAAUAGCACUUACACGUAAGUGGGACACGAAGAUGUGAAAAUGGUGUUUGUCUUCACUAUAAUCUUCCCAUGAUGGGAAUAUAUGCACAUAGUCCCUAACAACAUUGAAAGCAUUGUCUUUUAAACUGGGAAUAACUGGAAUGGGGUUCCAAUCUGCAGGAAUUGGCCGUCUCUGCAGUUGGGAUAGGUCAUAGGCCGGUAGACUUGCUGUACUUUUUGCUGGAGUGGGAUUUUUCUGUGGUACGGCUGGUGCUAUGGCAACUGAAAUCGGCAUACCGUUUGCUGGAGUGCAGGUCCUGUGUGGUGGGGCUAGUGGUGUGGCCAGUGAAGUAUGGGUACAGUCUGCUGGAGUAGGUCCUACGUUUUGUGUCACUGGUUGUACAACCAAUAUAAGUGGGGUGCUGUCUGAUUUCUCCGGCACAACCAUGUUUUUCAAGGACUUUGCUGGUGCUCCUUUAGGUUCGGCAAUCACCCUCUUCCUUUUUGAUGUCUGAUGCACAAGAACAACAUUUGAGUGGAAAACAUGGUAUGAUGACAGAUGGAAUAUGUAUUGAUAAUGGAUGGGCAUGGCAUCUCGACAUAUAUGAUGAGUAAACUAAGCAGAUGGCGGUGCAACAAAGUAGAAGAAAUGCAAGACAACAUAUGCAAGAUACGCGCAAUCAAUAAAACCUUGCCAAAUUAGAAUAGACACCUUGAUGGGUGAACAGGAUAGGCCAUUUGCCUUUGACUCCUCGAGGUUAGAAUAGUCAUUAGGAUCAUAUUCUGAACAAGAAUCAACAGGUGGGGAGCGUAUGAGUUUCAUUGCAUCCAGAAUGGCACUCAAUGCCUUGGUGCCAAUUUUGUAAGUCAUUGCAGUGUUUAGCUUCAAGAGUGGACUGCUGCUAGUGCGACACAAAGCAGCUACACAGAUCAUAGUGUAGAUAUAACGGGAAAACCGUAAGCAUCAGAGUAAAAUCAGCAAAGUGGAACUUGCUGGAAUAUAUGUGCUAGUAUUGCCGGUACGGCUAGAAAGGCUUCGGAUACCAGCUCUCUUCAACUGAAGGUGCGGUACUGUUAAUAUGAGUGUAACUCUCAAAGGCGACACAGCCCCCCACAUUUCCUUGCUAUUCUUAUAGGAUUCAAGUGGGCAGGCCACUACAAAUCCUAUUCCCAUGUUUACAAAAUCCUACGAAUCAAAGAGGCCCGAAGAGUUCAAAGUGUCCAUCACAACCGACCGUAUAGACCUCUACGCUGCAAAUGUCCCUGCUCAUCUUCACUACAAGGAACAUACUGUACUACUAUCAUACUCCCUCUGUUCCAAAAUAUAAGUCUUGGUAGAGAUUUCCACUAUGGAUCACAUAUAGAUGUAUCCAUAUACAUUUUUGAGUGUAGAUUCACUCAUUUUGCUCCAUAUGUAGUCCAUGGUGGAAUCUAUACAAAGACUUGUAUUUAGGAACAGAGAGAGUACUUAUUAAAGAAGAACGGAAGAGGAACAUGCUAAAGAAGAGCAAGCAGAUUUUGGAUAUUAAAAUGUUCGUUGCGUAGUGCCCACACAUGAUGAACCAGAGCGCAUUAAGAAAGCAACUCCCUGCUGUCUCUCUAUAUGUGGUGCACGUGCUUUUUGAAAGUAAAGUAGGAACAUUAGCCGACCAAUUAAAUGUUAUCUGUUUUAGUAAUAUUAGCAUCAUAUCAGAUUCGUACUUGAGCAACAAGUUUGGAAUUAUGAGUGGCACAUUGUUUAGCUUGAUGGAUUCAGGAGCAGUGCUAAGAAGGUACGAUGAUGGUACUGAAUAUAAAGGCAUGUCUGCAUGCAAGUCGCGUGACUUUUGUCAUUUGGGUCAGUCGACCAUUUCAGGUGGUUGGAUGAAGAUCCUACAUCUCCUAACCCUUCUUCUUCCUCGUCUCUGAUUCUUCCCAUACAGAACACCGCACGGGCCGCCGGCCGGACCACCGGCCGCCACCGCCUGUGUUCCUCCACCACCCCCACCCCACCCCCGCCCCCACCUGCGAGUUUUCUUUGUUCGGCGAGGCCCCACCACCGCCCCCACAACCAUCGUCCCCACCCGAGCCCCUUCGUUCGCACCGGCGAACUCUGGCGAGCUUUGAAAAAUCGACUGACCCAAGUUUGAAAUUUAGUCUACUGUGAUUUAACUAGUGUGGAAUAUAAAAGGGGAAAACCAUAAGCAUUGGGAGUAUAGUGUUGAGCGUGCCAUGGCAGAUCUGAAGGAGCAAACCGGACAAAGGCAACUUCGCAACCAAUGUUUGCUUUCAACUAGCAAGUAAGUGAUGGACAAGAAAUCAGAGUAAAGCAGUGGCGAUCUAUUUUCUUGCUGCGAUAAAUAAGUUGAGCAGAUACGAAAGAGUACCGCCUCUGGUGCGGCGCCGUGUAUGCGUCUGCUGAGAAUUUGACGGUGUUGCGGUAGCGAUGGCUGUCGGCAGCGUGGAAGCAGAUCUAGGAGGGUAGACAGUGGCGGCGGGGUGUGAUGGACGAGACGGUUGUAGGAGUGGCACCGACAAGGUGGACGCCGGCGGGGAUGAAGCGAGAGGACGAGAUGCAAGGAUCCCCGACCGAAGCCUUGGAUGAGAGAGGUCAAUCUCUUGUAAUGGACGGCGACGUCGGGGUAUCAGCUCCAGCAUGGUGGAGGAGGACGGCGGUGGAUGGGGUGGCGGAUGGAGGAGGCUGGGGUGGAGAGGGUGUUUUGGCGCCCAUGGAGUACGAAUGGGGAAAUGGAGGUAGAGAGGAAGGGGGGAACCAUGUCUUCAGGGCGCGCUUGUCUCAAAUGCAAGGAAAUUUACAAACUUAGCCCCCGUUUCAAAUUUCCUACAUCACAGCAAUAUUAGUCGGUUGGGGAUAGGACGGUAAUCUCGCAUACACCGAAUAUUUGCCUACGAGAGUUUGUUUUUGGCGCCCACCGUGUAUGAAUCGGGGAGGGAGUCGAUUUCGGCCGAGGACACACUGUGUUUUGGCGCCCACCGUGUAUGAAUCCGGGUGAGAGGCGGUUAUGUCACGUUUGAGUGAAAUUACAAACCUACCCCUAUCAAAACCUAUAGAAAUCGAGCAGAUAGGCUUUGCGUGGCAGGGAUAGGCAGUAGUAAUUUGCAUCUCGCAGAUUUUGGUUUCGGGCGGUUAGUGCAACUUUCCCCGCUUCGUUCAAAUUUUGUAGAGUGCACAUUUACCGUGCCAACUCAAUUCGAAUCCCGUUUGUAUUCUAUUUUUUCGGGCAGGAUCCAUUUUCGAUUGGAAUAAAAUUCUAUAUACAUCAUUUUUAUAUAUGCUUCCAAAAGCACAACACCCUUUAUACAUAAAUAUGGUUUACAAAUGGCAUGAUCUCAGAUUCAUAAGGUUGUAUCCAUCAAUUUGGAUUUUCAAAUAUUUGAAACCACUUUAUGUUGGAAUCCAAUGUAUGCAUUCCUCGCUAACUGUCUCCAAUUAAUGUGUGUUUCAUGCGGGUUUUUUACUUCUCAAACAUGUAUAAUGUGUUUUACACACGCAACAUAUAGUGUAAUCCCGUUUAGACAUUAAUUGCAUAUAAACCAUGCAUUGUUUCUAAUUAAAGAAUUUAUGGAUCACCAAUAUUGAUAAACUAUAUAACAUUACAUGUGUCCCCAAAUUCAAAUGAAUAUGCAUGUUUGAUACACAAUUUGCGUUAUGAUAUUAUCGAUGUCGUGAUGUCCAGUUUAAAUAUUUGAAUCCCAUUUAAUCCAGAUAUUUGUCUCAUAUAACUAUCACUCAUGCUUAUAUAGGACUAUCUCUCUAGACCUAUACGCGUUCAUCGUCUCUCGGGUAUCUCUCAUGCUACCUGUAUGUUGACAGUGAUCUUUUAUCUUCAUAACACACUGAUGGUACUCUCUCCCUCGACCUUCAUCACUCUAUCUCUCUCUAAGUAUAUCUCGCUCCCUGCUAUGUGUCUCUAACUAUGAUUCUCCAUGUGGAAUCUCUUUCUCUCACACAAACACAAAACUUUGUCUCCCGGGGUCUCAUUUCUCUCUACUAUUCCCCUGUGUGCCACUCGCACACCCCUCAUACAGAUAUGUCUUUCGCUCCUUAAUUAGGUAUGAGAACCUACGACUCUUCCUCUUAAAUAUGUCUUUCUCACACACAAACACAAACUCUGUCUCCCAGGGUCUCAUAUUUCUCCACUGUUCUCUUGUAUGUCGCUCACACACACUCUCUCUCCCUAGAGAUAUCUUGCGUUCCCUCAUAUGUCUCUCUAGCUAUCACUCUCGUUGUGAAAUAUCUUUCUCUCUCGCAGACACAAAACUCCGUCUCUCGGGAUCUCAUUUCUCUCCGAUAUUUGUUUGUAUGUGAGUAACAUGCACCCUUUCUUCAUCUCUCUCACACCCACACACAUAACUCAGCCUUCUGAUCCACUCGGCUCAUAUCUCUAACGCACACUAGCUAGCAUCUUUAUCUUUCUAUUUAUAUGUUUCUCCAUCAACCUUCUUUCAUUUAUAGGUUGAUCUCUUUUGCACAAUCCUUGUGCCUCACUCCCUCUGCUCGCCAUAGAUGCAUGCUCUAGCCCACGCCACUAUCUCUUACAGACAAAAACACAUGCUCAAUUGUCGGGCCUUCUUCCCUACAUUCUCACAUGCAUGCAUAUUGUCAUACCGAUCCGUCCCUCCAAUGUCGUUGAUCUUAUGACUUAUGUCUUCUUUCUUUUAUCUCGAUCAUGCGCGCGUGCGCGCACACACAUCCCAUGUAUACAUGUAUACCUCUCACACAUGCACGUUCAAGGUCUCUAUGUCUCCAUACGUAGUUAAUUACCCUCAACCCUAACGCCACAUUGAAUCGUUCUCUUUUUGUGCGCACAUAACUUCCGUCUGGAUGGAUAAAACACACUCACACUUAACAAUCUACUUCUAGCUACCCCCNNNNNNNNNNNNNNNNNNNNNNNNNNNNNNNNNNNNNNNNNNNNNNNNNNNNNNNNNNNNNNNNNNNNNNNNNNNNNNNNNNNNNNNNNNNNNNNNNNNNNNNNNNNNNNNNNNNNNNNNNNNNNNNNNNNNNNNNNNNNNNNNNNNNNNNNNNNNNNNNNNNNNNNNNNNNNNNNNNNNNNNNNNNNNNNNNNNNNNNNNNNNNNNNNNNNNNNNNNNNNNNNNNNNNNNNNNNNNNNNNNNNNNNNNNNNNNNNNNNNNNNNNNNNNNNNNNNNNNNNNNNNNNNNNNNNNNNNNNNNNNNNNNNNNNNNNNNNNNNNNNNNNNNNNNNNNNNNNNNNNNNNNNNNNNNNNNNNNNNNNNNNNNNNNNNNNNNNNNNNNNNNNNNNNNNNNNNNNNNNNNNNNNNNNNNNNNNNNNNNNNNNNNNNNNNNNNNNNNNNNNNNNNNNNNNNNNNNNNNNNNNNNNNNNNNNNNNNNNNNNNNNNNNNNNNNNNNNNNNNNNNNNNNNNNNNNNNNNNNNNNNNNNNNNNNNNNNNNNNNNNNNNNNNNNNNNNNNNNNNNNNNNNNNNNNNNNNNNNNNNNNNNNNNNCACUAAGCCUCCAUCUCUCUCUCACACACACACAUACACACCCACACACAAACACAAACACACACACACACUAAGACUCCAUCUCACACACACAUGCUCUAGGCAGAGCAUUUGUUCCUACCACCCUUCAUCCAACCUUACCCAUAUGAUAAACAAUCACCUUAAUUUACUUGUAUAACAUGGACAAAUUCCACUUUACUUUAGUAGUUAGCAAACUUAUCAUCUGUACCCUUAUAAAAAACCGAGUUGGCGAUGAUGGUGUGCCUGCCAUCUUGUAAUAUAGACCGUCUGAUCUAUAUCUCACGGAUAGAAAGCAAACUAUGAUAAUUUUACAAAAGAUACCCGCACCUUGAUACGUCUCCAACGUAUCUAUAAUUUUUGAUUGCUCCAUGCUAUUAUAUAUUCUGUUUUGGAUGUUUAAUGGGCUUUAUUAUACACUUUUAUAUUAUUUUUGGGACUAACCUAUUUACCCAAGGCCCAGUGCAAAUUACUGUUAUUUGCCUAUUUCAGUGUUUCGCAGAAAAGGAAUAUCAAACGGAGUCCAAACGGAAUGAAACCUUCGGGAGAGUUAUUUUUUGGAACAAACGUGAUCCAGAGGACUUGGAGUGGACGUCAAGAAAUCAACGAGGAAGCCACGAGGCAGGGAGGCGCGCCUGCCCCCUGGGCACGCCCCCACCCUCGUGGGCCCCUCGUGGCUCCACCGACCUACUUCUUCCUCCUAUAUAUACCUACGUACCCCGAAACCAUCGAGGAGCACCACGAAACCCUAUUUCCACCGCCGCAACCUUCUGUACCCGUGAGAUCCCAUCUUGGGGCCUUUUCCGGCGCUCCGCCGGAGGGGGCAUCGAUCACGGAGGGCUUCUACAUCAACACCAUAGCCUCUCCGAUGAUGUGUGAGUAGUUUACCUCAGACCUUCGGGUCCAUAGUUAGUAGCUAGAUGGCUUCUUCUCUCUCUUUGGAUCUCAAUACAAAGUUCUCCUCGAUCUUCUUGGAGAUCUAUUCGAUGUAAUUCUUUUUGCUAUGUGUUUUUCAAGAUCCGAUGAAUUGUGGGUUUAUGAUCAAGAUUAUCUAUGAACAAUAUUUGAAUCUCCUCUGAAUUCUUUUAUGUAUGAUUGGUUAUCUUUGCAAGUCUCUUCGAAUUAUCAGUUUGGUUUGGCCUACUAGAUUGAUGUUUCUUGCAAUGGGAGAAGUGCUCAGCUUUGGGUUCAAUCAUGCGGUGCUCGAUCCCAGUGACAGUAGGGGAAACAACACGUAUUGUAUUGUUGCCAUCGAGGAUAAAAAGAUGGGGUUUAUAUCAUAUUGCUUGAGUUCAUCCCUCUACAUCGUGUCAUCUUGCCUAAUGCGUUACUCUGUUCUUAUGAACUUAAUACUCUAGAUGCAUGCUGGAUAGCGGUCGAUGUGUGGAGUAAUAGUAGUAGAUGCAGGCAGGAGUCGGUCUACUUGUUGCGGACGUGAUGCCUAUAUACAUGAUCAUGCCUAUAUAUUCUCAUAACUAUGCUCAAUUCUAUCAAUUGCUCGAUAGUAAUUUGUACACCCACCGUAAUACUUAUGCUAUCUUGAGAGAAGCCACUAGUGAAACCUAUGGCCCCGGGGUCUAUUUUCCAUCAUAUUAAUCUUCUAUCAACUUGCUAUUUCUAUUUCCGUUUACUUUGCAAUCUUUACUUUCAAUCUUUAUCAUAAAAAUACCAAAACUAUUAUCUUAUCAUCUCUAUCAGAUCUCACUUUUGCAAGUGGCGGUGAAGGGAUUGACAACCCCUUUAUCGCAUUGGUUGCAAGGUUCUUAUUUGUUUGUGUAGGUACGAGGGACUUGCGUGUGGCCUCCUACUGGAUUGAUACCUUGGUUCUCAAAAACUAAGGGAAAUACUUACGCUACUUUGCGGCAUCACCCUUUCCUCUUCAAGGGAAAACCAACGCAUGCUCAAAAGGUAGCACACCUCUCUACACAUCCCUAUCUCCCACAACCUCAUUGCUGAGCAAUUAAAAAACAAAGUCUCUGGAACAAUCUAGCAUGGUGGCCGCUGCCGCCUGCCGGCGCCGUCCAUCCCCAUGCCUCCGCCCAGUCCGACCACCAGUCACCACCACGCUCUACUCGUCCUCACAUUAUCUCCCAUCUUUCAUUUUUUCGAUGACAUUCUCGAGAUACCAGCUUUCCGAUAAGAUUCUCGAAAUAUCAUUAGUUUUUACACAUGGGAUUACUCCUGCAUGGGUAAAUCAUAACAGGUGUUUUGUAAAAAAAUGCAUAUUGAUGUUCCGUGCAAUGCACGAGCAUCUUGCUUGUAAUUAUAUAACGCAAAUCACGAGCACGAAGUGACAUUUUCUUUACACAACCACAUUAACAUGGCCACGUAAAUCACUAGCUAAAGUAAAUACCAUUAUACUUAUAUCCCGAUGCAAAAGGUUGAGCACAUGUCCGAAGAGUAGAGUCGCACACACGCACUCUGUCUCUCAGAAUCUCACACAAACACACACACACACACACACACCAGUUACGUGAAGCCCACUUAAGCAGACACGUAUGUUACAAUUUGUGCACCCGCGGGUACAUGUGAUGCUGCGCAUUUAUUUAAGCCUGACGGUGAACCCAAACAGUAGUUGCAUUCAUUCCCCUCCCGCCGCCUCUUCACUGGUCGCCGUCGCCCGGUAGCCAUGGCCCGGCCGAAGGUAACAACAUACGCCAUACUCCCGCCGGAGCGGCGCUUUAAUCUGGAAAUUUUAGUGGUCAUGCAUGCAUCUUUUUGUGCUAGCACUCCUAUAUAAGGGUUGACCAGUCGCUUCCCGCGGACGUGCGUGGGCGGUGGAAGAGGAAGGAGAAGGGAAGCGGGCUGUGAAGUAACGUUUUUACCACAAUUUCUUAGGAAACUGAGUGCAAUAAUUGAGUAGUUUUGCAAACUACCAGUACUACACCUGAAACAGUUCAAAACCUAUACUCCCUUGCCAGCGCGCGCUUCCCGCGUGAAACGGUCAGCGUCUCCCUGGAGCAUCAUUGCCGCAUUAAUGCCCGGCCAGAGCUUAGGAAACCUCUCACUGGCGCCGGCUUUGAAGCGGCGCGACGGCGGAGAGAGCGCCGCUUCCCGGUGCACGCAACUGCUCCGCGUCGAGGCUGGCCAUAGGCCCUGUUUGGAUCCAUGGGUUAGAGUUAGUUUGAGCUAGUUGGGGCUCGAAUAGCCCUAAAGUAUCCAAGCAUGGGGGUUUACAUUGGAGCAAGUUGCACCGAACCCACCAAAAAAAAACUAUCCCACCCAAGAGGUGCUAACUGGAGAUAGUUCUCAUUGGGACCACUGAAAAAUAACUUUUCUCUCUCCAUCAAGUGCAUUUAUUGUCAAUCUAACACUGUCACCCAAACAGCCCUUUGGCUACAGUUAGUUCAGGGUUAGUCAUGAGUUAGUCUAACCUCUAGCAAAGUUAGAGUAUCCAAACAGGAGCAGUAUAGGACAUGCAAGUUGCUCAAAGCAUACAGUCAAAUUCGUACGUGAAAGGAUUUUUUUCUUUUUGAAAACGGAACGUGAAAGGAAUUUUUUUAGAAUGCUCUUGGAAUGUCGCUAACAUGUGAUGAGUUAACCGACCUCAAUAGACGGCGAAAACGUCAGCCCGCCGCACUUUGAGAGAGACGAGGAGGGAGAAGCGAUACAUGCUGCUGGAUUACUAGAGAUAGGUGUUGCACGGAAGCCAAGAAUAUGGUGAUAGCGUGGGUUAGCCAUGUACUAGUAUGAUGUAACUACACUGGGCUGCCAUGUUUCGUACUCUUCCAGUCCACUGUGGAGAUGAUUGGUUGAUUUUAUAUCACUGAAUAAUAUAAAAUAUUAUGAGUGCAGACGCUCCACCACGAGGUUCCUUGCUCCUUCUCAGUCGUCGGGAAUCUAUGUUCUUCCACUCUAUUUUUUUACGUGAGCUUUAUUCAUCCUUUUGCCAACAUGCAAGACAUCUAGCAUCAAGGUGCACGUGUCAUGCAAGGAUCGUUCCAUCUAUAUGAAGAACACGUGGGACUGGAACUACGAGACGGACAUGUACCCACUAGUGGACGUGCGAACCUGUGUAAUGUAGCGCAGUAAGUGAAGUAGAAAGGCACAAAUAGUACGAACAUGCGUGGCAUAUAGGCAUUUGUCUCUUACUACCACUAAAUGUUGUACGUGCAAUGCCCGGUGAUGUUAUGGAGUACGUGACUAAGUACUAUACUACUACUAUAUUAAUUGGAGGCACAUAUUAGGUUUUAUAUUUGUUUAUGUGUAUGCCCCGAGACGUUCCAACUAGACGUGUCUUUCUCUCUGGGUCGCACUUUGUAUCGUUCAUACCACUAGUACAGUAGUACUACUACGUGUGGUCUCUGACCCAGAAGUGGAGACGCUCUACCACGCUGUUCGUGUCCCACUCCUUUCGCUGACGUGUGGGACAUCCAGCACGUGUCGUGUGUUUGGCACUCCUUCGUCGUAAGAGUUGAAACGCUAGCAUUCAUCAGAAAUAAAAAAUAAAUAUAAAUCACCAGUGAUACUAUACCACGCAGUUUCCUUGCUCCUCGAUAUCGGAAAGAAUACUUCUGCUCGCCGACAUGUGGGACGUCGACCAUCCUGGUCCACUUGCCAUGCCCGUGGAACUCCAAGGGAGAGUCACCCCGGUCGUCGCGCCGCAGUAAUUACUAAUGAGCCGUCAAAUCACAGGCCCAACCUUACCCACUGUGAAGUUGCUCGGACGAAGGAACCAUCAUGACUUCGUUGAAUUCCUCUUCUUGAAGAAAACUACUGUACCAGCAGUACUGCUAGCUACAGUAGUUACUCCAGCAGAGGCCUCCUUUGGUUCAUAGGAUAGGAAUUUUAUAGGAAUAUGAAAAUCAUAGGAAGUGAGAUGACAUGCAUCUCAAUUCCUAUAGAGAAAGAGAUGCCAUUUGAUGCCUAGGAUAGGAUUUUUUCCAUUGAGUCUAGGCUAAUGUACUGGUAAUUUGCUCUAAACACUACAGUAGUAACUAGUAGUACUGGUACAUGCUCGUAAUUAAUUAAACAAACGUACAUGCGACACAGACACACACACUAACUACUAGUACCACUACUUCUCACAUGCUGGCCAGACGCCGUCGUUCUCCUUCCCGGCUUUGUCGGCGACACCCCACCGUGCUUGGAUCUCCGCCGACCUCUCCGCAGCAGCGCGUGCGUCCUCUUCUUUCUUGCGGCGGCGGGCCUCUCUUUUCUUGAGUGCUUUCUGACCUUUCCACUCCCUCUGUGCGGCUUUGGCCGCCUCUUGCUCUAUCGCCCAUUCGGCCUUGGCAGCUUCAAAUUCCGCCCACAUAGGUGUGAGGUCGCGAGCGGUGAUGAACUCGGCACGGCGGGAUGCCACCGCUUCCCUACCAUUCUGUGUGCGGUCGUGGGUGGCGAGGAACUCGACGCAGCGGGAUGCCAUCGCUUCCUUACCGGUCAGUGUGCGGCGCGGUGGCAUGAACGACGCUUGGUGACAGCUCUGGCGUGGAGUGGCCAGACAACCGUAAAGUGCAUUGGUUUGUCAAGAGCUCAAGGACAGAAGACAAAGGAAAUUUGGAUUCCCCUUCAAUCCUGGUCAUUUAUUACCGAGUAAAAUGCAUUGGCGGUCAUUGAACUUGUCUUGAUAGCUCACUUUUAUCAUUGUAUACGAGAUAUGGUGAUUAUACGGUCACUCGCUCAGCGUAUAGCUUCGUAUUUGUUUGGUUGACCAGUCAAACAGUCCGCAUGCGCCUCAUCAGCUCAUGUUCUUUAUCUAUCUAUCUAUGCGGGCCUACCUAUCAGUGGAGAAAGAAAUGAAAACCAAAAUUAUGCGUGUGUGACAUUACUGUUUAGACGUUUGCUGGAGGCCUCCGCGAACACCGAGCAUGUAUUCAUCUGGCUCAACACCAACGGUCAUACUCGUGACUCGGCACCUUGCUCAUGUAUAUCGUCCAUCACAAUGACAAUCUAUAAAACAGCCUAGCUAGAGAGGGUACUAUGGUGCGGAGUAUGUACUAUCGUGAGCAACCAAUCAUAGUGCCACUAUACACGAGUGUGUGUCUGAUCGAUUCGUCCAUUAUUCGUAAGUUAUGCAUGGUUUUGUGGUGUCUAAUGGUGGUCGUCGAAGGCUAGCUGGCGACAAGAGCGGUUGCAUGGACGCCUGGUUGUCAAUACGUGCCACAUACGCUUCAAAGGCUCGUCAUCCAUGAUUUCACAUUUUACCACCAUGCCAGAGUCUGACCGCCCUGGCCUACCGAAACCCCUUCCAUCGCUAGCGCGCGCUUCCUGCCUGAAAUGAUCACCGUCUCUCCAGAACGUCAAUACCGCAUUCAUCAGCCUUAACUACAGGUGCAGUUGGUGUGUCACUCACAUGCAGGCCAGAUGCCCGUUGGGCCCACAUGUCAGUGAUACAACGCACCUGCAGUUAAGUCACUGAAGCAGCGUCCGCAUUCACGCCCGACGCGACCUCUCACUGGCGCCGGCAUUGCAGCAACGCGACGCCGAGAGAGCGCCACCCGCGUGGCAUCCCGGUGCAAGCGUCUGUUCCGCGUCAACGACACCACGGCUAUCCUUUCGUCCGCCGCCCACAUUAAUGGCACGCGGCUGCCGACGAACCUACUCCGGCGCCAGCCGUCCAUCCGUCUGCCGCGGCUCAUUGCCAUUCGCCCGCUAUAUUAACUUGAGCCCCAGCUCCCAGCCAUAGCCAAAGACCCACACUCAUUCUCCUCCGGUGCCUUCCUUCUGUCGGCACCACUCCAACCAUGGCCUCCUGGCGCUCCAAAGCUCUCUUGGAUGUACUGUCACAGGAGCAGACGAAGGACAUCGGCGGCCCCACUCCGGGCGCGCUCCAAAGCUCUCUUGGACGUACUGUCGCAGAAGCAGACGAAGGAGAUCACCGGCUCCCCCCUGGCCGCCCUCCGCCGCCACGACCACGAAGCCGGCGCGCGUGUGCGGGCGCAGCCGGCAGCGAGGAAGAAUAGUACACGGUAGGUCGCCGCCGCUCUGUUCCCAGGAAGGCCACCGCUCCUCCACUCAGUCGACGCCAAGCUUGGUAGGAUAAACAUCGACGGCCGAUUAGCCGCUUGACGGCGACGUGGAGGUGGAAAUCUUCAGAACCUUGUGCUCUGGAGGAGGAGGUUAUCGAGGCGGAUGAGGAGGAGGCAAAGGCAAUAGCCGGCUUUCUCAGGUUCAUGGCCGGACAUGGUGGUCGGGCGCCGGUGAUCAUUUAGAUUAGGUUUACUAUAGGUUUUAGUAUGGUUUGUGAGAAAUAUGUAAUGAAUUUCGUCCAGUUUAUAGGAAAAGUUUUCAAAAUGUAAUGAAUUUCAUCCGGUUAAUUUGAAAUUUGCUUUGUUUGCACGAAUUUCGUCCGGUUAGUUCAUAUAGUUGUCGAAAGGUAUGGGGGAAGCAUUGGAUGGCAUCCAUCAGUGUCCUCGGACAGAUGCCGGUGUAAAUUUGAGGGGCAGCGCUGGAGAUGCCCUAAGUAUCAUGCUAUAAUCGCUAACAGUGCUCCAUUAUUUCGCAGGGAACAGUUUUCCCUCGAUCAAAAUCAGAUCCACUGUGUUUCGCACUUCUCCCACAUAAGAGUGUAGACUCUUGCUUACAUAAAAAUGGAGCAAGUGGACGGCACUGUAGCACGUCAUAUCACUCAAACUAGCCCGCCUAACACGCGGGAAAGCACCGCCCUCGUCAUUUUGUUCUGGAUUUCUAUGAUCGAUCACACGAAAAUGUUACGCUUUGCAAGUUCAAAAGGAAAAGGUGGCACACUUACGACUCGUACGCGUCGCACCCCCGACAGUCCGGCUCGCAUGCCGCUCACCAGAGGGGACACACGUUGUCUCGCAUUUUCACUAACAUGUGGGACUGCAAUUGAAUAAACCGUCGAUAGCCGAAAUCUAAUCGCUCGGCGGGCGUCGGCUGAGAAGAGAGAGACAGGGGAGGGAGAAGAGAUCAUCCACUCGCCGUGCACAGACUCCAAGAAAUAUAUAUGGUGAUAAUGUGAGGUGGGCCAUGGGGGAGUCGGGAGUAAGUGAAGUAGAAAGGCACAAAUGGUAUGAACAUGCGUGGCAUAUAGGGUGUGUUUGGUUGUGUUCUCGUCUCAGCAUAGUUGUUCCCUCUUCAUGCAUGCUCAACUCAACAUGCAUGCUCUCUUCAUGCAUGCUUCUAGUGUAUUUGUGCUAAACUAGUGUGGACUCAUGCACCCUCCAUACACUCUACUAAACACCCAAAAGUGGGUCGAGAAGGGAACUCUUGGGCGGCAUUUGUCUCUUACUACGUACUCCCUCAGUUCCAAAUUACUCAUCGUGGUUUUAGUUCAAAUUUGAACUAAAACCACGACGAGUAAUUUGGAACGGAGGGAGUACCACUAAAUGUUGUACGUGCAAUGCACGGUGAUGUUAUGGAGUACGUGCCUAAGUACUCUACUACUACUAUAUUAGUUGGAGGCACAUAUUAUCUUUUAUAUUUGUUUACGUGUAUGCCCCGAGACCUUCCAACUAGAUGUGUCUUUCUCUUCAGGUCGCACUUUGUAUCGUUCAUACCACUAGUACUACUACGUGUGGUCUCCGACCCAGAAGUGGAAGAAGUGGAGACGCUCUACCACGCUGUUUUUUUGCGCUGGGCUCUACCACGAUGUUCAUGUCCCACUCCUUUCGCUGACGUGUGGGACAUCCAGCACGUGCCGUGUUUGUCACUCUUCGUCGUAAGAGUUGAAAUGCUAGCAUUCAUCAGAAAUAAAAAUAAAUAUAAAUCAGCAGUGAUACUAUUUUUUUUGAAAAAAUUAUCCUGGUCUACCCCGGUCGUAUCGCAGGCCAAACCUUUCCCACUGUAAGUUGGUCGGACGAAGGAACCAUCAUGACUUUGUUGAAUUCCGCUUCUUCAAGAAAACUUACUGUACCCGCAAUACUGCUACCACACGCGAAGACUGGUCGGCACUGUAGCACAUCAUAUCACUGAAACCCACUAGGCCAUCCUCAAAAAAACCCACUAGGCCAAAUUAGCCCGCCUAUAGGUCAUCUAUUUUGGAACGGAGGGAGUACGUCUCUGUACUGCUAUGAUUUUCUGUUGUACGUCUCUGUACUUUUGCUACGAUUUUCCUACCCUAUGAACCAAAUGAGGCCUGAAUGUAUCCGUGCCGAUUAAGCCUACAAUUCUAGGAGCUUGGGUUAUUGGUCGAUCGACGACGAAUAAGUAUAAGCGUACCACGAGCUCAUCAGCCCCAACAUUUCUCUUCGGUGAGUGUUUUGCAAGUACUAUAGCUUGCACAGUAGCUAGCCUACUAACACCAAGAAUCAUCAAACAAGCCCUGCUGAUAUGAUAAACAGUUCAAACUUACAUCUAAGCAUGCCAUAUGUUACAUCAAUAGCUGGUGAGGAUACAUCUGUUUCCAUAACUCGGAAAGGGUUCGCAUGAUUCACUAUCAAACAAAACUAGCAAGUACCGCCCACACAAGACAGUGCACUAGCCCUAAGAUGGUUUGAUAACACGCAUCGUUCUAGUAAUUAAACACAGGGCAAUGCAAACUACCCUGAAGGAUUAGCGCGACCAACUAUUUCUUCCCAUCGAUCUCUCGGGCAAUGACCACAGCACGGACAUCGGCAUGGGAAUCGAUCUCUGGGAUGAUGUCCACAGGACUGACCGCGACAUCAGAAUCGAUCUCUGGGGCGAUGUCCACAAGAUGGACAGCGGCAUCGGAAUCGAUCUCCGGGGCGAUGCCAACAGGACGGACCGCGACAUCGAAAACGAUCUCUGCGGCGUUGUCCACAGCAUGGGCCGCGACAUCAGAAUGAACGAGGACGUCCACCGGCACCUGCACAACCCUAACAUAUUAGCAAGCACAUUGCAAAUAAUCAAAAACCACAACUAUGGUAAUAAGCCAUUAUUUUUUACCUUGUGCAGCUCACCGGGGGAUCCCAUCCCUCCGGGGGCCAUCUCCUUGUCCUCGAUGGGGGCCAUCACCUUGCCAGGGGAAUACUGCUUCUCAACAGCGACUAUCUCCUCAAACUCGGCCUUGAGCCUCACAUAGGUGGCCAUCAAAGUUUCUAGGGUAGGCACGGUGGGGCCAGUGCUUGUUUCUUGGAGUUCUCCGUCUCCAUGGAUUGGCCCGCCAACAUGGUCAACUCGUUGGUCGGUGCUUGCUUCCUGGAGAUCGCUGUCUCCAGUGGGUUGAGCGCCGGCAACUCUUUGCCUAGUGCUCUAGGAUCCAUCAAUGAACUGACAAACAAAAAGCAAUCGAAAGGAAACCACAAUCGCAAUGAAAACGGGAAAAGAAUAGGCUGUGAGAAUCGGUCGGUGCUUUGCAAAAAGAAGAUUCUUGGAAUGAAAAUAUAGCAGCAUCACUAAUUCGCCCACCUUUCCUUCGUCGGUACAGAAGAAACAUGGCAGAAGUGAGUAGCCUGGAGUGAGGUUUUCUUCAACAAAGGGGAGAAAGGGCUUCAAAGAGCGUUCCAGUGAAAUGAUGGUUGCUUCGUCCAGUCCAACUUCGAGGCCACUUCACCACUGCUGGUAAAGGUGUGGGUUUUGUGAUAUGACGGGUCAUGAUGACCACACCGGGGUAACCGGUGAGUUUCGACUGUAGCACCUCGUUGUGAUUUGGUGGAUGGCACGCGGGCCCGGAUGCUUUGAUGUCCCGCAUGUAGAUAAAGCGGCUAGUCAUAUGGAGUGCUCAAUAUUGUGCACCGCGACCAAGGCGGAGAAAAAAACGAGAGAACUACAUAAUUAAUGCAUGAGUUUAAUCAGGGUAGUUUUUUAAAGUACGAGAUACAUUCCUCCAAUCGCAAAAUGCCUUGGUUGAUGAGAUUUGAGCCCUAUAAACCGGAAGGGAGGGAGUACUGCACGCGGUGUAGUCUAGUCACUUGUUGAAAUCUCUAGAAAGGCAAAUACUCCUUUUCGGUUUACAGGGCUAUACUAGCAAGUACUAGUACUACAAUAGUGGGCUCAAAUAGCAAUUUUGUCUCAUGCAAGAGCCUGGCUAUAUGCGUGCUCCAAGGCACCGCACCACACGAGCGUUCGCAACUGCCACGUUCGGGUUGCGCUUGGCUCUUCGCCUCUUCGAGAAGACGAACAGUGAUGUUGCUCCUACUUCUACAGUAUCGGAGCCACUGCUGCAUGUCCGUCCACCUCGUGCGGGAGGGAUAGCGUGUAGCGAAAGCUCCUACUAGUCCUGCCGGCCACCACACUCAUGCGCUAGGGAGGGACGCAUCUUCAUUGACUUACUGCUCCUGCCUUUGCGUCUAUGACAGGUGGGGCUAACAGGUGGUUGGCCCACCUAUCAUGCAGCCAAAGGCAGGUGCAGUUAAGGCACCGGAGCUCAGUCCGCGAGGGAGAGGGCGUUGUAGUAAUCAAACUUCUCGGUCUUGUACGAGUUGACGCGACACAUCAAAGCACUGCACUCGAUAUAGGUCUUUUUACACAUUUCUAAUGGACUACAACAUACGGAUGUAUGUACACAUAUUUUGCUUCGUAUGUAGUCACUUGUUGCAAUCUCUAAAAAGACUUAUAUUUGGAAACGGAGGGAGUACAACGCAUGCAUGCAUGCCGUGACUUCCCUUUUGAUACUUGCAUGUGUUGAUUUGACGCACCUUGCCAAAUUUUGACUAUAAAUUUAACUAACCAAAUUUUCAUGCAUGUCACAAAAAAUUACGGGGCUGUUUGGAUUGUGACUAUGUUUGUCUUAUGUUGCCACAUUAUUUUUCCCACACUUGCCUAACUUGAGUUGCUCAAAUUGUUAGACACACUUUGGCUUGCCUAAGGGAAUCUUGCCACACUUUUUGUGUCUAUGACAUGUGGGGUUCACUGCUAAUAAAAAAAUCUUGUCUUAGGUGUGGCUAAUAAAAAAGACUUGUAUUUAGGAACGGAGGGAGUAGAAAAUAUAAAUAAUAAUGCAUGUUGGGGCAACCCACGUUUCCGAUAAUUUUAGCCGUGGGCUUGUUCACAAUUUUUACGAGGGGGUGGUUGUUCAUUUAAUGCAGGGACUUGUACCAGACUUGAACGAUACAAAGUGCGACCUGGCACAACGUAACACCACUUGGAAUAAGCGGGUAGCUAUCUCAAAAAACAAUCAACAACUAAAAAAACGGCGACCUGGCACGGCACAAUUUUAAACGAUUGUUUUGAUGGAGUGAAAAAGGAAAACUACCCCACUACGUAUAUAUAGGCCGGAGCCUCCGCGCUUGCUUGCUAGGGUUGCUCUAUUCACACACUCUCAUCCUCUCCAGAUCUAAAUAAGAUAGGGGUGGUAACACUGUCUUUCUCCCUUCAAAAAACACUGUCUUUCUAUCCUCACCGCUGGUUACAGAUCUGGACGUAUCCCCCUCCGCUGGUGAAGGGGAGGAGGGGCAGCGUUUAGGCUGUCAUCGACAGCGAGGGAGGAGACCCACUGCCGGCCGCCCCGUUAUCUCUGGCCAAGCGCCGGCGCGGGAGGUCCUCCGAUCCCUUCGUCGUUGCCCUAGUGUGGGCGGAUUCGGCUUCCCGUCGCCCACCUAUCCACAUCCCGAUGACCUUUAGGUAUAUCUUCCUUCGAAACCGCCUUAGCUCUACUUCCCCAGCUCGCUACGUCACUGCAUGUGCAUCAUUUUCUACCUCUCAGCCCCUCUUGAUCGGAUGGUCCAACGUCACCUAUUUUUUUCUUCUAUUGUUAGAGGUAAAGCUACUUCAUGGAGUCGAAUCUUGUACUUGGUUCAAACAAGAAAUAAAGUGGGGGUGGGGGAAUUUAGUAUGUACAUCGGACUUGGUACAAACAGGAAGGAAAGGGGGUGAAAGUAGUACAGACUGGUCAUCCAACCGGUCUCUUGGUCGAAAAGGGAAAUAUAGGGAUAACGUUGUACACAGUGGUAUGACCAGGACUAGAUUUGCUAUCCACACAUAGGAGUAGGUGGCUAGAGUGAACAAAAAUGGGACCAACCCAGAUAUGUUUCUUGGAUGUUUGUUUCUCGGGGCAACAAACUAUGAAUCACCACUUUAUGCCCCUGUUUAGGUACAUGGUGUUGGACUACUGGUGCACCCACUGUUCCAUGCCCUUAUACCAAAUAUUUAGUUGUUCUUAAUCUAAUGCCCCUGGUAAAAAUGAAGCCAUGCCACUGUUAUAAGCCAUGACAAGUUUAGCCAAAUGUUUUUGCCUGUAAUUGUUUGAGACUCUGACUGUUUCCUCUGUAGCUUUUUGUGCAAACAGGGAUAUCCAUUUCACCUGGUUGCUGUUGUUACCUUUUGGUGCACUGCACAAAACUCUUCUUAAAAGAAGUGAAUUUUGUGCUGUUUAACUGGAAUGUCAUAAUGGAACAGUUGGUUCAUUUUGGUGGAACUGCACAAAGGGAGAUCUGUGUUCCAAUCCUCAUCAUCCAUAUUGGCACCAUAACCUUCCUUUAGGUAAGAAUGAUAUUUAAUGCAUGUGUUCAUCUCCAUUUUGCGACUGCCAUGAGAAAAUAAUGCUAUUUUUUACUAGUACACUUGUACUCCCUCACUGACAAAACCAAUUCUGAAAUAGAAGGCCAAUCAUGUACUUGGUUUCACCAACUUGUGAGGAGAAUGAGAAACAGAGCAUGAAGAGGAGGAAGAAGAAGAAGAAUAAACAGUGCCAAGGCGAUCUUGCUGAAGCCAGAGGCCUCAGUCGAGGCCAUUCAAGGGCUCCAACAAUGACUACCUUACAUAUGAGAUGAUCCUCCAGGGUGCCCUUCCACUUGUCUUACUUAAUUAAUUAGGAGUACUUAAGUACCACUAAUUUAUUGCUGCCUAAUUUUCCUGUCGGAGUUAAACAAAUAUUUUGUAGCACCCUAUGCUGAAUCAUGUACAUGUGUAUGUUUGUCUAUGGAGGUGAAUCAUGUGGUGGAGCAGGGAGGGAAUAUUAUUAGUGUCGUGACAUAAUAGUGCUAUUGUUUUGCAUGUCAAUUUAUUGCCAUUGGUUCAAUGAGGCAAUGUUUUUUGUAUUGUCCAUCAUGAAUUUGAUGCUACUGUUAGAGUAAUAUGCUAAUGUCUUUCUAUCCUUUCUCACUAACCUAAUGAAGGUUUCACCUUGUUCCUACUUGUGCAAACAGGGAUCAUCUUGUGCCAAUCAUACAUUUUAGUGGAACUACAUAAGACAAUACAAUGAACUGUAUCCCAGCCAGUGCUUUAACUCUGCUGGAAGUUCUUGAUAAUAUUUCGAUAUAAUCUCAGCACUGGUAAACAAGAGUGAUUUGAACCAUACAUUUGAAGUGCACAAAAAUAUAUACUAUUGAGUGAUUCCAGUGAGUGCUUUAUCAUCUCUUAUGGGACUACAUGAAUAAGCUUUUUUCCUCAGGUUGGUACGGGCCUAAGGCCUUCAUUCGUAUUAGUUUGCUGUCAUCUCUAUUUGUCUCGUGCUACUGUCAUGAGAAACUCCUUUAUCUUUGCACGUUAAAGUUUUGCAACCUAUGAUACAUGGCAAUGCUUUGAGUGUGGAGCUAAUUGGCACUGAUUAAAUAAACUAAUACCUCUCUUUAAGCAAGACUACUAUGUUGCUAACUUUACCCAUUAAGAUAAUGAGGGUGCUUCUAUUUGUUAGUGUAUGUUUCAUCAACUAGUCCCACUAUUACAGUAAUCUCACUCUCUCAAUAUAUGUGCCAACAGGGAUGCUCGAUUUUGGUGGAACUGCACAAAAACUUUGGGUGCUUCAUUGCCUCGACAGCUUCCGUCCUUUUUUGUCAGUCGCUAAUCUAGGCCUGCUUUCUUCCUUUGCUGUCAGUCGCUUCGCUUAUCUCGGCUUCCAGUCAAAGGAAAUAGUAAUUGAUAUGCUACCUCACACAGGUUGGUACUGGUCUUUAUCCUGAUUAUUGUGCUUGUCAUGUAUUGGUAAUUUGGUAUCGUGCUACUGUUUGCUGAUUUUAUAAAGGAGUAACUUGGAGCCUGAACUCGCAGGCAAAUCAUUGCAUUGGGUGAUUUCAGUAGAACUGCACAAAAAUAUCAGAUGGACAGAUACUUAUGUUGCUGCUAUGUACUCCAAAGUUCAGUCAGACAAGCAUCGAUGUUGACAAGAAGUGCCUAUAUUCAUUCAAGUAUCAACCUGCAUCAACCAGUUGUCAAACUCCAAGUAUUAGGAGAGUGAACGUUAAAAAUAUUGCUUGGCGCAUAGCCCAGAAAAACACAGUCCAGUCUUUGGUCCCAACUUGUGCCUUUUGGUUAUCGGCAGAUAUGGUAGCGAACUGUAUGGCAUGGAGUCUAAAGAUUCCAGACAAGUUGGUUGACGCGUAUAUUCAUCUGGCACUUAAUCAGUCUACACGCCAGGGGUGCUCCAUUUCAGUUGAACUGCACAAAAAAUUUGGGUGGUUCAUUUUCUCAACCGCCUCCUUUCUCGUCUGCAAUGUAGAAUUUUGGCGAGCCACAGGACCAAGAUGAGCCAGUAAACUAGUUGGAUGAAAGUAGUGGCCAAGUUUCUCAAACCUCCCUCGGCACGAGGCCACUAUUUGAGGAUAAACCUACAAGCAAAGUUCGGAUUGUCUGUGCUGCCUCUUAUGUACUCGAAAGUUUACUCGUACAAGCAUUAAUUUUGGCAAGAAGUACCUCCGACUGAACACCAUUUACCAGUCUGUACCCUUGGUAAUUAAAGUUCGUCCAUGGAUCAUAUUGGCUGUGAUAUCAAUCAUUUGGAUGCAUAAACAUACUGAACAUGUGUAUAUCUGAAUCUUUUUGUGAAUUAUCUAUGAAUAUUGUUGUGUGAUCUAUCAAUCAUUUGGAUCCAUAGACAUGCUGAACUUGUGUAUAUAUGAAUCUUUUGAGUUGUUGAUAGUGAAUGUUGGCUAUGAAUAUGUACGUGCCCUGUGAACCUGAGUUUGAUACGAAUGUUUACCUUUUCUGUUGUACUUGUGUGUGAACUUGUUAGUAUGCCUACUGUGGGGUAUGUGACGUGUGGGUGUCAACGGCACACCUUCUUCCCGAGAAGAAUUGCACCUGCUUUGUUAGGGUAGCAACGGCGCAUCAGCUCUUUUUAAUCUUUUUGCUCUGUCUUGCCCCCUCCCCCGCUCAACCCCUACCGUAAUGUUUCGGCCUCAAAGCAAACAUAGUACUGCGUUGUUUUUGGGGCUUGAUGAAAAAUCGAGUGCUGGUUUCUGUAGGUUGGCCCGCCCAGCAAAUGUGCUACUGGUCCACCAUGGACUGGGAGGCUAAAAAUACAAGUUGUAUGGUGCAGAGGCAAGUAAGAAAACGCCAUCGAGAGCCAUCCACUGAAGAAAAAAAAUCGCUCCUCAUGUGCUUCUUCAGUCGUGCUGCCGGCCCCCUCUUUAAUCCAGUUCGCUCGGGGAUCUAGUAUCAUUUUUUUCCAGAGGGCGAACAAGUAUCAGCUAGGCCUAGGUUUUGUAUUUUAACAUGCGUAGCCCACGACAUACGGUGACAGUGGUUUCAACUUAUUUUUGGAGGUCCAUACCGGCCUAUGGGCUUUUUCUUAAAGAUCGGCAGCCCAAUGCAUAUUUUUAACCACAUUAUAUAUUAUAUUAUUACUAUUAUCGUAUAUUUUAUAGAGUUGUAUAUACAUUAUAAAAAGAUCCCACGUGUUAUUAACUUAUAAAAGUAAAUGUUUAACAGAAGUUAGCAAGGAAAAUCUUGGUUGUUUUUGACUCACAGGCAAGGAAAAUCCUGGUGAUUGCAUACAAAAGCUUGCGAAGAUUUUAAGGACCAAUGUAAUAAUAACGCGCUCAUUUUUAUUUUGAGCAAUAACUCGCUAAUUUGUUAAUUAUGUAUGUAAAAAUGUGCCUCUCCGGUUUAUUUUUUGAUAUUAAUUGCUCCUUAUAACAUAACAUUAUAUAUAUAACGAGCCCAGCUAAUUCGUGUAUUUGAAGGAAAUGCAAAUGGGCUGGGAUUUCUUAGAAAAUAUAAAUGGGCCUCAUUGACGCGAAAUUAUUUCUUCACCCAGCCCAGCAAAUGGACUGUACAUUCUAGAAAACAUGGGUUAAAUAUAUGCCACUUUUUUGCAGGCUGACAUGUGGGCCAAUAGGUCGAAGCCUAUACGCAGGGCGUUGUCAACUUGGUCAACAAAUGAUUAUGACAUCCACAACCAUUGGAUUUAUAUCCAACGGCCGGCAUGCACCUUCAAUCUCUCAUGUUCUUCCUCCAGCGUCGCCAGGACCGCCUGGUCCGACCUCCGGCGGCUAGCGGCUCUACUUAGCACGCAUCGCUGCGAAGCGCUACCCCAACGCCGGCCACGCUAUCCCUCCACCCCUCCUAUUAUUCUCCACCGACUGCAGCCCCGCACCGCACCAAAACCAGUUAUAACCCUUCUCCUCUUCUCAAUCUGCGACUCCACCGCCACGUCUUCCCAUCUUCGAGUCGUUCCCGUCCGGGGCCUCGCCGUCGUCCACCGCCUCGCUGUGCUCGGUGCGGCGUGGUCAACAAACGAGAGUCAUCGGAACAGGACUAUACGUGGAGAGCCUGACGGCUGGGACCCACGAGGUUCAUGGUCGCACGCAAGGAAAGUUUCUCCUUAUUAAGCUGAAAAAAAUGUUUCCUCCACCUGACAGCUUGGACCCACCGGCUGUAUCUUCGCACGGAAGGAAGUGCCUCCUUGUUAUGCGAAAAAAAUUAUUCCUCCCAUUGACAGCUGGGACCCAUCAGAUUUUGUGGCUGACUUGUGGGACUACUAAGCAGACGUGUACACAGGGCUUUGUCAACUUAAUCAACAAAUGAUUCUAGCAGCUGGACUGUUGGAUGUUAAUCCAACAGCCGUGCUGCUUCUUCAACCUCUGUUCUUGCUCCUGUCUCCCGUGGGCAGCACCGCGCCUGUGCUGCCGCGCACCCGAACUAGUCAAGUUUCCCACUCCUCUCCAUCUGCGACUCCACUGCCUCGUCUUCCCCAUCUCCGGGUCGUUCCAGUCUGGGGCCUCGCCGUCGUUCACCGGCCUUGGUGCGCUCGGCACGAUGUGGUCAACAUGGUCAACAACCGAGAAUCAUCGGAAGAUGGCUGUACGUGAGAGGCUGACAGUGGGAACGCACCACGCCCAUGGACGCAUGCAUGCAACGGAAUGCAGCGUGGUCAACGUGGUCAAGGAACGACUUCCAUCGGAAGUGUACUGUACGUGGAGAGGCUGACAACUGGGUCCAUGGCCGCAGCAAGGAAGUGCCUCCUUAUUACGCGGAAAAUAAUGAUUCCUCCACCUGAUAGCAGGGACCCACCGGACUGGCCACCGUAUUUUGCGAAAAAAAGUUUCCCCCCUGACUGCUGGGACCCACCGGACGGGCCACCGUAUUUCGUGAAAAAAACGUUCCCCUCGCCGUCAGCUCGGACCCACCGGAAGUGCCUCCUUAUUACGCAGAAAAAAAUGAAUACUCCCCCCGCUAGCUGGGACCCACCUUGGUGGGAGGCUGACUUGUGGGCCUACUAAGUUGACGGGGACAGAGGGCUUUGUCAACUUAGUCAAUAUGAGCGAUUCUAGCUCCAGUGACCGUACGAUGUCCAUCCAACGGCCGUAGUGCUUCUUCAACCUCUGGUCUUCUUGCUCCAGCCGCCCAAACCAGCGCCGGUCGUGCCGCGUGCUCCUGCCUCCCGUGGCUGGCUGUGAUGCCGCGGAGGCCUCACCGCCCUCUACUACUCCCACCGCUGGCCAGGCCAUCCCUCUACUCACCCACACCCCCUGUUAUUUUGCGGCGACGGCAGCCUCACACCGCAGCCGAACCAGUGAACCCUCAUACUCCUCUACGCGUGGGCAUCCACUGCCGCGUCUUCCCUGGCUCCGCGUCGUCCCCUUCCUAGGCCUCACCGUCGUCCACUGCCCUGGUGCUCUCCGCGCGGCGUGGUCAACAUGGUCAAGGAACAACUUCCAUCAGAAGAGUACUGUACGUUGAUAGGCUGACAGCUGGGUCCACAUCAGCUGCAAGGAAUUGGCUCCUUAUUACGCGCAAAAUAAUUAUUUCUCCACCUGACAGCAGGGACCCACCGGACGGGCCACCGUAUUUGGCGAAAAAACGUUUCCUCCUGACUGCUGGGACCCACCGGAUGGGCCACUGUAUUUUGCGAAAAAAACAUUCCCCUCAUGUCAGCUCGGACCCACCGAAAGUGCCUCCUUAUUACGCACAAAAAAAUGAAUACUCCCCCUGCUAGUUGGGACCCCCCUUGGUGGGAGGCUGACUUGUGGGCCUACUAAGUUGACGGGGACGGAGUGCUUUGUCAAAUUAGUCAAUAUGAACGAUUCUAGCUCCAGUGACCGUACGAUGUCCAUCCAACGGCCGUAGUGCUUCUUCAACCUCUGGUCUUCUUGCUCCAGCCACCCAAAGCAGCGCCGGUCGUGCCGCAUGCUCCUGCCUCCCGUGGCCGGCUGUGCUGCCGCGGAGGCCUCACCGCCCCCUACUAUUCCCACCGCUGGCCAGGCCCUGCGGCGAUGGCAGCCUCACACCGCAGCCGAACCAGUGAACGCUCGUACUCCUCCCUGCGCGGGCUUCCACUGCCGCGUCUUCCCCGUCUCCACGUCGUCCCCUUCCUAGGCCUCGCCGUCGUCCACCGCCCUGGUGCUCUCGGCGCGGCGUGGUCAACUUGGUCGAGGAACGACUUCCAUUAGAAGAGUACUGUACGUGGAGAGGCUGACAGCUGGGUCCACGGCGGCCGCAAAGAAGUGCAUCCUUAUUAAGCGCAAAAUAAUUAUUCCUCCACCUGGCAGCAUUGACCCACCGGACGGGCCACCCUAUUUCACGAAAAAAACAUUUCCCCCUGACUGCUGGGACCCACCAGCUACAUCUUCGCACACAAGGAAGUGCGUCCGGGCAAAAAAAACCGAUUCGCCCCCUGACUGCUGGGACCCACAGCUACAUCUUCGCAUGGAAGGAAGUGCCUGACAGUCGGGACCCACCUGGUCGGAGCGUACGUAGCGUUGUCAUUCUGGUCGCGAACGUGUAUGUACAUACUGGUCGAUGUAGAGGCGCGCACGUGUCGUAGUAGAGGUGUGCACGUAGCAUGUACACAUACGUACAGCGGCCAGUGUGCAAGAAAGAAAAUACGGCCACAUACAUACAUACGGGCGGGGUCUCGAACGCCUAGUUGCGCAUACGUACGGCCAGGGCUCGUGUACAUGGCUGGGUCGGAACGGAGAAACUGCGUCGUCAUCGUGUUCAUGGGGAGGCAACGGAAUGCGUCAUGUUCAUCGGGAGGCAACGGAACGCGUGGGAGACAACCGGCUUGGACGGAACAGCCAAUGGAAACGAGGCCUGGCGUACCACACAACGGAGGAAACGGCCUUGUGUUCGACCGGCCACGUUCGAAACGGGAUCCUGUUCAUCGGGAGGGGUCUGGCGUACCGUAAAACGGAGGAAACGGACUUGUGUUGGACCUCCUACGGUCAAAACGGGGUCCUGUUGAUCGGGAGGGGUGUGGCGUACCGCAAAAUGGAGGAAACGGACUUGUGUUGGAGCGCUACGGUCAAAACGGGGGUCCUGUUCAUCGGGAGGGGUGUGGCGUACCGCAAAACGGGACUCCACGGGAUACUGUUCAUCUCCACCAUCGACCCCCUCCAGCCUCCACGAGCUACUAUUUAUCCACCGUCGACCUCCUCCAGCCUCCGCCUGCGACUGUUCAUCCACGGGCUCCUGUUCAUCCAGCCUCCACCGCGUGCUACUCCACCGGCUACUGUUCAACCAGCCCUCUCCACGGGCUCCUAUUCAACCACCCCUCCACGGGCUACUGUUCAUCCAGCCCUCCAUUGUCUACUGUUCAUCCAGCCCUCCACGGGGUCGUCCUAUUCAUCCAGCCCUCCACGGGGUCCUGUUCAUCCAGCCCCAACCGGCUCGAUCGAUCGGGGUCAUGUUCAUCCAGAGGCAACUGAGGGAGCCCUGGACUAAGGGGUCCUCGAGCGUCCGGCCAGUUAUCUGUUGGGCCGGAUUGAUGGGCUAUGAAGACAUGAAGACCGAAGACUAUACUCGUGUCCGGAUGGGACUCUACUUGGCGUGGAAGGCAAGCUAGGCGACCGAUUAUGAAGAUUUCCUCCUAUGUAACCGACUCCAUGUAACCCUAGAUCUCUCCGGUGUCUAUAUAAACCGGAGGGCAUAGUCCGUUUCCAUAUACUCAUAGGCUAGACUUCUAGGGUUUAGCCAUUACGAUCUCGUGGUAGAUCAACUCUUGUAACACUCAUAUUCAUCAAGAUCAAUCAAGCAAGAAGUAGGGUAUUACCUCCAUAGAGAGGGCCCGAACCUGGGUAAACAUUGUGUCCCCCGUCUCCUGUUACCAUCGAUCCUAGACGCACAGUUCGGGACCCCCUACCCGAGAUCCGCCGGUUUUGACACCGACAUUGGUGCUUUCAUUGAGAGUUCCACUAUGCCGUCGGCAAAGGACUCGAUGCCCCCUUCGAUCGUCAGUAAUGGCGUGGUCCAGGGAGAAACCUUCCUCCCCGGAGAGAUCUUUGUAUUCGGCGGCUUCGCACUACGGGCCAACUCGCUUGCCAUCUGGAGCAGAUCGAUUGUUACGCCCCUGGCCACCAGGCCAGGUUCGGAAGCUUAAACUACAUCGCGGAUAUCCGUGGAGACUUGAUCUUGGAGGGAUUUGAUACCGUGGCGAUCGCUCCCCCUUUCUCCGAUGAACAUGACCUAAAUCUGUCAUCGGAGCACACCCAGGAGAUGGAUCUUGUUGCUGCAACGGCCUCAGUACCAAAGAAGAUCACGCCCUCCGAGGCCAUAAAGUCCGCGGCGUUGGAGCCGCACACGGACUUGACAUCCUGCAAUGCUUGCGUCAACGGAACCCCGGACUCGUUUCCGGCUGCACGUUCCGGACCAGAUACACUUGCGGACACCGAGCUGGAUCGGUUGUCGAUUUUCGAAUUUAGCGCCGCAGACGUCUUCCAGCAUUCGCCUUUGGGUGCUGUACUAAAUUCUUUGAAGAACUUGUCCUUGGAGGAAGACUCAUAGCCGAACUAUGUUCGGUUCGAGCUCCAGGCGGGCGACGAGAAUUUUGCUUCCCACCCGCCACCCACUUCAUAGCCACCGUCGAUGACUUAACCGACGUACUUGACUAUGGCUCUGAAGACAUCACCGGUAUGGACGACGAUGCCGACAAUGAGCAAGGCCAAGACCCGCCAUUCACUGGACGUUGGACGGCCACCUCUUCGUACGACGUAUACAUGGUUGAUACACCCAAGAGAUCUGGCGACGACAAAGAAAAGCCAGAUAAGAAUAAAACUUCCGAGACGCAGUCCAAGUGCCGACGCCCUAAGCGCCGUUCUAAGCCUCACCGCUCAAAGGAUAGCAAUACUGGUACCGGAGAAAAUAGCACUCCGGGCGACGCCGAAAACAAUGAAGACCCUGUCGGAGCUACAUCCGAACAUGAGGAACAUGACGACAGGCAAGACAACCCUGAUGAGCAGGCCAUAGAAGAUGACUCGGGGAUGAUAGUUACCGUCCACCCUCCGAAGAGGAGACAAGCCUCGACAACGAAGAUUUCAUCGUACCUGAGGACCCCCUGGAGCAGGACCGCUUUAAGCUUCAACUCAUAGCCACUGCAAGGAGCCUGAAAAAGAAGCAGCAGCAGCUUCAAGCUGAACAAGAUCUGCUCGUCGACAGAUGGACUGACGUCCUGACAGCGGAAGAAUACGGCCUCAAGCACCCAACCAAGAGCUACCCAAAACGCUGACUGCUACCUCAAUUCGAUGAGGAGGCACUAGAGCACAAAUCUCCCUCGCGUAAUGCGGAACGACCACCAUGUGGUCGAGACAGGGCGGCCGACCGGACACCACGCGGUCGGAAUAAAGCGGUAACUCAGGCCGAACAGCAGCCUGCCCAACCGCCCCGCAAAAAUAAAGACGGAAGAAUUCAGGGUCACACGUAUGACCUCCGGCAGACCCUGGGCAGUAGAGCAGGACAUACAAGAUCGAUCUAUGGAUCUCGAGAACGUGCCUCGAGGCACGAAGACGGCUACCUAUUCGGACGUGACAAACCUAACCACGCCCGGUACGAAUGCCGCAGACAGACUCCAUCAGAGCUACGCCGCGACAUGGCACGGUGCAGAGGUGCCGCACACCCUCUCUGCUUCACAGAUGAGGUACUGGAUCACGAAUUCCCCGAGGAAUUCAAGCCCGUCAAUCAAAACAUACGACGACACAACCGAUCCCGGAGUGUGGAUCGAGGAUUUCAUCCUCCACAUCCACAUGGCUCGAGGAGAUGAUCUCCAUGCCAUUAAAUAACUCCCACUCAAGCUCAAAGGGCCAGCUCGGCACUGGCUUAACAGCCUGCCUAAAAAUUCUAUUGGCAGCUGGGAGGACUUGGAAGAAGCUUUCCUAGACAACCUCCAAGGAACAUAUGUCCGACCAGCAGACGCCGAUGAUCUAAGCCACAUAGUUCAACAACCUGGAGAAUCAGCUAGAAAAUUCUGGACUAGGUUUCUAACCAAAAAGAACCAGAUCAUUGACUGUCCGGAUGCCGAGGCCUUAGCAGCCUUCAAACACAACAUCCGUGAUGAAUGGCUAGCACGCCACCUCGGCCAAGAAAAGCCGAAGUCGAUGGAAGCCCUCAAGGCCCAUAGUAACAACAUAGCCAGCGAGACAGGCCCCUCCGAGGCCAAGAAUAGCACGGGCAAGCUCCGGCGCAAUAGGCACAAAUGCCGAAGCAAUGACAACAACACCGAUGACACCACAGUCAACGCUGGAUUCAGUGGCUCCAAGUCCGGCCAACGGAAGAAGCCCUACAAAAGAAAUAAUGAAGGACCUUCUAGCCUGGACCGCAUACUCGGCCGUCCGUGCCAGAUACGCGGCACCCCGGACAAGGAAGCCAAUCAUACCAAUAGGGAUUGUUGGGUUUUCAAGCAGGCUGGCAAGUUAAAUGCCGAACACAAAAAAAGGGAUCACAAAGUGAGGACGAGGAUGAAGAGCCCCGGCAGCCGAACACUGGGGGGCGGAAGAAGUUUCCCCCUCAAGUCAAAAUGGUGAACAUAAUAUACGCUACACACAUCCCCAAAAGGGAGCGUAAGCGUGCACUCAGGGACGUCUACGCGGUAGAGCCAGUCGCCCCCAAAUUCAAUCUAUGGUCUUUAUUUCCGAUCACCUUUGAUCGUCAAGACCACCCAACCAGUAUCCGUCAUGGCGGUUCGGCCGCAUUGGUCCUUGACCCAAUCAUCGAUGGAUUUCACCUAACGCGAGUCCUAAUGGACGGUGGUAGCAGCCUCAACCUGUUCUAUCAAGACACAGUUCAGAAGAUGGGCAUUGACCCCUCACGAAUCAAACCAACAAAGACUACCUUCAAAGGAGUCAUACCAGGCGUUGAGGCCCGCUGUACGGGCUCAAUCACGCUGGAAGUGAUCUUCGGUUCUCCGGACAAUUUCCGAAGCGAGGAGUUAAUCUUCAACAUCGUCCCAUUCCGCAGCGGCUACCAUGCACUGCUCGGACGAACAUCGUUUGCUAGAUUCAACGCAGUGCCACACUACGCUUAUCUCAAGCUCAAGAUGCCCGGUCCACGCGGCGUCAUAACAGUCAAUGGCAACACGGAACGCUCCCUUCGAAUAGAGGAGCACACCGCCUCCCUAGCAGCAGAGGUACAGAGCGGCCUUCUCAAGAAGCACCAUAGUGCGGCUGCCGAGCCCCUGGACACCAUCAAGAAGUUCCGAACUACACUGCAGUAGGGCAGCAAGGCUCGUCAAGAGCUCAACAAGCAAUUCGGCCUCCGUCCCAGUCCCAAUGAAGCAGUGGCAUUCGCACCACGUGUACAUAAUUACACACUCGAAAUUCCAUGGACAUCGACGGAGGCACAAGCCAACCCGGGAACUACAGUUUGGCUAGACCGACCCCGGACACACUUUUUCCUUUCUAUUUCAGGUUCAUUUUCCCGCGAGCCUGAUCACCAGCCCCUUCGAAGGAUCGACAUACAAAGGGGGCAUGCAGCAUAGGUGUGUAGGGUAACCUCCAUACGUUCUUCUUGACGGUAUUUUUACUUAUUUCCUAGGACCCGCACACUGCUCCUUCUUGAUCCCGACAUGUUAAAUAGUCCGGGUGCUUAUCGCACUAUUUGUAUAAGAUACGCCUUGACGUAUCCAUUCAGUUACAAUAAAAAUGAUUUGCGGCCCAGUUUCUAUGGUUUUCGCUUCUUACAUCAUUUCAUUUCGAUCUGCUUAUCACCUACAUCGGUACUCUUUUGUACAUUUCAUAUUCGCCAGGGGCUGCUUAUCGCCCCAUAACACGGCAACAAAGUCCGAACACUUCUUGUAUACAAGUUCGGCACCCCGAAUUUAGCAUUAUAUGCAUUGGCUCCGAAUCAUGUCUUUGGUCAAUAGUUGGGUUGCCCGGCUCCUGUGCUUGCUACCCUACGUUCGGUUCUAUCGGCUAGGGUAGUAAAGGGAGAACAACUGCGAUUGUGCCUUGGCCCUGACCGGAUGAGCACCUCAGUAGAGAAAGCCAAAAACUGACUGUCAUGAUACGGCGAGAGCCGGUCAGCUGUUCGAGGGUUACAAAAUCGUUGGAGAUUUUUUCUGCAUCGCGCGAAGGGUCGGCACUUCCCGAUCAGCUGCUGACAGCACCCUGGCUUGGACCAGGGGCUACACACUUGCUUAAUUAUAAAACUCCUAUGGCUAAGUGAGGGCAUUUAAGCCGUAUAGUCUGAUUGCCUUGUUCGUUGCGCUAAACAACUCCUUCAAGGACCAUAUAAUUGGAUCAAGAUUGUUUAGGUCCCAUCCCGAACACCUCCGUACUAAUUACGUGAGGGAAGAAGCCGACGACUGGCCAACCCUUAGAUUGCAUACAACACGGCCGCACAGGAGGAAACAAUUUAAAGUAACGAAAUUACAUUACAAAACAAGCUUUGUCUUUAUAAUACAAGGCAAUGGACAACAUGAAUGUAUUCAUUCGAAAAUAAUGUUCUUUGAACAUUGAGCCGCCACAAGUCGAGACCCUUUUAUCGCAUCCGCAAAAUAUUUCUCGGGUGUGCGUUGCUCCUUGCACUCCGGCGGCCCGCUGGCAACUUCAACAACGUUCAUCUUCGCCCACCACAUCUUGCAGCGAGCGAAGGCCAUACAGGCACCUUCAAUACAGGCAGAACGCUUGACGAUGUCCAGCCGGACGGACUUCCAUUAGGCGCCUCACGAGACCGAAGUAGCUGUCGGGCAUAGCUUCGGCUGGCCAUAGCCGGAUUGUCAAAUCCUUCAUGGCUAGUUCGGCCACCCGGUGCAGCUCCACUAGCUGCUUCAGCUGGUCGGUGAAAGACACAGGAUGCUCUGGCGCCACAUACUGCGCCCAAAAUAGCUUAUCCAUAGAGCCUCCUCCUUCGGCUCGGUAGAACUCUGCAGCGUCUGAUACGCUGCGUGGUUGAUCCGCAAAAGCUCCUGGGGAACUCCGAACCCGGGUUAGUAAAAGGUACUGCCUUUCCGCAUACUUGCUUUGCAUCUUAAAAUCCUUAGCCACCGUGAUUUUCCUGGCCUCCUAGAUCUCCUGGAUGACGGCCUGGGCCUCAUUCCACGCGGUCUCCGCGCCCUGACGAGCAUUGGUGAGUUCGGCUUCCCGAGCCGAUGCAUCAUUCUCCAAGGUCUCACAUUUUUUCACUGCAUCUUGGAGCUCCUGCUGGAUUUCCUUGACACGGGCCUCGAGCUUCUUACGGGCGGCUUGCUGCUGGACAGCCUUCUCCUCGGCCUCGCCUAGGGCCUUCCUCAGGGCCUCGACCUCGGUCGCGGCUCCUGCAUACAUUUUGACAUUACAGUCAAUACACAGCGUCUCCGCUUUCCGAACACACAGCAAGACAUUACUUACCUUGCUUCUCCUGCAGCCGCACCCUAACCUCGCCGAGCUCGUUCUCGGUCCGCUCCAGCCUCUGCCUUAGUUCAGAGACUUCGGCAGCAUGUGAGGUCGCGGCCAACAGCGACGCCUGCUCAUGCACACAUAUCACGUUAGUCUCCUUCACUAGAGAAUUGAUCCUCUGGCCGGUUCCUCUUACCGAGCACCGGACAACCUCUCAGGGGCUACUGACUAUAUGGGGUUUUUUCUCUGUUAUUUACCUCGAAACUUGUCAACAGGUUGCUGCAGGCUUCGUUCAGUCCACUCUUGGUGGACUGAACCUUCUCGAUCACCGCGCUCAUAAGAACACGGGGCUCGUUCAUAACAGAGGCGCCUCGUAGCGCCUCCAUCAGGUUAUCCGGCGCCCCUGGAUGGACAGGGGCCACCGGCGGAAAUGGUGCACCCCCCUCCUUCAAAGGGGGCUGCCCGCCCGACUCCGGAGCCAUAUGGGUCUCCGGAAUGGUAUCCGGCUGAGGGCCAAGCUGGAUGCGGCCCUCUUCAUCAGUCUCCAUGGGGAUCGUCUCCUCCAUGUGUCCGGCAGUGGAGGCUUCGCCUCGCGGCGCCUCCCGGACAGCGUCCCGGGUUCCUCCCCGGCUUUGAUCGGCCCUCCGGGACAGCGCCUCGGCGUCGUCCCCGGCCCCGGGGGAGUAAGCACGCGGUGGCGACUGGCUCGCCAUCUAUGACGGAGCCAACGAACUUCGAGACGAUGAUCGCUGGAUUAGGUCGCGGGUCGCACUGCAAUAGUACGGUUAACUACAUCAAGAUAAUAGAGAGAAAGGGCUGGAUGUGCGCAUAAAUAAGCCAUGUCACUUACGAUGCGGCCUGGGGCUUUGUGUGGGGUCUCGCUCCGGACUACUGUCUACGUCCUACGCAGUAUUGGCCGCCGGAACGCCCUUCCCCUUUUUAGGCGCCUCCGCCUCUAGAUGUGCCGGAGCCGCCCUCUUCUUCUUCCUCUCCUCAGGGGGAGGAUUGUUUUCUUCCUCCUCCUCCUCUCCCCCGUCUUUGUCCUCAGGGAUAGAGGAAUGAGUUUCCUCGUCUUCAGACAUCGCGUCCGAAGUACCCUUACGAUGGAGGCCGCUCUUGGCCCCCUUUGCCUUCUUGGCCUUCUUCUCCGGCGCCUUAUAUGGCGUCGGUACUAGCAUCUCCGCCAAGCGCGGGAUGACUGGUUCUUCGGGCAGCGGAGCCGGACACUGGAUCUGCUUCGCCCUCUCCGUCCAGUCCUGAAGGAGCAAUAACAAAGGCUCAGACAUCAUCCUCGAAACAAUUAAGUUGAGGACUCGUUCGAAAUAACAUACCUUGCUAGCGGGGUGUGUACAAUCAUGAGCACGGUCCAAAUCAGUGGCCGGAGGUUUCUCAUUGCCCUAGAAGAGCAAUUUCCAUGCGCCCUCAUGCGUAGUCUUGAAGAACCUCACCAGGGUCCGAUGCUUCUUGGGAUUGAACUCCCACAGCAGCCGGCUUCGGCACUGGCAUGGAAGGAUCCGGCGAACUAGCAUCACCUGGAUCACGUCAACAAGCUUGACGCUCUUGGUCACCAUGCUCUGAACACGCGUCUGCAACGCUAUCAGCUCGUCAGGCGAACACCAGUCCGGACUCUUCUCGACCCAAGAGGUGAGUCGCAUAGGAGUGUCGGGGCGGAAUUCGGCAGUCGCGGCCCAGGAGGUGCCGUGUGGCUCUGUAACGUAGAACCACUACUUCUGCCACUCCUUUACCGUAUCCACAAAGGUGCCUUUGGGCCAAGAGACGUUGGACAAUUUACUCACCAUUGCCCCUCCGCACUCCGCGUGCUGGCCAUCUACCACCUCCGUCUUCACGUUGAAGACUAAGAGCCACAGUCCGAAGUGGGGGUGGAUGCGGAGGAAGGCCUCACAUACGACGAUAAACGCCGAAAUGUUGAGGAAAGAAUUCGGGGAUAGAUCAUGGAAAUCUACCCCGUAAUAAUACAUUAGCCCGUCGACGAAGGGGUGAAGUGGAAACCCUAGUCCACGGAAGAAAUGGGGGAUGAAUACCACCCUCUCUGUGGGCUCCGGCAUGGGGACGAUCUGUCCCUCGGCCGGCAGAUGGUGGGCGAUCUCUUUCACCAAAUAUCCGGCCGUCCGGAGCUCAGUAAUGUCCUCCUCCAUGACGGAGGAGACCAUCCACUUGCUCUGACCACCGGAUCCGGACAUGGUUGCUGGGGUGGAAAGGAGAUUGGAACUUGGGCGGUGGAGCUCGAGGUUGGGAAGGCAGAGACAGAGAGAAAGCGUGAGAAGAGGAAGGGGGGAUCCUUAUCUCCUUAUAAAGGCAACAAAUAUUAAACGCCUCCUCACUCGCCUUGAGAUUCGCCUAUUCCCAAGGGCUGUGUAAACGGCACAGUUGGGUUACCCAUGCCCGCAUUGAUGAGAAUCCCGCGAUAACGGGACACGAUCUCUGCUUUGACAAGACGUGCCAAUAAAACCGCUUCCCGAGACGUGGGGCGACGGGCUAGCCAAAGGUUGGAAAUAAUAACCGGGCAGGCGUGAUACAAUGUCGUAAACAGUUGUCAGCGGAUGGGACUCGUGUAAAAUAUAUAAAUUCUCUCUGCGGUUGUGCGUGGUGUGUAACAGGUCCGAAUACAAUCAUCACAUCCGAAGGCUAUCCUGAAGUUCAGAAAAGGGGGAACCAGCCUUGCAAUGCCGAAGAUAAUCUGCGCGCCGGACUCCUCGUCAUUGAAGCCAGGUUCAGGGGCUACUGAGGGAGUCCUGGACUAAGGGGUCCUCGGGCGUCUGGCCAGUUAUCUGUUGGGCCGGACUGAUGGGCUAUGAUGACAUGAAGACCAAAGACUAUACCCGUGUCCGGAUGGGACUCUACUUGGCGUGGAAGGUAAGCUAGGUGACCGAUUAUGAAGAUUUCCUCCUAUGUAACCGACUCCAUGUAACCCUAGAUCUCUCCGGUGUCUAUAUAAACUGGAGGGCAUAGUCCGGAUAGGACAGAUUCAUUACCAUAUACUCAUAGGCUAGACUUCUAGGGUUUAGCCAUUACGAUCUCGUGGUAGAUCAACUCUUGUAACACUCAUAUUCAUCAAGAUCAAUCAAGCAGGAAGUAGGGUAUUACGUCCAUANNNNNNNNNNNNNNNNNNNNNNNNNNNNNNNNNNNNNNNNNNNNNNNNNNNNNNNNNNNNNNNNNNNNNNNNNNNNNNNNNNNNNNNNNNNNNNNNNNNNNNNNNNNNNNNNNNNNNNNNNNNNNNNNNNNNNNNNNNNNNNNNNNNNNNNNNNNNNNNNNNNNNNNNNNNNNNNNNNNNNNNNNNNNNNNNNNNNNNNNNNNNNNNNNNNNNNNNNNNNNNNNNNNNNNNNNNNNNNNNNNNNNNNNNNNNNNNNNNNNNNNNNNNNNNNNNNNNNNNNNNNNNNNNNNNNNNNNNNNNNNNNNNNNNNNNNNNNNNNNNNNNNNNNNNNNNNNNNNNNNNNNNNNNNNNNNNNNNNNNNNNNNNNNNNNNNNNNNNUUAGCAGCAGUAGCGAAGGAAUCGCUCGAUCGGGUUCAGGUAACAGCCAUCGAUCGAUCGCUCAGGUUCAGUAACGCGUAGCCUGCAGUGCAAUCGCUCGGGUUCAGUAGGCGAACGCCUCACUCGAUCGGGUUCAGAUAGAGCCCAACGUCUUGCACCCACGCGCGUGCGUGUACGAGAGAAAUGCACAAACCUCCGUGCAUCACUCGGCCCCGACCACCCACCGUAACCGGGAACACCCCAAUAUAUUCCUCGCCCUCGCUUCUACCACGGUUUUUUCCGUCAUGGAUGGCCCAAAGAAUGUCAUGCAGCUGCGUCUCCGGCCCGCCCAGGACGAAAAGCCCAUUUUUGUCAUGAUUUUUUGUCAUAGAAGUAGGAGCCCACCACAUCUAUGAUGGUACCGGGUUUUGUCACAAUUAUCGUCAUAGAAGUGUCAUAAGUAUGACAUAAUUUUUUUUCGUUCGGCCCAAAAUGUCACGGAUGUGUCUUUUUUUGUAGUGUAUUGAUGUGUACCUUACUAAUGCUCGUAGUAGCGCCCGGGUAUUUGAUACUGGUUAUUUUGCUCAUAUUUGCAACUCGAAACAGGGGCUACAGAUUAAACGAAGAUUGGCUAAGGACGAGGUGACGAUGCGCGUCGGGAAUGGUUCCAUGGUCGAUGUGAUCGCUGUUGUUUUAGACCUGAAUAAUUGUUAUUUGGUGCCAGCGUUGAGCAUGAACAUUAUAUCUGGAUCUUGUUUGAUGCGAGACGGUUAUUCAUUUAAAUGAGAGAAUAAUGGUUGUUCUAUUUAUAUGAGUAAUAUCUUUAAUGGUCAUGCACCCUUGAAUAGUGGUCCAUUUUUCUUGAAUCUCGAUCGUGCUGAUACGCAUAUUCAUAAUAUUGAUGCCAAAAGAUGCAAAGUUGAUAAUGAUAGUGCAACAUAUUUAUGGCACUGCCGUUUAGGUCAUAUUGGUGUAAAGCGCAUGAAGAAACUCCAUGCAGAUGGACUUUUGGAAUCACUUGAUUAUGAAUCAUUUGAUGCUUGCGAACCAUGCCUCAUGGGCAAGAUGACUAAGACUACGUUCUCCGGAACAAUGGAGCGAGCCACUGACUUACUGGAAAUAGUACAUACCGAUGUAUGCGGUCCGAUGAGUGUUGAGGCUCGUAGCGAGUAUCAUUAUUUUCUGACCUUCACACAUGAUUUGAGAAGAUAUGGGUAUAUCUACUUAAUGAAACACAAGUCUGAAACAUUUGAAAACUUCAAAGAAUUUCAGAGUGAAGUGGAAAAUCAUCAUAACAAGAAAAUAAAAUUUGUAUGAUCUGAUCGCGGAGGUGAAUAUUUGAGUUAUGAGUUUGACCUUCAUUUAAAACAAUGUGGAAUAGUUUCACAACUCACGCCACCUGGAACACCACAGCGUAAUGGUGUGUUCGAACGUCAUAACUAUACUUUAUUAGAUAUGGUGCGGUCUAUGAUGUCUCUUACCAAUUUACCACUAUCAUUUUGGGGUUAUGCAUUAGAGACAGCUGCAUUCACGUUAAAUAGGGCACCAUCUAAAUAUGUUGAGAUGAGACCGUAUGAACUGUGGUUUGGCAAGAAACCUAAUUGCCAUCGUUUCUUAAAGUUUGGGGUACAUAAGCAUCAGCCUGAUAAGCUCGAACCCAAAUUGGAGAAGUGCGUCUUCAUAGGAUACCCAAAAGAAACUGUUGGGUACACCUUCUAUCACAGAUCCAAAGGCAAGAUAUUUGUUGCUAAGAAUGGAUCCUUUAUAGAGAAGGAGUUUCUCUCGAAAGAAGUGAGUGGGAGGAAAGUAAAACUUGAUGAGGUAAUUGUACCUUCUCUGGAAUUAGAAAGUAGCUCAUCACAGAAAACCGUUCCCGUGAUGCCUAGACCAAUUAGUGAGGAAGCUAAUGAUAAUAAUCAUGAAACUUCAGAUCAAGUUUCUAUCAAACCUCGUAGGUCAACCAGAGUACGUUCUGCACCAGAGUGGUACGGUAAUCCUAUUCUGUAAGUCAUGUUACUAGACCAUGACAAACCUACGAACAAUGAGGAAGCGAUGAUGAGCCCAGGUUCCGCGAAAUGGUUUGAGGCCAUGAAAUCUGAGAUGAGAUCCAUGUAUGAGAACAAAGUGUGGACUUUAGUUGACUUGCCCGAUGAUCGGCAAGCCAUAGAGAAUAAAUGGAUCUUCAUGAAGAAGACUGAUGUUGAUGGUAAUGUUACCGUCUACAAAGCUCGACUUGUUGCGAAAGGUUUUUGACAAGUUCAAGGAGUUGACUACGAUGAGACCUUCUCACCCAUAGCGAUGCUUAAGUCUGUCCGAAUCAUGUUAGAAAUUGCCGCAUUUUAUCAUUAUGAAAUUUGGAAAAUGGACGUCAAUACUGCAUUCCUUAAUGGAUUUCUUAAAGAAGAGUUGUAUAUGAUGCAACUAAAAGGUUUUGUCGAUCCUAAAGGUGCUAACAAAGUGUGCAAGCUCUAGCGAUCCAUUUAUGGACUGGUGCAAGCAUCUCGGAGUUGGAAUAUACGCUUUGAUGAGGUGAUCAAAGCUUAUGGUUUUAUACAGACUUUUGGAGAAGCCUGUAUUUACAAGAAAGUGAGUGGGAGCUCUGUAGCAUUUCUAAUAUUAUAUGUGGAUGCCAUAUUGUUGAUUGGAAAUGGUAUAUAAUUUCUGGAUAGCAUUAAAGGAUACUUGAAUCAGAGGUUUUCAAUGAAAGACCUCGGUGACGCUGCUUAUAUAUUGGGCAUCAAGAUCUAUAGAGAUAGAUCAAGACGCUUAAUUGGACUUUCACAAAGCACAUACCUUGAUAAUGUUUUGAAGAAGUUCAAAAUGGAUCAGUCAAAGAAAUGGUCCUUUCCUGUGUUACAAGGCGUGAAGUUGAGUCAGACUCAAUGCCCGACCACUGCAGAAGAUAGAGAGAAAAUGAAAGUCAUUCCCUAUGCAUCGGCCAUAGGUUCUAUCAUGUAUGCAAUGCUGUGUACCAGACCUGAUGUGUGCCUUGCUAUAAGUCUAGCAGGGAGGUACCAAAGUAAUCCAGGAGUGGAUCAUUGGACGACGGUCAAGAACAUCCUGAAGUACCUGAAAAGGACUAAGGAUUUGUUUCUCAUUUAUGGAGAUGACAAAGAGCUCGACGUAAAUGGUUAAGUCGAUGCGAGCUUUGACACUGAUCCGGAUGACUUUAUGUCACAAACCGGAUACGUAUUUAUAUUGAAUAGUGGAGCUGUCAGUUGGUGCAGUUCCAAUCAAAGCGUCGUGGCGGGAUCUACAUGUGAAGUGGAGUACAUAGCCGCUUCGGCAGCAGCGAAUGAAGGAGUUCAUAUCCGAUCUAGGUGUAAUACCUAGUGCAUCGGGUCCAAUGAAAAUCUUUUGUGAUAAUACUGGAGCAAUUGCCUUAGCAAAGGAAUCCAUAUUUCACAAGAGAACCAAACACAUCAAGAGACGCUUCAACUCCAUCCGUGAUCAAGUCAAGGAGGGAGACAUAGAGAUAUGCAAAAUACAUAUGGAUCUGAAUGUGGCAGACCCGUUGACUAGGCCUCUUCCACGAGCAAAACAUGAUCAACACCAAGACUCCAUGGGUGUUAGAAUCAUUACAAUGUGAUCCAUAUUAUUGACUCUAGUGCAAGUGGGAGACUGAAGGAAAUAUGCCCUAGAUGCAAUAAUAAAGUUGUUAUUUAUAUUUCCUUAUAUCAUGAUAAAUGUUUAUUAUUCAUGCUAGAAUUAUAUUAACCGGAAACUUGAUACAUGCGUGGAUACAUAGACAAAACACAGUGUCCCUAGUAAGCCUCUACUAGACUAGCUCGUUAAUCAAAGAUGGUUAAGUUUCCUAACCAUAUACAUGUGUUGUAAUUUCAUGAACAUGAUCACAUCAUUAGGAGAAUGAUGUGAUGGACAAGACCCAUCCGUUAGCUUAGCAUAAUGAUCGUUAAGUUUUAUUGCUAUUGCUUUCUUCAUGACUUAUACAUAUUCCUUUGACUAUGAGAUUAUGCAACUCCCAGAUACUGGAGGAAUACUUUGUGUGCUAUCAAACAUCACAACGUAACUGGGUGAUUAUAAAGAUGCUCUACAGGUAUCUCCGAAGGUGUUUGUUGGGUUGGCAUAGAUCGAGAUUAGGAUUUGUCACUCCGAAUAUCCGAGUGGUAUCUCUGGGCCCUCUCGAUAAUGCACAUCAUGACAAACCUUGCAAGCAAUGUGACUAAUGAGUUAGUUGCGGGAUGAUGCAUUACAGAACGAGUAAAGAGACUUGCUGGUAACGAGAUUGAACUAGGUAUGAAGAUACCGAUGAUCGAAUCUCGUGCAAGUAACAUACCGAUGACAAAGGGAAUUACAUAUGUUGUCAUUACGGUUUGACUGAUAAAGAUCUUCGUAGUAUGUAGGAACCAAUACGAGCAUCCAGGUUCUGCUGUUGGUUAUUGGCCGAAGAUGUGUCUCUGUCAUGUCUACAUAGUUCUCGAACCCAUAGGGUCCGCACGCUUAACGUUCGAUGAUGAUUUGUAUUAAGAGUUAUGUGUUUUGGUCCGAAUGUUGUUCGGAGUCCCGGAUGAGAUCAUGGACAUGACGAGGAGUCUCGAAAUGGUCAAGAGGUAAAUAUUGAUAUACUAGACGAUAGUAUUCAGACACCGGAAGUGUUUCGGAAUGUAUCGGGUACAUAUCGGAGUACCGGGGGGUUACCGGAACCCCCAGGGGGUAGAUAUGGGCCAUAGGAGGCAAGCGAGCCCACAAGAGGUGGCACCCCCAAAGGGAGGAGUCCGAAUUGGACCUGGGGAGGGGGCGGCGCCCCCCCUUCCUUCUCCUCCUCACUCUCCUUCCCCCUUUCCCCUUCCGGUAAAAGGAAAGGGGGGCGAAUCCUACUAGGAUCCCAAGUGGGACUCCUCCCAAUUGGGGCGCGCCUAGGGCCGGCCUCCUCCCCUGUCCCUCCUUUAUAUACGGAGGUGGGGGCGCCUCUAACACACAUCAAUUGUUCCAAGUCGUGUGCGGCGCCUCCCUCCACAGUUUACGCCUCCGGUCAUAUUCACGUAGUGCUUAGGCGAAGCCUUGCGCGGAUCACUUCACCAUCACCGUCACCACACCAUCGUGCUGACGGAACUCUCCCUCGAAACUUUUGUUGGAUCAAGAGUUCAAGGGACGUCAUCGAGCUGAACGUGUGCAGAACUCGGAGGUGUCGUACGUUCGGUACCUGAUCGGUUGAAUCGAGAAGACGUUCAACUACAUCAACCACAUUUAUCUAAUGCUUCCACUUUCUGUCUACGAGGGUACGUGGACACACUCUCUCCCUCUCAUUGCUAUGCAUCUCCUAGAUAGAUCUUUCGUCAGCGUAGGAAUUUUUUUUGAAAUUGCAUGCUACGUUUCCCAACAGGGAGUACAGAGUACAUGUUGAUCUACCACGAGAUCGUGUGUGUAUGAUAGUUAUGAAUAUAUAAAAUAUGAUGUAUCGACUAGCCUGGCCUCGAUUUAUAUAAUGUACUAGAGGCCUAGGAUAACAGGAGUCCUACUGGGCUAUGUCGGUGGAGAGGAGUCCUCCAUGGAUUAGGCGUCCUUGUCUUGAACAACAACACUUUGAAAUAUUCCUCCUAUGCAUCAUGGGACUUCUUGACGUGGCCCCUUGAUGAACUAUCAUGGGGGGUCCUCGGCCCAGCCCACCUGGCUGGGAGAUACUCCUCGACUCUUCUGAACUACUCCUUGUCCUCAGUCAUCGGUCUUGAAAGCUGGUUCAACAAGUAUUCCCACUUCUGAUCUUGAGGAUAGCUGAAUCACAUCCGAGUAUACAUGCCGGGCAUCUAAGGAGACCCCUUAGGUUCUCAAUCUUUAUCAAAUGCCUUAUUUUUGUCAUGCUACGCCACGGGUUUGAAGUUCUUUUUCAUGUACAGCGAUGCCUCUUGCAGCUGGUCUCUAUGCUAGACUACUUCCGAAGUGGUGCACCACGUUGGUUUUGAGUUGUCGAUGUAGCUGGCUGGCCUCUGUGAAAAAAAAUAGAUAACCUGCCAUGCCAGUUUCUGUGAGCGGAUUUUUCGUGGAAUAAUUCCGAUUGAUGCAAUUUAUUCUCUGUCAAGAUGCAUAGCCAGUAGCCCUCAAGGUGUGUGUCGGCCUAAAGUCCGGUAUGCACAUGAAGGAAAGAAUAAAACCAAUGGUCCCAGUAGACCCUGAGAUUUAGGUCGAUUCAUGAAAUGACCUGAGGAUCAAAUCCCUUCUCGGCAACAAAAUUUAGAAAUAGAAAUGCAGUGCAACAGCCCCCGAGUCUCAGGUCGGUUGUGGCCGACCGACUUGAGGAAAGAAUAAAAAGUUAACCAGCCAAGCCAUGGGUUUGAAGUUGUGUUUUUCAUGUAUAGCGAUGCCUCUUGCAGCUGGUCUCUAUGCUAGACUGCUUCCGAAGUGGUGCACCACCUUGGUUUUGAGUUGUCAAUGUAGCUGGCUGGCCUCGGUGGAAAAAAAAGUUAACCUGCCAAGCCAGUUUCCGUAAGCGAAUUUUUUGUGGAAUUUUUUUGGCACUCGCCUUACAGUUUGGUCUUAGUUUGGAAACAACGAUCGGGUGUAACCUCGUAGAAGUGAACUCUGACAACAUCGAGGUGAUAGAGACGAUGAAGAAUGGAGGUCAUUCUUUUGGUCUAUCAGCGGCAGUUUUUGAUGAUAUAUAUCACCUUGGUUGUGAUUUCCCGCAUAUUAUUUUUUGAGCAUACUCAUAGUGAGACUAAUUGUGCUUCCCACGAUUUAGCCAAACUAACUAGAAGUAACCCGUAAAUAUUGUUGAUCCUCUUGUAAAACAUAAUAUGGUGAUCACCUUGCAAUAAAGAGUACUUCGAUGUCUAAAAACCCCAUUAGUGUCGGGGGUGUCGUGCGACAUAUGCCAAAGGAUGGCUUAUCAUGGUGGGGGAUAGUAAGACGUCGCCGGUGCCAGGAAACGGGAUGAGGCGUAGACACGUACGCUGGCGAACUUUACCCGGGUUCGGGGCUCUCCUAGGAGAUAACACCCCUAGUCCUGCUCUGCGGGGUCUGUGCAUGAUCACUAUCUCCACAAGGGUGGCUACAAGCUUGCUCCUUGAGCUGUCUCUCUAGAGGAGGAAGAAGAACAAGGCUAGCCCUAGCUUCACUCUCUCUAUAUGUGUGUGUAAUCUCUAUGAGGUUGCACCCUUUGCAUGGGUGCCCCGGGGGGUUUAUAUAGGCCUACCCCCAGGGGUACAUUGGAAAUUUGGCCGGGUGUAGGACCCGGCUGUCAGUCUCUACGGUCGCCGGCUUCUUCGCCGGCCGCUGGGGCCCGCCGCCUAGUGGGUCCCGCCGGCUAUCUCGUACUUCACCGACAGGCCGCGCCCGCCGCUUGUGGGUCCUGCCGGCUGCUUAGUACUGUGGCAAUGCCACUGAUGAUGUGUGCUUUGUCGGGGAGAGCGUGGCUACAGUCCUGCCGCCUGGCGGGCGAUCACUGUAGCCAUUCCCCGUCUCUUUCAAUUAAUGGUGCACAGAUUUGAGGCAGGGGGAAGGCCGCCUGGUAGGGAGCCGACCUCCCCUGUGCCGACUGGUCAGGAGUCCGUCUCUCACGAACAGGUAGGGCCCGCCACCUGCGGGCCGUACCGACAGUCCGUAGUGGGAGCAUGGCCUCCUCUUCCAUGGGUGAUGUCAUGGGCUGCAUGGCAACAGUGCCGCGCCGGGCGAGGGAUGUCCGCCCAGUACGCUGCACUAUGGCCACGCUCUGCCCUGGAUUCGGGGGUGGCAGGCUGCACUCUAGCCACGCCCCGUCUCGUCGUUAUAAUGUGGUGCAAAUUUCAAGGGAACGGAGGGGCACCGCCUGCUAGGAGCCGGCCUCUUUGGAGGCCGCUUGCUAGGAGUCGGCCCGUCUCAUGGCUCUCUUCUGAGGACUGCCGCCCUCUAACAGUCGGCCGCUUGGACCAGCCGGCCCCAAGAAGGCGACUCUUCGUCCUUGAGGCUUGAGGGGUGCAGUCGGCCCCAAUGUCUUGAAUCGCCAUGGGGAGCAGAUGAGGUUACCCGUGAUCAUUUACUCCGACAGUAGUUCCCGAAGCUGGUGGGGCGACGCUGCUGAAAAGGCGAGAAGCCUCAGCACCUUCCUACUCCGAGUGAACCGGUGAUCUUCCUCUGUCCAUCUUCCGAAGCACCGACUGGUAGGAGCCGACCGUGACCAGGCGGGCCGCCUGAUGAUUUCGAAAUGUCACGGCGGGAGCUAGGUGGCGCGCCAGCCACGCGCCAGGCUUGCUGCCCGCUGCCUGAGCGCCACGCGGCGCCAGCCAACCGGGUCGGACUGCCAGCCCACGCGCCCGACGGGAUGUCAUCGCCAGGCUGGGGCCCGCCACUACCGGGCCUUGGCGCGCGCGUGGAUCCGGUCCCGCCGAGGCGAACGGUUGGGAUUCCGUGGCGCAGUAACUACACGUCAUUACUGCGCGGUCAAUGCGGGGUCGUGGGGUCGUGGGCGCAGUAAUCCCACGGCCCCCACGUUCUCGCCCCCUCGGCUUCGCCGCCUGUGGCUAUAAAUAGGGGGAGGAGGGGGCGGCAGACGCACGCACGCCCUCCUCUCCCUUCUCCUUUCUUCUUCUCGCUGCUGCCGUCGCACUCCCGCAUCUCGCCGAAGUGCUGCCGCAGUCCAUCAUCGAUGAGCACGCCUUCCUCACAGCAUCGCUGCUCCGCCGCGGGCCUGCUCGUUUGUUGUUGUUCCGCGCCUCCGUCGAGCCCAAGCUCUCAUGGCGCGCGAACGGGCCGGUGCUUGGGACGGCUCUAACGUCCACAAGGAUCAAAUCACCUUCUUCCACCAGACGCGGCGGCUGCCCGGCGAGAACUACGUACGGGCACGUCCUCCGCCCGAAAUAGAAAUCUCGCCGGCGCCAGAGGACGGCGAACGCGUCAUCUUCCGGUCGCAUUUCAUUCGCGGCCUCGGUCUGCCGGUGAGCGACUUCCUCCGCUCCUUCCUUCAUUUCUAUCGGCUCCAGCCACACCACCUUAUGUCAAACACGAUGGUGCUGCUAUCGGCCUUCGUCACGCUCUGCGUGGGUUACCUCGGCAUCCUCCCCACCCUCGAGCUCUGGGGGGAGUUCUUCUACACCAAGCUCGGCAUCGCCGUCAAGAAGGAGGCGGCCCAGUGUGGAGCCUUCGUCGCGGUGCGAUGUCCGGGUGCCGGGAACUGCUUCCCGGCCAUCAACCUGACGCAAUCGGUCAAGUUGUGGCAAAGAUCUUACUUCUACGUGAAGAACGUCCACCCGGAGAAGGACUUCAUCAACCUGCCGGCUCCAACUGGACUCUCAAGCCGAAGACGCUAUCGGCCGCCUCCACUGCCGCCAUCGCCCGGCUCAAGGAGAAGACGGAGUCGGAGGGCCUCAAGGCGUCAGACCUACUGACCGCCUUCGUGGUGCGCCAGGUGCUCCCUCUCCAAUUCCGUCCUCACAUGAUCAACCAGAUGGGCAGGCAUUGAUGACCCACAAGUGUAGGGGAUCUAUCGUAGUACUUUUGAUAAGUAAGAGUGUCGAACCCAACGAGGAGCAGAAGAAAAUGACAAGCGGUUUUCAGUAAGGUAUUCUCUGCAAGCACUGAAAUUAUCGGUAACAGAUAGUUUUGUGAUAAGGUAAUUUGUAACGGGUAACAAGUAAUGAAAGUAAACAAGGUGCAGCAAGGUGGCCCAAUCCUUUUUGUAGCAAAGGAUAAGCCUGGAAAAACUCUUAUAUGAAGGAAAACGCUUCCGAGGACACAUGGGAAUUAUCGUCAAGCUAGUUUUCAUCACGCUCAUAUGAUUUGCAUUCGCUACUUUGAUAAUUUGAUAUGUGGGUGGACCGGUGCUUGGGUACUGCCCUUCCUUGGACAAGCAUCCCACUUAUGAUUAACCCCUAUUGCAAGCAUCCGCAACUACAAAAGAAGUAUUAAGGUAAACGUAACCAUAGCAUGAAACAUUUGGAUCCAAAUCAGCCCCUUACGAAGCAACGCAUAAACUAGGGUUUAAGCUUCUGUCACUCUAGCAACCCAUCAUCUACUUAUUACUUCCCAAUGCCUUCCUAUAGGCCCAAAUAAUGGUGAAGUGUCAUGUAGUCGCCGUUCACAUAACACCAUUAGAGGAAAGACAACAUACAUCUUAUCAAAAUAUCAAACGAAUACCAAAUUCACAUGACUACUUAUAGCAAGACUUCUCCCAUGUCCUCAGGAACAAACGUAACUACUCACAAAUCAUACUCAUGUUCAUAAUCAGAGGGGUAUUAAUAUGCAUAAAGGAUCUGAACAUAUGAUCUUCCACCAAAUAAACCAACUAGCAUCAACUACAAGGAGUAAUCAACACUACUAGCAACCCACAGGUACCAAUCUGAGGCUUUGAGACAAAUAUUGGAUACAAGAGAUGAACUAGGGUUUGAGAGGAGAUGGUGCUGGUGAAGAUGUUGAUGAAGAUUGACCCCCUCCCACUGAGAGGAUCGAUGGUGAUGACGAUGGUGACAAUUUACCCCUCCCGGAGGGAUGUUUCCCCGGCAGAACAGCUCCGCCAGAGCCCUAGAUUGGUUCCGCCUCGUGGCGUCGGUGUUUCAUCCCGAAAGCUUCCUCCUGUUUUUUUCCAGGGUAAAAGACUUCAUAUAGCAAAAGAUGGGCACCGGAGGCCUGCCAGGGGGCCCACGAGGCAGGGGGCGCACCCAGGGGGUAGGGCGUGCCCCCACCCUCGUGGAUGGUGGGUGGCCCCUCUGGUUGAUUCUUUUGCCAAUAUUUUUUAUUAAUUCCAAAAACUGCCUCCAUGAAGUUUCAGGACUUUUGGAGCUGUGCAGAAUAGGUCUCUAAUAUUUGCUUCUUUUCCAGCCUAGAAUUCCAGCUGCCGGCAUUCUCCUUCUUCAUGCAAACCCUGUAAAAUAAGAGAGAAUAGGCAUAAGUAUUGUGACAUAAUGUGUAAUACAGCCCAUAAUGCAAUAAAUAUCAAUAUAAAAGCAUGAUGCAAAAUGGACGUAUCAACUCCCCCAAGCUUAGACCUCGCUAGUCCUCAAGCGGAAGCCGAUAAGGAAAAAUAUGUCCACUUGUUUAGAGAUAGAGGUGUCGAUAAAAUAAAAUACGGACAUGAGGGCAUCAUGAUCAUUCUUAUAACAGCAACAUAUAUAGAUAUUGUCAUAUGAUUUCUUAUGCUCAAGUAAUAAUCUAUUCACAAUGUAAAGUAUGAAUCAGAAAAUUCAUUGAAAACCAACAAACUAUAAUCUCGGUCAUUGAAGCAAUUGAAAUUUAUCAUAACAUCGGAAAGAGUCAAUAUAAGAGCUUUUCAGCAAGUCCACAUACUCAACUAUCAUUUAGUCUUUCACAAUUACUAACACUCACGCAAUACUUAUGGGUAUGGAGUUUUAAUCGGACACAGAGAAAGAUAGGGGCUUAUAGUGUUGCCUCCCAACCUUUUACUUCAUGGGUACUUUCAACAAUAAUAGUUCAUGAUAACUCACAUCCAAUUGGGUAUAUAUAUCAGGAUCUUUCCAACACAAUGUGCUUGCCAAAGGAUAAAAUAUAAAAAGGAAAGGUGAAUGUCGUGGGGCUGUCACGGCAGAUGUCCUUAGUGUCGGGACUUAGUCGCGAGGCCAACGCAUCUAUGUGGUAGCUUGAGAGGGGUUGAGCGGAAUCGAGAGAUGCAACACAAGACAAAGGUUUAGACAGCUUCGGGCCCCGGGAAACAUCAUCCGGUAACAACCCUACAUGCUGUUUGAGGCUAGGUCUCAUUAUGAUCACGAGGGAGUCACCGCAUAAGCCGGUUCCCCUUUUGUUGUGUCUAGCCUUAGAGAUUGUUUCUUCUUGCUUGUCCCUCUUUGGGGAGCCCCGCCCCUCCUUAUAUAUGUUGAAGGGGCGGGUUACAUGUGGAGUCCUAUUAGGAUUAGGACUAGUCUACCUUCUAAUACAAAACGGAUACAAGUCCGGGUCUUAACUCCUUGUAAGGUGAAUAUUCCUUAUACCUUUCCUUGUAAACUGGCCCACCAUAGUAUGAACCAGCCUUCAUGAACCACCCGUUGGGCCACCGGGUCUUGUCGCUCCUCUGACCCGCCUGCCGGAUUACCAAUGAAUCAUAAACUGCCAGGUCCAAACGGGUCGCCAGUGAAUCGUCAAGUCUCAGCCGGGUCUCAAGUAAACCGCCAAGUCCGGCCGGGUUAUACUUCCGGCCGGUUUACGCCGCGGGGUAUAUCCCCGACAUUAGCCCCCAGUUUAAUUUGGAUUUAUCCAUGUUAAACUGAUCCUGUAAAACAAACACAAGAACAAAUUUGACAGAUUAUGCUCCGGGUUAAGAAUUCUUGUAAACCGGCAUCUGAUCAUCCUUAAGUCCUUGUCAUUUCCUCCUUCUAGAAAAUCUGGGUCAACAAGCCAGCUUCAUACUCAAUUUGCUGAUAUUGGUUUCUCACAGAGAAAUAUUGUGAAGAAUAAUCCACUUGAGUCGGCUUCCAAAGCGUCGGCUUAAGAAAUAUUGGUUUUGAAAUACUCAUCCGAUAUUCAACCGGUUUGAAGAUGUAGAACUUGCCGGUUUAUCAUUGCCAAAACUGCCGGGUUAUAAAAACUGAUAAUUCCGGGUUAUGAUUGUUGCCAACGCCGGUUCAUGAUUGUUGAUGACGUCGGGUUAUGAUUGUUGCGGACACCGGGUCAUAAUGAUUGGUGAUGCCGGGUCAAUCUGGUUUGCUCAAAACUGAAAAUCGGAAGAUAUUUCUCCCUUAUAUCCAUAUUACCUGUAGCCCCCAAGUCUUGAACAGAACAAAGUGAUGAUUUUGAGACUUGUUUCCAUAUAAUUACUGCCACUUUGAAGAAAUCCAUGUUGUUCAUCUCUAGCAAAAUAUGAAUACUCCAUAUAUGUAGCCCCCAAGUACCGGGUUGUCAUGCUUGCAGCAACCUGGGACUUGUAAUUGCUUAUAAAAACUUCAAUCAGAGUAGCCCCCAAGGGUUGGGUCAUUAUGCCAUAAUGAGCAGGGACUUUGUAAAUAUAAUCAUGUAGACUUGAGCAGUGAUGUGUAGCCCCCAAGGGCCGGCUUAGUAAGAUAAUACUGAACCGGGACUUGAUAUAUACUUCAAUGAAAAUAACAUCUUAUAAUGUAACUUCCAUCGUAGGGCUUGAACCCACGUCCACAAGGUUAAGAGCUUUGUGCUUUACCAACUGAGCAAUGAACCCUUUAAUAUAAUGGAUUAAGGCUUCUAUACCUUGAAUGUUUGACAGGAGCAAUUGGUAGCCCCCAAGGGUCGGCUCAUUACACUGUGAUGAGUCGGGUCUUCAAUAAGGUGAGCAAAAAAUGACUUUGCAUUAGCCCCCAAGUAUCAUGGUGCCUGCUUGCAGCAACAUGAGACUUGCAUAUUUGAUGUAAUCUUAACUUGAAUAAUGUAGCCCCCAAGUGCCGGGUCGUAAGCCUGCAGCGACUCGGGACUAUUCUUUCAAUUGUAGAAUAAAUCAUAUCCAUUGAUAAUAUAAUAGCCAUUGCGCUAAAGCGACAUUGAAAACCUUAAUCAUAAUACUGGUUGCUGAUAACCAUAAUAAAAUCCAGCCAUGUUGGCUAUUUGAAGAUUUGAAUAAUAUACCCAAUGAUUUAUAAGCGCAUGAUUCCAAUGGCGCAAUCCAAAUAGAUACUGGCGACUUAUAGUCCAAAGCCAGGCCGGGUUAACAAACACCGGAUAAUUUCUCAUCAUACACUGGCGACCUAUCGUCUUAAAGCCAGGCCGGGUUAAUAAACACCAGUGAUUUAUAAUUAUGCUUUAUUCAACCUGUUUCUACAUACAACAAGUUUAAAGUGUCCUAGCGGUUUACUGCCGGACGGGUCAUAAUGCCCAACAUAUAACCUGGGUUGAUAACCAAGGCUGCACUUAAGAAUAAUCAAAUAUGAAAUAUAUCAUACAUGUGACAUUAAAUCACAUCAUUAGUUGGCCAACUUUAUUGUAGUAAAGGUGAUAACCCCAAUCUUGAGUACUGAUAACUCCUUCCAUAUUGCGCCGGUUUAUGAUAAAACCGUGCCGGGUUGUGAUAAACACCGGAUUAACCAUAUUAAAUACUGGCGACUUGUAGUCAAAACCAGACCGGGUUGAUAAUCUCUGGAUUAUGACUGUCCAUAUACUGACAACUUGUAGUUGAAAGUCAAGCCGGGUUAAUGAACGCCGGUUUAUUAAAAAUAAUAGAAAUCUCAUCCAAGGAGAAAAACUUAGCAAAUAAAAGCAAAUGAAACCCUUGUAGUCGAGGCUUUUCACGGGCUGCCAGGCCCCAAAUUCGAGGCUUUUCAUGGGACUGCCAGGCCACUGAUUUAAACCAUUUUACAAAGCCUUUUAAGAUGGUCCUCAAUCCUUAACCAAUCAUCAUUUUAACUUGACAAGUUCAGGGUCUUAUUAGAGUAACUUGUCAAAGUUCGAUAGGUCGUACCAGGUUUACCUGGGCGGAGUAACUUACUUAAAAAGGCAGGCUAACCCGGGGUUUUAGGUGUAUACACCAGGCUUCCAAGCCAUGGCUUGAUAGCCUAUUACAAGUGUAGAUUCUUUGUUCAUUUCGACAGCAAAGAAUCCCCAAGUAACAUUUUGAGCUGUGCUCAGUGGGUGCCUAUGUUUGAGUUGCUUUUUUGCAACACUCUUUGGCCCCGAAGUAAUUUUGGCGUUUGAGCCGAUCAAGAGGUGUGACUAUGGUUCGAAUACGACCAAGCCCCCAGGUGAUUUUGCGGCAUUGCACCGAUCAAGAGGUGUGACUAUGGUUCGAAUACGACCAAGCCCCCAAGUGAUCUUUAUUUAAAGCUUUAACAAGCUGAAUCAAGGGGUAAACCGGACGCCGUUUUAUAACAGAAGCCCCCACGUGAUCAAUAAUAUGAUAAGCCAAUAAGGCAGGAUACCCAUGUUUGAACCGCGCAUCAUGGCAGUAGGUCCUCUUCGGCAACCUUUAACUUUUUGCCAGAGAUAAAUUCUUCUUGAACCGGGAUUCCGAACCGGAUAUUAAGAGCUUCAAAGCAUUGUGGGAUACAUCUUUCCCUUGAACCGGAUUUUAAACCGGAAUCUUCAUUUUCAGCCGGAAAUUUUUCUGACGGCCUUUAAACUCGAACUUGCGAGAAGUUAAUUCCUUUUUGAACCGGAACUUUAAACCGGAUUUGAGAGCUUCAGAGCUUUACGAGAUAUAGUUUCCUCUUAAACCGGAUUUGAACCAGUUACUAAGGGCUUCAGCGCUGUGUGGGAGACGGAAUUUUCCUUAAACCGGACUAUAAACCGGAAGCAUCAUUGUGAGCCGGAAUAUUUCUGACGGCCCUUAAAAUUUUCAUCAAUAUAACAGUAGCCUCCGGGACCGGGUUAUCUUUUUCUUCAACAUCCUGGGGCACUUGAAUUUGCUGAAACUGGCAAGACUUGCUGAGUCAUAUCAUCGUAGCCCCCGAGUCUUAAGAUGACUCAAGGAGUUGUCUUGAGAUUCUCCGUACUUGACCAUAGCAGAAGGUAUAUAUCAUUGGUGUUAAUAACGUGAUGUAAAAAGGUUGAGGUGACUGCGGCGGGUUAUAAAUGAUCCCGUAUGAGCCGUGUCAGCAACUCGGCCAAUGGUUCCUUCCAACUGGCGAUUUGAAGUUAACCAAACUGUAGUGGCGGCUACUUGUGCGCAUGUCCAUUGAGCCAUCCAGCGCAGACUGCGGCUGAAAGAUAAUUUGCCUCCAAUUUGUUGGAAGAAAGAAAACCGGGCUACCCAAGCUGUGACUUGCUUUAUACUCAAUAAACAGCUCAUGCAGAUAGGUGCGGCCCGGUGUGUUGAUGUGGACCAGGCCGCAAGAGACAGACGGAAAAAUGACCACCACAUCAGAGGCGGCUUAGACAGAUGACCCGGCCGCGGCGUUGUAAGCCAGCGCGGACGGGCAAGUCAAUCACGAAUGCGGUAAACUGUACGGGCGAGUCAGCCAUGUCGUGUUGAUAUAAAUUGGGCCGAAGAAGCGGCGGCAUGCACAUAUGUAGGUCUUGGACCAGAUGAUAGCGCAUCAUAAUAGUGGCACGAGCCAUAUAUCCAUGAUCCUUAUUAUUGCAGUGAAUAAUUGUCCUGCAUACAAUAUUGCAGACCAAGGCAAAGAUAAACUGCUCUUUGACAAAAAUAAUAUGUGCCAAUAAAAUAUAUUGUAGAUGGAUAUCACCUGAUGUGCCAGGCCGGAAAUAAUCCGCCAUGAAAUUGAUGAUCACUAGGUGAAGUUGAAAUCGCUCACGGGCAGGUCGGCCGCGGCAGACGGCCACGGCGUUGUAAACCGGCGCGGUCGCGAGAGACGGCUACGGCGUUAUAAACCGGUGCGGGAAUCCGUUGAGUAACGACAACCAGCUGUGCUGAAAUGAUGUCGGCAUGCCUCCAUCUCCGUGGCAUAAUACCACUUGUAGUGGACUUUGUCCUGCGUAAAAUAUUACAAGACAGAGUAACUGUUUCGCAGACAGAUACUAUAUGCAGAUGAAAUAUAUAAGAUGGGCAUCACCUGAUGUAUUUUUGGGAUGAAAAGACUGAUCGGCAACUUUGACCGAACCAUAUGUGCCAAUUCAGCAUCACCUUGAGAUUUUGUCAGGGUUUCAAUAUCAUCACUCUCCAUUUUCUGAAGCUCCCUUUGCAUGUCUUCUAGCAGCAGCUUCGUCCCUUAAAAUACAGUGAACCGGGUACAGGUGCAAUCCUGUACUUGCAGUUUCACUUCUAUCUGUUUUCCACCUGAUGCCGAAUCCUUCAUGUGAUGGAUGAUGGUCCUUCUUGGAAACUGCGCCAAGUGUACAAACAACUAGUACUAAUUGUGCUAGUAAAUAUGUUGAGUGGUUUUCCAGAGCCACAGGUGCUGAUGUGACCCUCCUUGUGCUGUUUUUUUGUCUAGUAUUGUUAUAACUUGAAUCGUUGGUCUUGCUCCCAUAGUAAUUGUCAGAGGGAAAGAUCUGUCAGUGCCAAAAACUAUACUGCGCUUGAUUUCGCAUGACAUAUUUGGUCGAUGAUAACCCAAGCACUUGUCCGUCAUAUGAGCAGCCUUCUCCGCGAGGCCUUCUCCAGAAGUCGUAGCCGUGGUCAGUGUGAGCCGACUGGUAGAUGGACUAAUUAAUCGCACAAUAUGUCGUCCAUGUUGUAGAAAAUUUUGGUUGGGCCAAACGAUGCAUCCAUUGCUUGGCGUUGGUUCUGGUAUGUUGAACCGGGUACAUGUAUACAUAGUGCCGCUGUACCUUUUACUCCGGAGAACAGCAUGCCUGCUAUACUCAGCACAGCGGCAGCAGAAACGGGCGGCGACAGCGGCUCGCGCCGGAAUCGGAGGCGGCUGAAACACAGCAAAGGUUUGACCACGGAGGCGGUUUGCAAGCGGCAGGUGUUGCGACUGUAGAGGCCCUCUUGGCGAGUUGGAGGAAAACGGGGAAGCAUCGGCGCCAGCGAUUUAACUCAGAGCAGCAUGGGGUUGUAGCAUCACCAAGGUGAGUCCACGGGGUGGCUUGGAAGCAGGAGGCCGCAGCAGCAACUUGACAAGGUCGCGGAAACGGCAAGAACCCCGGCGAGGCGGGUUGCAGCCGUGCGAGGCCACAGCUGAGGUGGCCGCGAGGCCAGACGGUUCGACGUCGGCCACGGCGGCUCAACACGGUGGGGAAAAUCAUGAUAAUGGUGACCGCUAUGGGUCUCCCGGCAACCCGGAGCGAGGGUGAGGCGGCGACGGCGAGUGAGACCACGCGCGGCCAAGCGGGCGACCGAGCGAGACUGGGAAGACGAGAUGGGAGGAGAUCCGGUCCGUGACUUCCCUGUGCGGGCGGAGCUUCUCGCGGUGGCAACGAGGUGAGGUCGAAUCCGAGACGGCAACUGAAGGCGAGGCGAUUAGGAGGCGAAGUCAACCCCGAACCCGACUUGAAGAAGUGCUGGUGGAGGCAGGGCGCGCGGCCGAGCCGUGGCGCGGCGGCUCGAGACGUGGCGGCGGCUCAGACGCGGCGGAUUGGUCCGGCUUAAUACAAGCCGCGGCGGCAAGGCAAACCGAGGUGUCCUCCCCAGCAAUAGAGUAGUAAGUUUUUUUCUUUUCUUGAUUCCUUCGAUCUUCACGUGAAUUAAAGGCAGUCGAUUGCUGUUUUACCUCAGGACUUCAAGCGACCAGCAGUAGGAAACGCGGCGGAUCGGUCGAUGACAGUCGCAGCUUUGGGUUUUGAUCUUAUAUGUAGCAGCAACUCAAAUCGCAACUUGCAGCCUGUCAGACUCAACUUGGUAGGCGGUGCCACAGCAGAAACACAAUUCUGAUCUGAUUCGACGGAAUGCCCAGACGCGUGCGGUGGCGCACGUAACCCUAAUCUUUCGUCUUGAUCUCGAACCUUGUACUGCCAGCUCCAAAGUGUAAUCAUGUUCCGGAUCACAAAAUAAUGAACCUGCUGGCUCUUCUUCAUCUGAUAAAAUCGCGAGCUCGUCAAUCUCCAGAUGAGAUCCCUCCAAGAACUCAACACCACCGUGCGCCAGCCCCAGGGUGGGCGCCAACUGUUGUGGGGCUGUCACGGCAGAUGUCCUUAGUGUCGGGACUUAGUCGCGAGGCCAACGCAUCUAUGUGGUAGCUUGAGGGGUUGAGUGGAAUCGAGAGACGCAACACAAGACAAAGGUUUAGACAGCUUCGGGCCCCGGGAAACAUCAUCCAGUAACAACCCUACAUGCUGUUUGAGGCUAGGUCUCAUUAUGAUCACGAGGGAGUCGCCGCAUAAGCCGGUUCCCCUUUUGUUGUGUCUAGCCUUAGAGAUUGUUUCUUCUUGCUUGUCCCUCUUUGGGGAGCCCUGCCCCUCCUUAUAUAUGUUGAAGGGGCGGUUUACAUGUGGAGUCCUAUUAGGAUUAGGACUAGUCUACCUUCUAAUACAAAACGGAUACAAGUUCGGGUCUUAACUCCUUGUAAGGUGAAUAUUCCUUAUACCUUUCCUUGUAAACCGGCCCACCAUAGUAUGAACCAGCCUUCAUGAACCGCCCGUUGGGCCACCGGGUCUUGUCGCUCCUCUGACCCACCUGCCGGAUUACCAAUGAAUCGUAAACUGCCAGGUCCAAACGGGUCGCCAGUGAAUCGUCAAGUCUCAGCCGGGUCUCAAGUAAACCUCCAAGUCCGGUCGGGUUAUACUUCUGGCCGGUUUAUGCCGCGGGGUAUAUCCCCGACAGUGAAGAUCACGAUGACUCUUGUACAGGGUAUAAGACAAGAAUAAAAGAUAGGCCCUUCGCAGAGGGAAGCAGAGGUUGUCAUGUGCUUUUAUGGUUGGAUGCACAAAAUCUUAAUGCGAAAGAACGUCACUUUAUAUGCCACUUGUGUAUGGAACUUUAUUAUGCAGUCCGUCGCUUUUAUUUCUUCCACAUCACAAGAUCGUAUAAAGCUUAUUUUCUCCACACUAAUAAAUCUUACAUAUUUUGAAAGCAAUUUUUAUUUCAUGCAACGAUGACAACUUACUUGAAGGAUACUCAAUCCAUAGGUAGGUAUUGUGGACUCUCAUGGCAGAACUGGGUUUAAUGAUAUUCGGAAGCACAAGUAGUAUCUCUACUUGGUGCAAAGGAUUUGGCUAGCAUGAGGGGGAAAGGCAAGCUCAACAUGUUGGAUGAUCCAUGACAAUAUACUUUAUUUCAUAUAUAAGAAAACAUAACCCAUUACGUUGUCUUCCUUGUCCAACAUCAACUCUUUAGCAUGUCAUAUUUUAAUGAGUGCUCACAAUCAUAAAAGAUGUCCAAGAUACUUUAUUUUAUAUGUGAAAACCUCUCUUUCUUUAUUACUUCCUAUUAAUUGCAACGAUUACCAAAACUAUGUUUGUCAACUCUCAACAGCUUUUAUUCAUCAUACUCUUUAUAUGUGAAGUCAUUACUCUCCAUAAGAUCAAUAUGAUCUCUUUAAUUCUUUUUACUCUUUCUCUUUCUUUUAUUCCCUCACGAUCAUAGCAAGAUAAUCAAGCCCUUGACUCAAAACUAAUCUUUAUUAUAUAUAGCUCACGGACUCGAUUACAUAGAAGGAUCAUAAAGAAAACUCAAAACUAAAUCAUACUAAAACUUUAUUCUACUAGAUCGAGAUAUUACUAAAAGGAUCGAACUAAGAAAAACAGUAAAGAUAGAAGUGUGAUGGUGAUACGAUACCGGGGCACCUCCCCCAAGCUUGGCAGUUGCCAAGGGGAGUGCCCAUACCCAUGUAUUUAUAUCUCUUUCCUCGGGGGUGGUGAUGGUGGAGUUGUUGAUGAUGUAGGCUUGUCGUCCUUCUUCCAAGGCAUAGGCUCACCAUCAUAGAAGGAUGAUCGAGUCUCCGGGAUCCUUAAAUCUGCAGCCAAACUCAUCCUCUUGAAUCUAUAUUCAUACUCACAGUUUUGGUUUUGCAGGUCAUAGAUCUGGGCUUGGAGGUGCUCGAUUUUCUCGUGAAGCUUGAAGAUGGCCUCCCCAAUGUCCUUGGCAUCCAGCUUGUGGUUGUUGGUGAACUCCAUGAUCAUUAUGUGAUUGGCGUCGAGUCCACGCUCCACCAUCUCCUGACACUUGAAAACUUGUUGCUCCAUCGCUUCAAGCCUUGUCUCCACGCUUCCGGUCCUCCUUGGUCCCUCAACAUCGCGGAUGUGCAGCAACCCCUCACGCAUCUCAAUGGUUUGAGGAUAUUGCAGUGAUAACCCACAAGUAUAGGGGAUCAAUUGUAGCCUCUUUCGAUAAGUAAGAGUGUCGAACCAAACGAGGAGCUAAAGGUAGAACAAAUAUCCCCUCAAGUUCUAUCAACCACCGAUACAACUCUACGCACGCUUAACGUUCGCUUUACCUAGAACAAGUAUGAAACUAGAAGUACUUUGUAGGUGUUUUUGGAUAGGUUUACAAGAUAAUAAAGAGCACGUAAAUAAAAAGUAGGGGCUGUUUAGAUAAAGACAGAACUAAAUUAGUUUUAGUAGAGAGCUUUUUGUCACGAGAAAGUUAUUUGUCCCUAGGCAAUCGAUAACUAGAGCGGUAGUCAUUAUUGCAAUUUUAUUUGAGGGAGAGGCAUAAGCUAACAUACUUUCUCUUCUUGGAUCAUAUGCACUUAUGAUUGGAACUCUAGCAAGCAUCCGCAACUACUAAAGAUCAUUAAGGUAAAACCCAACCAUAGCAUUAAAGCAUCAAGUCCUCUUUAUCCCAUACGCAACAACCCCCUUACUCGGGUUUGUGUUUCAGUCACUCACGCAACCCACUAUAAGCGAAUCAUGAAUGUAUUGCAAUACCCUAUAGAGGGAAUCCCUCACACUUGCGCGACAUGGAGAGCACCAUAGGACAACACCAAUAACAAAAUAUGCAACUCAAACCAAUCACGAUCAUCAAUUAACCCAUAGGACAAAACGGAUUUACUCAAAUAUCAUAGGAUAGCCAUACAUCAUUGGGAAAUAAUAUAUAGUGUUGAGCACCAUGUUUAAGUAGAGAUUACAGCGGGUAAAAGAGGGGUUACACCGCUGCAUAGAGGGGGGAAGAGUUGGUGAUGACGGCGGUGAAGUUGUUGGUGAAGAUUGCGGUGAUGAUGAUGGCCCCGGCGGCGUUCUGGCGCCACCGGAAGAGAGGGGGAGAGGCCCCCCCUUCUUCUUCUUCUUCCGUGACCUUCUCCCCAGAUGGGAGAAGGGUUUCCCCUCUGGUCCUUUGUCUCCAUGGCAUGGGAGGGGCGAGAGCCCCUCCGAGAUUGGAUCUGUCUCUCUGUCUCUCUCUGUUUCUGCGUUCCCAGAUCUGGCCUUUCACCGUUUCUUUUAUAACCGGAGAUCCGUAACUCCGAUUGGGCUGAAUUUUGGACACGAUCUCUAUCCGGAAAUUAGCUUUCUUGUGGCGAAAGAAGGGCUCCAACCGCCUUACGGGGUGGCCACGAGGGUUCAGGGCGCGCCUGACCCCCUGGGGCGCGCCCCCUGCCUCGUGGCCUCCUCGGGGCAUCGUAUCGUGUUGAUUCUUCUUCCACAAAUUCAUAAAUAUUCCAAAAAAAUCGCUGUCAGUUUUUAUCCCGUUUGGACUCUGUUUGAUAUGGAUUUUCUGCGAAACAAAAAACAUGCAACAAACAGGAACUGGCACUGGGCACUGGAUCAAUAUGUUAGUCCCAAAAAUAGUAUGAAAAGUUGCCAAAAGUAUAUGAAAGUUGUAGAAUAUUGGCAUGGAACAAUCAAAAAUUAUAGAUACGACGGAGACGUAUCAGCAUCCCCAAGCUUACCUGCUCGUCCUCGAGUAGGUAAAUGAUAAAAAGAUAAUUUUUGAUGUGGAAUGCUACCUAGCAUAAUCUUGAUCACAUAAUCUAAUCAUGGCAUGAAUAUUAAGACACGAGUGAUUCAAAGCAAUAGUCUAUCAUUUGACAUUAAGACAAUAAUACUUCAAGCAUACUAAUAAAGCAAUCAUGUCUUUUCAAAAUAACAUGGCCAAAGAAAAUUAUCCCUACAAAAUCAUAUAGUCUGGCUAUGUUCCAUCUUCACCACACAAAAUAUUCAAAUCAUGCACAACCCCGAUGACAAGCCGAGAAAUUGGUUCAUACUUUUUAACACGCUUCAGCCUUUUCAACCCUCACGCAAUACAUGAGCGCAAGCCAUGGACAUAGCACUAUGGAUGGAAUAGAAUAUGAUGAUGGAGGUUGUGUGGAGAAGACAAAAAAGGAGAAACUCUCACAUCAACGCGGCUAAUCAACGGGCUAUGGAGAUGCCCAUCAAUUGAUGUCAAUGUCAGGAGUAGGGAUUGCCAUGCAACGGAUGCACUAAGAGCUAUAAGUGUAUGAAAGCUCAAACUGGAAACUAAGUGGGUGUGCAUCCAACUUGCUUGCUCAUGAAGACCUCGGGCAUUUGAGGAAGCCCAUCAUCGAAAUAUACAAGCCAAGUUCUAUAAUGAAAAUUCCCACUAGUAUAUAAAAGUGAUAACUGAAGAGACUCUCUAUAUGAAGAACAUGGUGCUACUUUGAAGCACAAGUGUGGUAAAAGGAUAGUAACAUUGCCCCUUCUCUCGUUUUCUCUCUUUUUUUGCGGGCUUCUUUGGCCCCCCUUUUUUUAUUUAGGCUUCUUUGGCCUCUCUUUUUUUUGGGCAAUGCUCUAAUAAUGAUGAUCAUCACACUUUUAUUUACUUACAACUCAAUAUUACAACUCAAUACUAGAACAAAGAUAUGACUCUAUAUAAAUGCCUCCGGCGGUGUACCGGGAUGUGCAAUGAUCUAGCGUAGCAAUGACAUCAAAAAACGAACAAGCCAUGAAAACAUCAUGCUAGCUAUCUUACGAUCAUGCAAAGCAAUAUGACAAUAAAUGGUCAUGUCAUGUAUAUGAUGAUGAUGGAAGUUGCAUGGCAAUAUAUCUCGGAAUGGCUAUGGAAAUGCCAUGAUAGGUAGGUAUGGUGGUUGUUUUGAGGAAGAUAUAAUGAGGCUUAUGCGUGAUAGAGCGUAUCGUAUCACGGGGUUUGGAUGUAUCGGCGAAGUUUGCACCAACUCUCAAGGUGAGAAAGGGCAAUGCACGGUACCGAAGAGGCUAGCAAUGGUGGAAGGGUGAGAGUGCGUAUAAUCCAUGGACUCAACAUUAGUCAUAAAGAACUCACAUACUUAUUGCAAAAGUUUAUUAGCCCUCGAAGAAAAGUACUACUACGCAUUCCCCUAGGGGGAUAGAUUGGUAGGAAAAGACCAUAGCUCGUCCCCGACUGCCACUCAUAAGGAAGACAAUCAAUAAAUACCUCAUGCUCCAACUUCGUUACAUAAUGGUUCACCAUACGUGCAUGCUACGGGAAUCACAAACUUAAACACAAGUAUUUCUACAAUCCACAACUACCCACUAGCAUUACUCUAAUAUAACCGUCUUUAUAUCGCAAAACUAUUGCAAUGAAUCAAACAUAUCAUAUUCAGCGAUCUACAAGUUUUAUGUAGGAUUUUAUGACUAACCAUGUGAAUGACCAAUUCCUGUCAUCUCUCUAAAUAGAUAUAAGUGAAGCAAGAUAGUUUAAUUCUUUCUACAAAAGAUAUGCCCACGCUUUAAAAAAUAUAAGUGAAGCAAAAGAGCAUUCUACAAAUGGCGGUUUUCUAUGUGAAGAGAAACAGGCAAUCCAAACUUCAAAUGAUAUAGGUGAAGCACAUGAAUCAUUCUAUAAAGCCAUACUCAAAAGAUAUAAGUGAAGUGCAAUGAGCAUUCUAUAAAUCAACCAAGGAUUAUCUCAUACCAGCAUGGUGCAUAAAAGAAAAAUGAAAACUAAAUGCAAAAGACGCUCCAAGAUUUGCACAUACCAUAUGAACGAAACGAAUCCGAAAACAUACCGAUACUUGUUGAAGAAAGAUGGGAUGCCUUCCGGGGCAUCCCCAAGCUUAGAUGCUUGAGUCUCCUUGAAUAUUUACUUGGGGUGCCUUGGGAAUCCCCAAGCUUGAGCUCUUGCCUCUCCUUCUUCUCCUCACAUCGAGACCUCCUCGAUCUUCGAACACUUCAUCCACACAAAACUCAACAGAAUGCUCGGUAAGAUCCGUUAGUAUAAUAAAGCAAAUCACUACUCUAAGUACUGUUGCAAACCAAUUCAUAUUUUGUUUUUGCAUUGUAUCUACUGUAAUAUAACUUUUCCAUGGCUUAAUCCACUAAUAGAAAUUGAUAGUUUCAAUAAAACAAGCAAACUAUGCAUCAAAAACAGAAUCUUUCUUAAACAGGACAGUCUGUAAUAAUCUGAACAUUCACCAAACGUCUGGUACUUCAAACAUUCGGCAAAAAUUAGGAAAAAUAAAAAAUUCAUAUAUAAAGACAUUGCAAGAAGUUUCAGAACCAUUUGACUUUCCAGUAAAAAACGUAAAAUCGCGCACCACAGCCAAAGUUUCUGUCCUGCACCGCACAAACCAACAAGCAUUGUAAACAUCCUAAAGGCAAACCUCGGCACAUUAUUUUUAUAAUACAAUGGAAUUGUACAAGGGGAUAAUUAUUUUUGUUGAAAAGUUUCUGUAAUCAAGAUUCACAAAGUUUCCGUGAGCAUGAACAAAGUUCAAGGAGCUCCCCUACUUCAACAAUGCUUGUCUCUCUCACUUUCACUUUCCUUUUUGAAAAGUUUUGGGUUCCCCUCUUUAUUUUUUUCAUUUUUAAAAUUUAUAAAAACACUCAACAGAAAUAAAUGACUCUCUAAAACUUCCGGGUUGUCUCCCAGGCAGCGCUUUCUUUAAAGCCAUUAAGCUAGGCAUAUAGUGCUCACGUAAUGGAUCCACCCGGAUCCCAAGGUAUAUCAAAGCAAAUUUUAAUUAACAAUGAUUUGUGAUUCAGUAGUGAGCACAAAGUAACAUAUAUCAUGCAACAAAGAAGUCUAACUCUCUUCCUAUGCAUCGGCAUGUCAUAUAAGAACAAUUCAUGCACACAAGGUAAAGACCAAUGCAUAGCAUAAACGGUUUCUUGCAAUUUUAUCGUGUUGGAAACAUAGAGAGGUGGAGAUGUAGUUCCUCUCUCAUAAUAAUUGCAAGUUGGAGCAGAAAGCACAUGCAUAUUACAUUCAUCAAAAUCAUCAUGUGCAACGGUAAAAUGCAACCCAUCAACAUAAUCCUUAAUAAGAGCAAACUUCUCCGAUAUAGUGUAGUUUGGAGAAUUCAAAAAGAUAAUAGGACUAUCAUGCGUGGGUGCAAUAGCAACAAUUUCAUCUUUCACACAAGGAACUAUAGCAAGUUCAUCUCCACAAGCAUAAUUCAUAUUGGCAUCUUGGCCACAAGCAUAUCAAGCAUCAAGUUCAUCAAAAAUGGGUAUUUCAAGAGAAUCAACGGGAUCAUAACAAUCAUCAUAGCAAUCAUCCUUCGGUAAGCACAAAGGGAAAUUAAACAAUGUAUGAGUUGAAGAGUUACUCUCAUUAGAAGGUGGGCACGGGUGAUCAAUCCGCUCUUCCUCCUUUUGUUCUUCGCUCUCCUCCUCAUCUUUUUCAUCCAAUGAGGUCAUAGUUUCAUCAAUUUCUUCUUCCAUAGAUUCCUGCAGAAUAUUAGUCUCUUCUUGGACAGCGGAGACUUUCUCAAUAAAUGCAUCAAUAUUGGCAUUGUAUUCAUAAUUCUCAUAACAAUAUUUAAGUAUAGCAAAAUUUUCAGAUCUGUAAACAGCAUCAUAAAGAUUUUCACACUCUUUAAAUAAAGAUUCAAUUUCAUAAGCACCUGUCGGCGUUCUGGGAACGGGGGUCCCCAGACUUGCCUGCCUGCGGCCCACGGCGAGGAUAGGCCAGCAGGCCGUAUGGCCCACCUUCAUCAACAAGGCAUCCAAGACCCUCGCGAGGGGCCAAGCCUCGCGAGGCGGACGACGCAAGACCUCCUCAGGAGUGGCCUAGUCAGGCAGGCUCACGAGGAGCGGAGAUAUCAAGGCGGGGCAAACCUCACGAGGCUCCCGUGACGUGAGCCAUGACGAUCGAUACCAGGCGGGCGCCAGCGCGCGCAGCGUCCUUGUUUCCUCUUUGGUGCUAAGGAAGCAGGCGCAGGCGAGGAGUACCGAGGCAUCAGGCAAAGGUUGCUAUAUCGGUGCAACGAGACCAAGACCAGGAGGAUGGCAAGACGGAGGUCAUCAUGGAGCCCAAGACGGUGUCACCACCAGAGCCUUUUGCAGGCGAAGACCACUUUUGUCAGGAUAGCUUGUACUAGCUGUCCCCCUUCAAAUUUGCCCGCCGUUGUUGGCUCCCUUCCCGCUCAAUAUUUGGGGAGAGGACCAGGGCCUAUAUAAGUAGAGCUAGCCACCACAGUAGGGGCAUCGAGCAAUUCAUCCAGCUCUCACCCACAAGUUCGUAGAACACAAGAACACCUCAACCUCAGGAGGCUGUUCUUCCCUCUGUACUGUUCAUCAUCAGCCCAAGAGGCAAUCCACCACCACCACACUAGAGUAGGGUAUUACACCACAACGGUGGCCUGAACCAAUAUAAAUCUCGUGUCUUUCUUUGUUGCGAGUUCGUCCAGUUCGUCCGCGAGAUCUUAGCGAGCUAGGGCGUAGAUCGGUAGGAGGGAAAGACUUCGCGCGCACCCCAGUGUUCGAACCUUAAGGGUUUGCCGGAACCCCACAUCUGACAUUUGGCGCGCCAGGUAGGGGUGCGCCGGAGCUCCUCUCCACCAACCUACGCCCCGCACCGCCGCACUUCGCCCCCAUGGCAGGUGCCCCGCCAUCCACCUCUGCGGUCGACAUCAACAGAGGGGCGUCUGGGUACCGAGCCCUGGCCCCCGCCCUACGGCGAGUGCAGUGGCCGACCAAGUUCAAGCCAGAGAUGUCGCCGCAUUACGACGGCGCGGCAGACCCGACACCGUUCCUGCUGGCGUACGAGGAGGCUGUCCUCGAAGCCGGAGGCAACGACAAGAUCAUGGCCAACUGGUUCCCCAUGGCCAUCGCCGGCGAGCCGCGCGCCUGGCUGCUCAAUCUCCCGGGAUCCACGGUGGCCUCCUGGGGGGAACUCCGCGACCUCUUCACUGCUCGCUGCGCGGUGCCGGCGCACCACACAGUAGCGGCCAUGCUGGGCAGCUCUCAAGCACCACCUUCAGACCGCCACGUCAAGCCGUUCCUCCGUCAGAUCGGGGCCACCUCCAAGCGCCCGGGGGCUCCGCCGGGUUGGGCUGCGCAAGAGGCCGACCUCACCUUCGGCUUAGAAGACCACCCCGACUCCACCGCCGGCUCUGGGAUGCUCCCAAUGCUCUGCACGCCCACCAUCUGCAAUGUGGCCGUUACCAAGACCCUCAUUGACGGCGGUGCUGGCCUCAACUUGCUCUCCGUAGAAGCCUUCAGCCUUCUUCACGUGCCGCUCGAGCGGCUCGGCCUCAGCAAGCCCUUCUCAGGAGUGGGUGGUGGAGCUGCCCACUCUCUAGGGCAGAUCCGCCUCCCUGUCACCUUCGGCACAUGUGACAACUACCGCACCGAGCUGGUGGACUUUGACAUUGCCCGCAUCGGUCUCCCGUACAACGCCGUCCUCAGGUACCCGGCUCUCGCUCAGUUCAUGGCGGCGACUCACCCGGCCUACAACCACAUGAAGAUGCCAGGGAGCAAGGGCAUCCUCACCAUCAAGGGGGACACUAAGGAGGCCGUGACGGUGCUCAGGCUCGCCUUCAAGACCGCGGCAGCAGCACAGCCCGCCGGCGCCGGUACCCCCGAGGCCAAGUAGGCCGCGCCUACCAAGAAGAAGCAGCUGUUCACCCAAGACAAGGCGGAAACCAAUCAGGUGCCGGUCAACGAGGAUGGGUCUUCAGGAGCCACCUUUACCAUAGGAGCCGGCCUCGACCCGAGACAAGAAGAAGCCUUGGUGAGGUUCUUGCGCGUGAACAAGGAGAUAUUUGUGUGGGAGCCCAAUCAGCUGGUAGGGGUCCCGAGGGAGGUGAUCCAGCAUCAUCUAAGGGUAUGCCCCAACAUGCGCCCCGUGAAGCAGCGAGCAAGACGGCAGUCCACUGAGAAGCAGGCCUUCAUCGUCCAAGAGACACGCAAGCUGGAGGCGGCAGGUGCCAUCCGGGAAGUUCGAUAUCCCGAAUGGCUGGCGGACCCCGUCGUGGUGCCGAAGAAAGGCGGGAAGGAACGGAUGUGUGUCGACUUCACCAACCUUAACAAAGCCUGCCCCCGAGAUCCGUUCCCACUCCCGCGCAUCGACCAGAUUGUCGACUCCACCGCCGAGUGUGACCUGUUGUGCUUCCUGGAUGCGUUCUCAGGGUAUCAUCAGAUCAAGAUGGCGGUGGAAGAUGUGGAGAAGACAGCCUUCCUGACACCAUGUGGGGUGUACUGCUACACCUGCAUGCCCUUCGGGCUGGGCAACGCGGGCGCAACCUUUCAGCGGUUGAUGCACAUCACCCUGGGGCGGCAGCUUGGGAGAAACACAGAGGCCUACGUCGAUGACAUAGUGGUAAAGUCUCGCGAGGCGAGGACAUUGAUUCAAGAUUUGGAGGAGACCUUCGAGAGCCUGCGCCGAAUGAACUUGAGGCUUAACCCGGAGAAGUGCGUGAUUCGGCGUCCCCUCCGGCAAGCUGCUGGGAUUCCUCGUAUCCCACAGAGGGAUCGAGGCGAACCCAGAGAAGAUCAAGGCCAUCGAGGACAUGAGCCCACCACAGACCCUCAAAGAGAUGCAGAAGCUAGCAGGGCGGGUGACCGUGUUAGGGCGUUUCAUCUCCAAACUAGGAGAGUGCGCCUUACCCUUCUUCAAGCUCAUGAAGAAGAAGGGCCCGUUCGAGUGGACCCCGGAGGCCGACUAGGCCUUCCAAGACCUCAAAAAAUACCUUACCAGCCCCCCGGUGAUGGUGGCACCACGGCCUCUUGAGCCUCUGGUACUCUACCUUGCCGCCACCCCGUACUCCGCCAGGGCGGCACUGGUGGCGGUUUGGGAGGAGCGCCAAGCCAAGGGUGCGCUACGCCAAGCCGGAGCUGAAGUGGCGCAGGGUCAGGAAGGCGCAGCAAAGGCAUCAGCGGCGAAAGACCAAGCUCAGCAGGGCAACAUCGCAAAAGCUCCUGAGGACAGUCAGGUCUCAGGAACCCCUCCACCUCAGGAUAUGCCCCGAUCUCCAUAGGACCCGAGCCUCGACAGUGUGCCAGCCCUCGUCGAACACCCGGGCCACCCCAUCAAGGUCGUCUCAGCCUACCCGUUGGAGAGGGUACUUAGGAGCCCUAACUCAGCCGGAAGGGUCGCUGAGUGGAACAUCGAGUUGCAAGCAUUCCAGUUGGAGUUCAGCACUACCAGGGUCAUCAAGGGGGCUGCGCUCGCUGACUUUGUGGCAGAAUGGACGGAUGCCCCGACACUUCAGGAAGGAGAAGACCGGUCCACCUCCCCAGGAAGCGAGGCUCCAGACGGCUGGGUAAUGUAUUUCGAUGGCGCCUUCGCGCACCAGGGCGCGGGGGCUGGAGCAGUGCUCAUCUCGCCCACUCAAGACAAGCUCUACUAUGCCGUGCAACUCUGCUUUCAGCACGGCGAGAAGGUCUCCAACAAUAUCGCAGAAUAUGAAGGCCUCAUAGCUGGCCUGAAGGCUGCGGCGGCUCUAGGGGUGAAGCGCCUCACCGUCAGAGGCGACUCGCAGCUUCGCGUCAACUUUUCCAACAAGGUGUACGAGCCGAAGGACGAGCAUAUGGAGGCCUACCUCGCGGAGGUGCGCAAGAUGGAGAAGCAGUUCUCGGGCCUGGAGCUGUAGCACGUGCCCCGGGGCACCAACAAGGAAGCCGACGACAUCACCAGGAGAGCAUCCAAGCGGCAACCGCAGGAGCCCGGUGUCUUUGAGGAGCGGCUCUUCAAGCCAUCAGCUACGCCACCUCUUUCAAGUACGACUCAGCCUCGGGAGGAGCUCCCACAGCCUCCGGCCACGGGAGCCCUAGCCUGUGGCCCGACCUCAGGAGCUCGGCUGCUCGUGGCGCUCGAGCCCCAGGAAGAAUGUUGGACCAAGGAAUUCAAGGAGUACCUGACGCACGGGACGCUGCCGGAGAAGGAAGAGGACGCGGAGUGCGUGGCCCGGCAAGCCACGACAUAUUGUAUCCAAGACGGCGAGUUAUACAAGAAACGACCAAACGAUGUCACGCUGUGCUGCAUCUCCAGCGAUCAAGGAAGGGAGUUGCUGAUUGUCAUACACGGUGGGGACUGCGGACACCACUCGUCGUCACGGACCCUCAUCGGCAAGGUGUUCCGUAGUGGAUUCAACUGGCCUACAGCACUCAACGACGCAGCCGAGCUGCUGAAGUCCUGCAAAGCUUGCCAAUUCCACGCCAAGCAAAUCCAUCAGCCUGCUCAGGGCCUCCAAACUAUCCGGCUCACAUGGCCGUUCGCGGUCUGGGGGCUGGAUAUCUUAGGCCCGUUCCCUCGGGCGCUAGGGGGCUACCGCUAUCUCUACGUCGCCAUCGACAAGUUCACAAGUGGGCGGAAGUGGAAGCAGUCCGUACCAUCCCAGCCGGCUCUGCUGUCAAGUUCAUCAAGGGCCUCGUGAGCCGCUUCGGGGUCCCCAACCGCAUCAUCACAGAUAACGGUUCGCAGUUUACUAGCAACCUCUUCAAAACCUACUGUGCUAACCUUGGAACGCAGAUCUGCUACGCUUCGGUGGCCCACCCCAGGAGUAAUGGUCAGGCCGAACGCGCUAACGCGGAGGUCCUGAGGGGCCUCAAGACUAGGACCUUCAAGAAGAAACUGGAGGCCUGCGGCAGGGGCUGGCACGAAGAGCUCCAGUCCGUGCUGUGGUCCAUCCGAACCACCGCCACCAAGCCAACGGGCGAGACUCCAUUCUUCCUCGUCUACGGAGCUGAAGCAGUCCUCACUCAUGAGGUCAAGCAUCGCUCCGCACGGGUCCUGACGUUCGACGAAACACAGCAGGACGCCACGCGGGGGAUCGAUCUCGUGCUCGGGGAGGAACGUCGUCACGAAGCUGCGCUGAGGGCAGCAAGGUACCGGCAAGCGCUGCGGCGAUACCACUGCCGCAACAUCCGCUCCAGGACAGUCGAGACGGGUGACCUAGUCCUGAGGCGGGUCCUCUCCAGGGAAGGGCUGCAUAAGCUUUCACCAAUGUGGGAGGGCCCGUUCAAGGUCGUCCACAUCUCCAGGCCUGGCGCCGUGCGCCUGGAGACACAAGACGGGGUGCCUAUCCAAAACGCCUGGAACAUCCAGCACCUCCGGAAGUUCUACCCAUGAAGCAAGGCCCAAAGCCUGUGAAGAAAGGCCCAGAGCCUGCGAAGAAGGCCCGGUGCCUAUGAAGAAUCGCCGCCCGUGACACUCUCACGUAAUAAUGAGUUGGGGCUGUACACGCCCCAGAGUCUCGGGAGCGCCGGCCUCAGGCCCUGGGGCUCCCGCCCACGCCUAGUGGCAGCACUUAGCUCUGCGCUGGUGAGAAGACUUGAAGACUAGAUUAGGUGCCGGAUGCGGCUUUUCGUUUGCUUUCCGCAGUUGGCUCGCUUUUCCUCAAUCGAAGUUUGCUUUUGGCGUUCCUUGCUGAUUUGAUUCCCUCGCCUCUCACUGCAUUUUUCUGGCUCGGGUUUGCCCGAGUUCUCUCUCUUGCAUACCUCACGAGGGAGCUAGGUAGGUGCCCUCGCGAGCAUUUUUUCUCCUCUCUGCCUUCUCGCGAGCCACCCUCGUUCGAGCCCAAAGCUGGCGCACCUCUCCUAAUCCGUGCCCCUUGGGUACCGCGAUACAAAGCGCCAGGUCAGGGCCAGGGUGAACGGCAAAUCUUUUAACACACUUCAUAACGAGUUUUUGCAGCUCCUGAGCGAAUGCAGGCCACCAAGGCAAGAUGGACGCGAGGAAAUAAGUGCCUCGUGAGGAAGAGGGCGCCCUGAAUAUACCAGGUUGAGUUAUCUUUGUGCAAAAUAACGACACGGCACGGGAGCAACACGCAUAGUGCAAUAACCGAGGAACCAUAGUUCAGUACACGCCCCCUGGGCCCAUACUGGUUUCAUUCUUGAUGCAGGAAAAAGAGUAAAACAAAAGUAGCGUUGCAGCGAUCCGCGGAGGAAGGCCCCUAGCGGCACCCCGAGCCUAGCCGGAUCCUUCCUCGCGCUUCACGGAGGCGCGGCGACGAGAUGACCCACUGCCGCCUUCAAAGCAGGCGCGGCGGCGCGGCGGCUGGUCGUAGCCGCCACUGCUGGAGCUGUCGCCGGAGGAAGACCUGCCGUAGCUGGACGAGACACGGUCGCAGCCGAGGGCAGGCGCGCCCUCAUCCUCAUCGCGACCGUCCCCAAGGCCGAGCACCUCCUCACCGUCAUUCGCCUCGGGGCAGCACCCGGCGCGGUGACAAUCUUCCCCAAACACCCUCACGUAGAGGGUCGAUCCACCAUCGUACUUGAAGUGGAGGGUGCACCGCCUGCCCAGGCCGCGCGCGCGGGCGAACGUCUGCCAGCCGCGGGCCAGGGCUAUGUUGCCUGCGGCGGAAGUCUCGACCGCAACCCAAGAGGCCUUGCUGCAGCAACCAUCCGCCAGCAACCAGAGUCCGCCUGGACCAGAGGACGGCAGUUCGCCGGCGAAGAAGCACGAAAGUUGGAGCCAGUUGCCGGCUGGGUUCUCCGACCAGACGACAAACUCCGGCGACACCUCCGCCGUGUGGAAGCGCGGACGGGGGGGGCCACGCCACCAUAGCACGCCUCCCCUCGUGAACUGGACCGCCAUGGCUGGGACGACCCCCUCCGUGUGCCGCAGCACCGCCUCGACGGUGGGCCACGGCGGGGGUCGCGGCGUGCUUGCGCGGACGGCCGCGUCCGCGCUUGGGCGCCGGGGAGCCGAGUCCCUCGCGAGGGGCCUUUCCCUUCUUGGCGGCAGAGAACUUCCUUCAUGGCGCCAUUGGUGGCACUGCAAGCAAUGGAGUGAGGAGGAAGAAGCAAGCAAGCAAGCGAGGAAGAGAUGGGCGACGGGGGCUCUGCCCCCCUCCCCAUUUAUAACGGAAGAAGGCCAACCGGCGCCUCCCACAAUCGUAGGUAAUGAUGGUUUUCCUUGCAUGUCGCAGGGACUUGUCAAGUUGUGCAGUUGCUGAGGCAGCGUGGGGAAGUGGAGACGCCCACAUCCAAUCAACUGCCACGCGUCAACCGAGGCCGCAGGCUUUUGGGGCCCGCGGCGCUCCGAACAUGACCCUUGGCUUCGCCGCGAAGCCAAGCCCGAGCGCGCCUUGGGCCCGGGGCCUACUGUCGGCAUUCUGGGAACGGGGGUCCCCAGACUUGCCUGCCUGCGACCCACGGCGAGGCUAGGCCAGCAGGCCGUAUGACCCACCUUCAUCAACAAGGCAUCCAAGACCCUUGCGAGGGGCCAAGCCUCGUGAGGCGGACGACGCAAGACCUCCUCAGGAGUGGCCUAGUCAGGCAGGCUCACGAGGAGUGGAGAUAUCAAGGCGGGGCAAACCUCACAAGGCUCCCGUGACGUGAGCCAUGAUGAUCGAUACCAGGCGGGCGCCAGCGCGCGCAGCGUCCUUCUUUCCUCUUUGGUGCUAAGGAAGCAGGCGCAGGCGAGGAGUACCGAGGCAUCAGGCAAAGGUUGCUAUAUCGGUGCAACGAGACCAAGACCAGGAGGAUGGCAAGACGGAGGUCAUCGUGGAGCCCAAGACGGCGUCACCACCAGAGCCUUUUGCAGGCGAAGACCACUUUUGUCAGGAUAGCUUGUACUAAUUGUCCCCCUUCAAAUUUGCCCGCCGUUGUUGGCUCCCUUCCCGCUCAAUAUUUGGGGAGAGGACCAGGGCCUAUAUAAGUAGAGCUAGCCACCACAGUAGGGGCAUCGAGCAAUUCAUCCAGCUCUCACCCACAAGUCUGUAGAACACAAGAACGCCUCAACCUCAGGAGGCUGUUCUUCCCUCUGUACUGUUCAUCAUCAGCCCAAGAGGCAAUCCACCACCACCACACUGGAGUAGGGUAUUACACCACAACGAUGGCCCGAACCAGUAUAAAUCUCGUGUCUUUCUGUGUUGCGAGUUUGUCCAGUUCGUUCGCGAGAUCUUAGCGAGCUAGGGCGUAGAUCAGUAGGAGGCAAAGACUUCGCGUGCACCCAGUGUUCGAACCUUAAGGGUUUGCCGGAACCCCACAUCCGACAGCACCCAUAAAAGCAACGAAUUCUUCUAUUUGUUCCACAUCAUUGUAAUCCUAUAUACCAUUAGCAUAAGAAGCCAAUGUUUUAUUAUCAUUAAAUUUGCAUGAAAAGGGAAGGUGUGGAGCCUUCAUCCUAGAGCAACAAGUAUAAUCAUAUCUCAAGCAUAGUUGCCUAGCAUACCAAUGCAACAUAUAAAUUUGAUCCCAUAAUAGUUUCCCUUUUUGAGUCAAGCGAUAAUCCCUAAAGUAUUCACGUUGAUCCAACGUGUCUCCCAUUAUAUAGUUGAAUGGGGUUUUCUCAGGAUUAUCAAAGUAGUACAUAAUAUUUUUCACAUAAUGAGCAUCAAGGGUUUUAGGAGGUUCCCCAUCUCCAUGAGUAGCAAGUAAACCUAAUUUUUUUGUUAUUUCGUGUUCCAUAUCCAUAACUAAAGAUAGAGAACAACUUAGAACAGAGAAUAAAAACUACUUAGUGAUAAAGCAAACAAGCACACACGAGAAUAUUCACCCCACGCUAUAACUCCCCGGCAACGGCGCCAGAAAAAGGUCUUGAUAACCCACAAGUAUAGGGGAUCAAUUGUAGCCUCUUUCGAUAAGUAAGAGUGUCGAACCCAACGAGGAGCUAAAGGUAGAACAAAUAUUCCCUCAAGUUCUAUCAACCACCGAUACAACUCCACGCACGCUUAACGUUCGCUUUACCUAGAACAAGUAUGAAACUAGAAGUACUUUGUAGGUGUUUUUGGAUAGGUUUGCAAGAUAAUAAAGAGCAUGUAAAUAAAAAGUAGGGGCUGUUUAGAUAAAGACACAACUAAAUUAGUUUUAGUAGAGAGCUUUUUGUCACGAGAAAGUUAUUUGUCCCUAGGCAAUCGAUAACUAGACCGGUAAUCAUUAUUGCAAUUUUAUUUGACGGAGAGGCAUAAGCUAACAUACUUUAUCUUCUUGGAUCAUAUGAACUUAUGAUUGGAACUCUAGCAGGCAUCCGCAAAUACUAAAGAUCAUUAAGGUAAAACCCAACCAUAGCAUUAAAGCAUCAAGUCCUCUUUAUCCCAUACGCAACAACCCCCUUACUUGGGUUUGUGUUUCAGUCACUCACGCAACCCACUAUAAGCGAAUCAUGAACGUAUUGCAACACCUUACAGCGGGAAUCCCUCACGCUUGCGCGACACGGAGAGCACCAUAGGACAGCACCAAUAAUGAAACAUACAACUCAAACCAAUCACGAUCAUCAAUUGACCCAUAGGACAAAACGGAUCUACUCAAACACCAUAGGAUAGCCAUACAUCAUUGGGAAGUAAUAUAUAGCGUUGAGCACCAUGUUUAAGUAGAGAUUGCAGCGGGUAAAAAAGGGGUUACACCGCUGCAUAGAGGGGGGAAGAGUUGGUGAUGACGGCGGUGAAGUUGUUGGUGACGAUUGCGGUGAUGAUGAUGGCCCCGGCGGCGUUUCGGCGCCACCGGAAGAGAGGGAGAGAGGGCCCCCUUCUUCUUCUUCUUCUUCCUUGACCUUCUCCCUAGAUGGGAGAAUGGUUUCCCCUCUGGUCCUUGGUCUCCAUGGCAUGGGAGGAGCGAGAGCCCCUCCGAGAUUGGAUCUGUCUCUCUGUCUCUCUCUAUUUCUGCACUCCCGGAUCUGGCCUUUCACCGUUUCUUUUAUAAUCGGAGAUCCGUAACUCCGGUUGGGCUGAAUUUUGGACACGAUCUCUAUCCGGAAAUUAGCUUUCUUGCGGCGAAAGAAGGGCUCCAACCGCCUUACGGGGUGGCCACGAGGGACCAGGGCGCGCUUGACCCCCUGGAAUGCGCCCCCUACCUCGUGGCCCCCUCGGGCAUCGUAUCGCGUUGAUUCUUCUUCCCAAAAAUCACAAAUAUUCCAAAAAAAAUCCGUCAGUUUUAUCCCAUUUGGACUCCGUUUGAUAUGGAUUUUCUGCGAAACAAAAAACAUGCAACUAACAGGAACUGGCACUGGGCACUGGAUCAAUAUGUUAGUCCUGAAAAUAGUAUAAAAAGUUGCCAAAAGUAUAUGAAAGUUGUAAAAUAUUGGCAUGGAACAAUCAAAAAUUAUAGAUACGAUGGAGACGUAUCAUGCAGCACCUCCGUGAAGUAGGGGUUGAUGACCUUCUCGAAGAACUUGUCCUUGGGGGCACUUGGGGACGUCAUGGUGAUCUAAAUCUGUCAGAAAAACAGCUUGAAACAAGAACAUAGGAUAUUUGUGUGAUACGAGGGUCAAAACCUUCGGGAGAUUAUAUAAUGAAUUUUUACCGAUCAAAAGAAGUAUCGUGCAAGAAAACGGAGUCCGAAGAGCACACGAGGUGCCCAAGAGGCAGGGGGCGCGCCUAGGGGGUAGGGCGCGCCCUCCACCCUCGUGGACGCCUCGUGUCCUCUUCGGACUACUUCUUAUUUUCCUAUUUUCCUUAAUAUUCCAAAACGGAGAAAAAUUUCUAUUAGAACUGUUUUGGAGUCAGUUUCCUUACCGUACCACAUACCUAUUCCUUUUCGGAGUCUGAAACGUUCUGUAAAGUGUCCCUUAUGUAUUCCUCCGGGGUUACGAUUUCAAUAACAUUAGUUUCAACAUUUAUUGGAUUACCUCAGAUAUAAUGUUUGAUUCUUUAACCGUUCACCACCUUCGAAGUUGAAGGUGGUGAUUUUUAUGGCACCGGAACGAUAGACCUCCUCGAUAACGUAAGGCCCUUCCCAUUUAGAGAGAAGUUUUCCUGCAAAAAAUCUUAAACAAGAGUUGAAUAGCAACACAUCGUCACCUACAUUAAACUCACGCUUUUGUAUCCUUUUGUCAUGCCAUCUUUUAACUUUUUCUUUAAACAGUUUGGCAUUCUCAUAGGCUUGGGUUCUCCAUUCAUCAAGUGAGCUAAUGUCAAAUAGCCUUUUCUCACCGGCAAGUUUGAAAUCAUAAUUGAGCUCUUUAAUGGCCCAAUAUGCCUUAUGUUCUAGUUCGAGAGGUAAAUGACAUGCUUUUCCAUAAAUCAUUUUAUACGGACACAUACCCAUAGGAUUUUUAUAUGCAGUUCUAUAGGCCCAUAAUGCAUCAUCAAGUUUCUUGGACCAAUUCUUUUUAGAUCUGUUAACAGUCUUUUGGAAAAUUAAUUUGAUCUCUCUAUUACUCUGUUCUACUUGACCACUAGAUUGCGGGUGAUAUGGAGAUGCAAUUCUAUGAUUAACAUCAUACUUAGCAAGCAUUUUACGAAAAGCACCAUCAAUAAAAUGUGAACCACCAUCAGUCAUUAAGUCUAGGGACUCCAAACGUCGGAAAAUAACUUCUUUAAGCAUCUUAAUAGAGGUGUUAUGAUCAGCACUACUAGUUGGAAUAGCUUCUACCCACUUAGUAACGUAAUCAACAGCAACUAAAAUAUGUGUAUACCCAUUAGAGGAAGGAAACGGUCCCAUAUAAUCAAAGCCCCAAACAUCAAAUGGUUCAAUGACAAGUGAAUAAUUCAUAGGCAUUUCUUGACGUCUACUAAUAUUACCAAUUCUUUGACAUUCAUCACAAGACAAGACAAGACAAACUUACAGGCAUCUUUGAAGAGAGUAGGCCAAUAAAAACUGGAUUGCAAUACCUUAUGUGCAGUUCUAUCUCUAGCGUGGUGUCCCCCGUAAGCUUCGGAGUGACACUUGCAUAGGAUCUGUUCCUGUUCAUGCUCAGGUACACAACGUCUAAUAACACCAUCUACUCCUUCUUUAUAAAGUUGUGGGUCAUCCCAGAAGUAAUGUCUUAAAUCAUAUAAAAACUUUUUCUUUUGCUGGUAUGUGAAGCUAGGUGGUAUAAAUUUAGCAACAAUGUAAUUAGCAUAAUCAGCAUACCAAGGACCAGUACGAGAAGCGUUUAUGACAGCUAAUUGUUCAUCAGGAAAUCUAUCAUCAAUAGGUAGUGGGUCAUCAAGAACAUUCUCUAACCUAGACAAGUUGUCUGCAACGGGGUUCUCAGCUCCCUUUCUAUCAAUAAUAUGCAAAUCAAAUUCUUGUAGUAGGAGAACCCAUCUAAUAAGUCUAGGUUUAGCAUCUUUCUUUUCCAUAAGAUAUUUAAUAGCAGCAUGAUCAGUAUGAACAGUUAAUUUAGAAUCAACAAUAUAAGGUCGGAACUCAUCACAAGCAAAAACAACUGCUAAAAAUUCUUUUUCAGUAGUAGCAUAAUUUCUCUGGGCACUGUCUAGAGUUUUACUGGCAUAUUGAAUAACAUUUAAUUUCUUAUCAACUCUUUGUCCUAGAACAGCACCUACAGCAUAAUCACUAGCAUCACACAUAAUUUCAAAGGGUAAAUUCCAAUCAGGUGGCUGAACAAUAGGUGCAGAAAUCAAGGUUUUCUUAAGUAUUUCAAAUGCUUCUACACAAUCAUCAUCGAAGACAAAAGGAACAUCUUUUUGUAAGAGAUUAGUUAGAGGCCUAGAAAUUUUUGAGAAGUCCUUAAUGAACCUCCUAUAAAACCCGACAUGAGCAAGGAAACUUCUUAUACCUUUAAUGUCCUUGGGACACGACAUCUUUUCAAUAGCAUCAACUUUUGCUUUAUCAACUUCAAUACGUCUUUCAGAAAUUUUAUGCCCCAGGACAAUACCUUCAUUAACCAUAAAGUGGCACUUCUCCCAAUUCAAGACAAGAUUAGUUUCUUCACAUCUAUGCAAAACUCGAUCAAGGUUGCUCAAGGAAUCAACAAAAGAAGUUCCAUAUACGGAAAAAUCAUCCAUGAAAACCUCAACAAUCUUUUCACAAAAGUCAGAGAAUAUAGCCAUCAUGCAUCUUUGAAAGGUAGCAGGUGCAUUGCAUAAACCAAAAGGCAUAUGUCUAUAAGCAAAGGUACCGAAAGGGAAAGUAAAAGUGGUCUUUUCUUGAUCCUCUUUUGACACAGGUAUUUGAGAGAAACCAGAAUAACCAUCUAGAAAGCAAAAAUGUGUAUGUUUGGAUAAUCUUUCUAGCAUUUGAUCAAUAAAAGGUAAAGGGUAAUGAUCCUUUUUGGUAGCUUUAUUUAGUUUAUGGAAAUCAAUUACCAUUCUAUAACCUAUAACAAUUCUUUGUGGGAUCAAUUCAUCUUUAUCAUUAGGAACAACAGUAAUACCUCCCUUCUUGACACAAUGGACAGGACUUACCCACUGACUACCAGCAACGGGAUAAAUUAUUCCUGCCUCCAGAAGCUUUAGUAUUUCUUUUCUUACCACUUCUUUCAUCUUAGGAUUUAACCGUCGUUGGUGAUCAACAACCGGUUUAGCGUAUUUCUCCAAUUUUAUUUUGUGUUGGCAUAGAGUGGGAUUAAUGCCCUUAAGAUCAUCAAGAGUAUAUCCAAUAGCAGCACGGUGCUUCUUCAUGCCCUGAAAGGUUAGCACUAAUAAUAACAGGAUAUAUCUUUUUCUCAUCAAGAUAAGCAUAUUUAAGAGUAUCAGGUAAUGGUUUAAGCUCAAACACGGGAUCGCCCUUGGGUGGAGGAGGAUCCCCUAGGAUUUCAACAGACAAGUUGUGUUUCAAAAUAGGUCCCUGUUUAAAUAAUACUUCAUCUAUUUCCCUUCUUUCAUUCAUAAAUAUAUCAUUUUCAUGGUCUAGCAAAUAUUUUUCUAAAGGAUCAUUAGGAGGCACGGCAAUAGAAGCAAGACCAAUGAUUUCACCUUUACUAGGCAAUUCUUUAUCAUUGGGUUGUCUACGAAAUUUAGCGAAAUUAAACUCAUGAGACAUAUCCCCCAAACCAAUAGUAACAACAUCCUUUUUGCAAUCUAUCUUAGCAUUAACAGUAUUCAAGAAGGGUCUACCGAAUAUAAUGGGACAAAAGUCAUCUUGUGGGGAACCAAGAACAAGAAAAUCAGCAGGAUAUUUAACUUUCCCACACAAGACUUCAACAUCUCUAACAAUCCCAACUGGUGAAAUAGUGUCUCUAUUGGCAAGCUUAAUCGUAACAUCUAUCUCUUCUAUCUCAGUAGGUGCAAUAUCAUGCAUAAUUUCUUUGUAUAAGGAAUGAGGUAUUGCACUUGCGCUAGCACCCAUAUCACAUAAGCCAUGAUAGAAAUGAUCUCCUAUUUUAACAGAAAUAACAGGCAUGCCUACAACAGGUCUAUGUUUAUUUUUUUUAUCAGGUCUAGCAAUUCUAGCAGCUUCAUCACAGAAGUAAAUAACAUGCCCAUCAAUAAUAUCGGCCAAGAGAUCUUUAACCAUAGCAAUACUAGGUUCAACUUUAAUUUGCUCAGGGGUGUAGGUGUUCUAGUAUUACUCUUAUGAACCACCGUUGAAGCUUUAGCAUGAUCCUUUAUUCUAACAGGGAAAGGUGGUUUCUCAGUAUAAGAAGUAGGAACAACAGGAUCAACAUUAUAAGUGAUAGUCUUUUCUUCAACUUUAAUAGGUGCAACUACUUUUACUUCAAUGGGAGGAUUAUAUUUAAACCACUUCUCCUUAGGGAGAUCAACAUGAGUAGCAAAGGAUUCACAAAAAGAAGCUACUAUCUCAGAGUCAAGUCCAUAUUUAGUGCUAAAUUCACGGAAAACCUCGGUAUCCAUAAAAGAUUUAACACAAUCAAACUUAGGUGUCAUACCUGACUCCUUACCUUCGUCGCGAUCCCAAUCUUCAGAGUUGCGUUUAAUUCUUUCCAAUAAAUCCCAUUUGAAUUCAAUAGUCUUCAUCAUAAAAGAACCAGUACAAGAAGUAUCGAGCAUGGAGCGAUUAUUGAGAGAAAGCCGAGCAUAAAAAUUUUGAAUAAUAAUUUCUCUUCCGAGCUCAUGAUUUGGGCAUGAAAAUACAUUGACUUAAGCCUCCCCCGAGCUUGAGCGAUGCUUUCUCCUUCGCGAGGCCAAAAAUUAUAUAUAUAAUUACGAUCACGAUGAACAAGAUGCAUAGGAUAAAACUUUUGAUGAAAUUCCAAUUUAAAUCGGUUGUAGUUCCAUGAUCCCAUAUCAUCACAUAGCCUAAACCAUGCCAAUGCCUUUCCCUUCAAAGAUAAAGGGAAGACCUUCUUCUUGAUAACAUCCUCGGGCAUACCUGCAAGCUUAAAUAAUCCACAAACUUCAUCCACAUAGAUUAGGUGCAAAUCGGGAUGUAAUGUUCCAUCACCUGUGAAAGGAUUAGCUAGCAGUUUCUCUAUCAUACCUGAAGGAAUUUCAAAGUAAACAUUUAAAGUAGGUUCAGUAGGUUGAGGAACAACUCUUUGCUCUACUGGUCAGGGUGAAGAUACCCCGAACAAGCCCCUCAAAAGAUUACUUUCCAUAGUAACAAGUAACUGUAAAUUUCAGCACACUAUAUAAAUUUUUCCUUACCAAAGGCGCUUCACUCCCCGGCAACGGUGCCAGAAAAGAGUCUUGAUGACCUACAAGUGUAGGGGAUCUAUCAUAGUCCUUUCAAUAAGUAAGAGUGUCGAACCCAACAAGGAGCAGAAGGAAAUGACAAGCGGUUUUCAGUAAGGUAUUCUCUGCGAGCUUGAAAUUAUCGAUAACAGAUAGUUUUGUGAUAAGGUAAUUUGUAACGGGUAACAAGUAAUGAAAGUAAACAAGGUGCAGCAAGGUGGCCCAAAUCCUUUUUGUAGCAAAGGACAAGCCUAGAAAAACUCUUAUAUGAAGGAAAACGCUCCCGAGGACACAUGGGAAUUAUCGUCAAGCUAGUUUUCAUCACGCUCAUAUGAUUUGCAUUCGCUACUUUGAUAAUUUGAUAUGUGGGUGGACCAGUGCUUGGGUACUGCCCUUCCUUGGACAAGCAUCCCACUUAUGAUUAACCCCUAUUGCAAGCAUCCGCAACUACAAAAGAAGUAUUAAGGUAAAUGUAACCAUAGCAUGAAACAUAUGGAUCCAAAUCAGCCCCUUACGAAGCAACGCAUAAACUAGGGUUUAAGCUUCUGUCACUCCAGCAACCCAUCAUCUACUUAUUACUUCCCAAUGCCUUCCUCUAGGCCCAAACAAUGGUGAAGUGUCAUGUAGUCGACGUUCACAUGACACCACUAGAGGAGAGACAACAUACAUCUCAUCAAAAUAUCGAACGAAUAGCAAAUUCACAUGACUACUUAUAGCAAGACUUCUUCCAUGUCCUCAGGAACAAACGUAACUACUCACAAAUCAUAUUCAUGUUCAUAAUCAGAGGGGUAUUAAUAUGCAUAAUGGAUCUGAACAUAUGAUCUUCCACCAAAUAAACCAACUAGCAUCAACUACAAGGAGUAAUCAACACUACUAGCAACCCACAGGUACCAAUCUGAGGCUUUGAGACAAAUAUUGGAUACAAGAGAUGAACUAGGGUUUGAGAGGAGAUGGUGCUAGUGAAGAUGUAGAUGAAGAUUGACCCCCUCCCACUGAGAGGAUCGAUGGUGAUGACGAUGGUGACGAUUUCCCCCUCCCGGAGGGUUGUUUCCAUGGCAGAACAGCUCCGCCGGAGCCCUAGAUUGGUUCCGCCUGGUGGCGGCAGUGUUUCGUCCCGAAAGCUUCCUCCUGUUUUUUUCAAGGGUAAAAGACUUCAUAUAGCACAAGAUGGGCACCGGAGGCCUGCCAGGGGGCCCACGAGGCAGGGGGCGCGCCCAGGGGGUAGGGCGCGCCCCCACCCUCGCGGAUGGUCGGUGGCCCACUCUGGUUGAUUGUUUCGCCAAUAUUUUUUAUUAAUUCCAAAAACUGCCUCCGUGAAGUUUCAGGACUUUUGGAGCUGUGCAGAAUAGGUCUCUAAUAUUUGCUCCUUUUCUAGCCCAGAAUUCCAGCUGUCGGCAUUCUCCCUCUUCAUGUAAACCUUGUAAAAUAAGAGAGAAUAGGCAUAAGUAUUAUGAUAUAAUGUGUAAUAACAGCCCAUAAUGCAAUAAAUAUCAAUAUAAAAGCAUGAUGCAAAAUGGACGUAUCAGGCAUCGAGACCCGUGCCGGAUGUGCACCAAGGAGAUGCCGGACGCGGUGGUGGCCCGUCUGGUGAACUUCAUUUCAAACUGCAAACUCUCGGAGGAGGAGUGGCAGUUCGGCAAGCGGCCAUACUCCCGCGCGAACCCGCCGCCUGCGGUAAGUCCUUAACUCUUUUUUCUCUUUAUUUGCCGGGUUUUGCUUUUGCCGCCUGAUCAGUCGGUCACGAUGCAGAUCCUCACGUCCCAGCCGGCAGCCGACGCCCUGGAGCAGGGUCAAGAGUACCUGCCGGACCGGUCUGUGAGUGACACGGACAACUCCGACUUGGGGGCGGCCGCCAUGCAGGAGCACGACGCCACAGGUGGUGGUGGCGGAGCAGGCGGCUCCGGAGGAGGCGGCGUCGAGGAGUGGCCGAAUGAUGACGAGGAGGAAGACGAACCACGCCGCCCGCACGGCGCCGACAAGGCAGGCACGAGCUCUACAGCCGCGCCGACCGCACCAGGCGGCACGCAGAAGCGCUGGGCCGCCAAGCCGCUGUUCGGCAGCCGGCCGAAGAAGCCAAAGAACACGGCCGCCGCAAAGGCGACCCAGUUUCAGAGGACCCCGAAGCAGACCCCGACAGUGUCCGCGUAAGUGCUUGACUUUUCUUGCGUUUUUCCUCUCGUUCUUUCUUGCAAAACUCCUUCUGAGUUUCUUCUUGUCUUGCUUGAACAGGGCCCCACUCUCUCUUGAGAGGCCAGCCUCUGCUUCCAUCAUCGGGGGGACGGAGCUCUCCGCCAACACCCGCCGCAUGGACCCCCUCACCGACCUUCGGGAGGCGACGGAGAGGAACGCGCGGGAGGCGCGUGAGGCGCGGGAGGAGGCAGAACGGCAGAAGGCGGCGGCAGACAAGGUGGCGUAGGCGAACGCGGAUGCGGCGGCCAAGGCCCAAGCCGACACCGCUGCAAAGGCGCAGGCGGACGCCGUGACCAAGGCCCAGGCAGAAACAGCCGCCUAGGCGCAGACGGACGAGGCCACGCGUAGCCGGGCUCCGCAACUUAUCAUCCCCCUGCGCGACGCGCCACCGGCACCAGAGACUCAGGUGCCGACUGGAGGGGCCGGCGACGUGCAGCCGGUCAUGGAGAGGGGAGGGGACAACGUCACCGUCUUGGGGGCGGAAGUGCCCCCGCACGCGCCGACUACUGACACGCAAAGCAAUCGGCCUGAGGCGCCACCGGCGCCACCAGCUGGCAACGAGUUGGUGGCGGGAUCGACUCCGGUGGUCCGCACUCCGGGGCAUCGUCGCCCGGAGAAGGCGGCGUCAGCGCCAAGGCCGCUGGAUUUUGGGGCCGCAAGCUCUUCGGCCCCUGACACCGAGGCCAGCAGCACCGCCCCACCAGAGUGGACUCCUGGAGGUGGGACGAGCGUGCUGAACCGCGACACAAAUGACGUCCAGGCCCAUCUUCAGGCCCAAGGUGCCGCCUCCAACAGUACACAAAGGAGUUCUUGGCGACGCGUACCGCCAUCUAGGUAUGUCUCUUGAUCGCUUGUUUCUGAUUCUUGUAAUUUUCUUGAAAUCUUCCGUGGGGGUGCGCCAGCGCACCCACUAGGUGUAGCCCCCAAGUUUCGGGCCGGCUGCUGAGCAGGCGGCUUGGAACUUAAGAUAAGUUCUGAGUGCUAACCUUCUCCUUUUUCAUCUGUUGUCCUUGCUGCAGGACUACCACAACAUCCGCGCGGCCGCCUUCAACUCUCAUGUCCGGGAGCUGGCCAAGCGGACUGCUGACUUGGCCGACAGCCGGAGUAAGCACUUCAUCCUUAUUCUCGCGGGGGCGCGCCAGCGCACCCGCGGGGUGUAGCCCGCGAGAUUCGGGCCGACUGCUGAGCAGUCGGGCCGGAUCUUCCAGCGACUACUUUUUUCUUGUGUUGACUUGCUGGCUGUCUUUUCUUUCUUGUCUUCUGCAGGAGCCAACGCCACCUUGCAGCAACAGCUGGGCGAAGCUCAAACUGUGCUGCACGCUAAGGAGGAGGAGCGCAGCAAGGCGGAGCAGGAGCUCGACCGUCUGGCCAAGAAGUUGGCUAACCAGGCAAACCAGCAUAAGGCGGAGCUCCAGAAGCUCAAGGAGGCGGAGGAGGCCUCCAGGCCGAGUUCAAGACUCAGCGCUCGAACUGGGUCGAGAGGGAGAAGGCCCUGUCCGACGGCUAUGGCGAGAUCGAGGACAUGCUCGAUGGUGAGUUGUUCUUCCCUUUCUGCUGCCUGCCGACUUCUCAUACGAGCCGGCUUCUGACUUCAUACUUCUUUUUCCUUCUUGUGCAGAGUAUUUUCCUGGUCACGCCUUCGCCGCCAGCCAAGCCAUCGAGGCUCGCCGCGACGAGCGAAGGCUGGGUGGUGCAGAAAUCGCGCCCAACGCCCCUCGGACCCUCAGCGAGCAGCUUCUCGCCGUUCAAGCUCAUCUCUGGCCGGCCCAUCGGGCGCUCCGCCGUCUGCAGCGAGCCGGAGCCUAGGUGGUUUCUGCCCUCUGGCCGGGUGCUCCAGCUCUGCGCACCCCCAGUCGGACCUCCGACUGGUUAGAUGUGGCUAUCGGCCGCUACGAGGCGUGGAAGGGCUCCUCAGCCCGGGCAAGUGCACGGCGGGCCUUGGAGUUCAUCAGGGGUGGUACCCUGGGCUGAACCUGGCCCAGCUGGCCACGCUCCGGGCUGAACCCAGUGAAGAGUUGGCGGCGGUGGCGCCCGCGCUCUAUCAUCGCGCCGCAGUGAUCGCCGAGUACACUGACACCAGUGUCUUCCUCCCCGAGCCAGACAAAGAGGGCGCCGAGGCGCUGCCCAACUGGUUCGGGCUGAACCCAGAAGACGGCGAGGACUCGGUGGAGGAGAUCGCCUCUAGCGAUGAGGGUGAGGAGGACGAGGACGAGGACGGCGAAGACGAUGCGCCAGAUGAUGGAGUUGACAGCCGGCCUCAGCCUGACCAAGUCCCGACCAACGAGCAGCGCGCUGGCGAGCCGACUGCAGCUGGUGCUGACCAGACCGAGACUAACCAGACGACCGUUCCACCACCCGGAGCCUUGACCUCUGCUGACCCCUCCGUUCCGGCUGCUGCUCCUCUGGCCUAGGCGGCCAAGUUAUCUUUCUUUCCUAUUUUGUAAUCUCUUUGAACAAACUUGUUAGAUUUGCACAGUUCCACCCGCUGGGGGUGUAUUCAAACUCUAUUGAAUGCUGGCCAAGGGCAUUUUGCUAUGUAAAUUAUCUGUGUCGUUUUUCGACUUGUCUUGCUUUUCUGCUCCUUUAGCUUUUUCCUUUGCCGCCUUCCCUUGGCUGCCGUCUUGCCAGCCGGACAGCCACUCUGCGGUCUGUGGCUGGGUCAAGUACUUGGCCGUUUUGGGAAGGCAAGUACUUUAGCCGUUUGUAGAGCGUAGCAAGUUAAGUUAGAAACCGGCCAGCCGGCUGCUCAACAGCCGGUCAAUGAGGCGAGGAGCCGGCUUGGCCUAUGCGAAUGCUUUGGUCCUUAGCCAUUUUUCAUGUGUGCACCGUUUCCUGCCUUUAACUCUUGCCAGUCGAACAGUCGCUCUGUGAGCUGCGGCUUAUGGCAAGAGAGGGCUUAAGUGCCGGCACACUACUUGUCCGACUACAGGUAGCAUCGACAUAGUACAAGGCGGCAAGCCCCCGGGCCAAUUGGUCGAACCCGGUGCCAGGCAGAAUAAUGAAACAACACAUUCAUAGGCAUAUAACUUAUCAUAUAGAUAAAAAGGGUGGCCCCCGAGUGCUCCUCGAGGGACCCGAUGUCUUAAUGCUUAAUACAAAAGGUCGCGUGGUACAUACUGCAUCAACUGUAAAAUCUUCGAAGGAGAUUUGCAUUCCAUGGGUGCUCUGAUUCCUUGCCGGAGUCGUCUCUCUUGCGUGCUCUGGGCUUCUGUGCAUCGAUGAGGUAGUAGGAGUCAUUGCCCAACGCUUUGCUGAUGAUGAACGGGCCUUCCCAAGGGGCCGAGAGCUUGUGCUGGCCAGCUGUUCGCUGGAUCAGCCGGAGCACAAGGUCUCCCUCUUGGAAGGAUCUUGGCUUGACCUUCCGACUGUGGUAGCGGCGCAGACUCUGCUGGUAGAUGGCGGACCGGCUGAGUGCCAACAGUCGGCCCUCUUCCAGCAGAUCAACGCCGUCUUCUCUUGCUUCUUUCGCCUCCGCCUCCGUGUACAUGGUGACGCGAGGUGAGUCGAACUCCAUGUCAGUUGGGAUGAUGGCCUCAGCCCCGUACACAAGAAAGAAUGGAGUGAAGCCGGGUGACUUUUUUGGAGUGGUGCGGAGGCUCCAGAGGACAGCCGACAGCUCAUCGAUCCAACAGCCGGCCGAGCGCUCCAGUGGCUCGACCAGUCAGGGCUUGAUGCCGGAGAGGAUGAGGCCGUUUGCUCGCUCGACUUGGCCGUUUGACUACGGAUGGGCAACGGAUGCUAAGUCCAGUCGGAUGCCCUGCGUCAUGCAAAAACGGGCCAAGGCUCCCUUGGCAAAGUUCUUGCCAUUGUCGCUGAUGAUGCUGUGUGGCACACCGUAUUGGACGGUGCUAUCUGCAAUGAAGGUCACAGCAGUCGGACCGUUCAGUUUCUUGAUUGGCUUCGCUUCAAUCCACUUGGUGAAUUUUUCCACGGCGACAAGCAGAUGGGUCAUGCCGCCGUGUGCUGUCUUGAAUGGUCCCACCAUCUCCAGCCCCCACAUGGCAAAUGGCCAAGUGAGGGGGAUGGUCUUGAGUGCAGAAGCCGGCAGAUGUUGCUUGGAGCUGAAUUUCUGGCACCCCUUGCAAUGCUUGACCAGAUCCUUGGCGUCCUCCAAAGCAGUCGGCCAGAAGAAACCAUGGCGGAAAGCUUUGGCGACAAGGGAUCUAGAGGCCGCGUGGUGGCCGCACUCGCCUUGGUGGAUAUCUUUAAGGAUUGCUUGGCCCUUCUCUGGUUCUACGCAGCGCUGGAACACUCCAGUCACGCUGCGUCUGACAAGCUCUCUGUUUACUAUCGUGUAGGCUCAUGCUCGGCGCUGCACUUGCCGGGCUGAGAUAUCAUCAGCCGGCAGCUCUCUGUUCACCAGAAAUUUGAGGAUGGGUGGUGCUUGAAUUUCUUCUACUGCCACUAUGGCCACUUGUACUAGGGCGGUUGGGUUGGGAGGUGGCGGGUUGGGGUCGGCCGCCGCUUGCUGCGUUGUUGAAGUCCCCGGGCCGACUGAUGCAGCCCCCGAGUCGGGUGCGACUGCUGCAGUGUGACACCCAAAAAUUUUAUUUGGCUUUAUCAAACUUUUAUUUGAUUUGAGGGAGGUUAUUUAAAAAAUUUCUUCUAAAGGACUCUCCUUCUCAAAAACCUUCUUUUUAUGACAAGUAUUUUGCUUGGUUUCAUCCAAGACUUGAUCUUUGGUCUUGGAGGUUUUUCAUCUUGUGUUGACUCAACACCAAUGUUUUUCAUUGAAAAAGUUUUUGAAAAUCUUUUCUUUUUAAAAUAGCCCUAUGGCUUAUGGAGUGAUCCUUUCCCCUUUCAAAAUCUCCUCUUGCCAUGACCUAAGUUGAAAACUCUUUCCAAAGGCCAUCCCCCUACCUUGUGUCAAGAUAAACUUCAAAUCCAGCAAGUUGAACUCCCCCAUGAUUUUGUUUCCAUUUAUUUCUUAUCAAAAACUUUUUUUGUCCUCUAUUUUGACCCUUGGAGAUUUACAAAGGAACUACCAUUUCUCCUUUGAGUUUUGCCUCCAAACAAAUUUCCCUGGCUAGUCCUUAGAGCCCUCAACCAAGAUCCAUGAAGAUCCACUGGUCUCCAGUUCAAAAAUUUCAAAUUGUGCUUGCUGCAAGUUUGGACCAUAUUUGUCAAAUUUGAUGAAAUCCAUUUGUUUUCUCCUCCUAAAAAUCUGAGAAAAUUCAGGCAGCCUCUGGAUGCAUCGAGAGGUCACCUCACCAAGCCCCAGCUCCAGAUUUUUUUCUCCUCAUGCCAAGUCAUAUCAUCAAAACCUGGCGUGCACUGUUACUGUCGAAGUUCAGAAAAUUCAGAGAUACAGUUUCAGAAGCCGCUGUCGUUUUCUUGAGAACCUCUCCGCGAUCUCGCCAGUAGCUGCAGUGGCAUCUUGCGCCCUGUGCCUCCUUCUUAUCCCUGCACCGCACGAUCGCCUGGAAGCUUGCGGGCGUCAGCGACGAGCUGGCAGAGGUGCGCCUCCCCGUGAGUGGCAGCAACAGCGCCCAUUGCGGCUGCCAGAGAGGCGCAGCGUUGGACGGCGCAGCGUUGGACGGCGCUGUCCAGCGCCGCCCAAGCCACCAGAGGCCACCACGUGGCCGUCUACUCACCUGUGCACGCUGCAGGGCCGUCGUCGUGAACUAGAAGGCGCAGAGCGCGCUCCCUGCUGCCGUCGUGCCCGUACGGCCGUUCCGUCGAGGGCCAGUGUAUUACGCAAGCCCGACCGAGGUUUGAAUAGAGAAACGGUAUCAGUGGUCCACCACGAUGAUGCAUAGCCACCUAAACCCCCUGCCCAACCUCCGCCUCGCCGUAAUUUCUCGCCGGCGUUAUCCCGUUCACGGCCACCCCCUCGGAUCGCCUAUAAAAGGAGGUCCUGAGCUCGAACUCGAACCCGCACCAUCUCUACACACCACUAGUACCACGCCAAGCCACUGGGCAGACCCCGAGGGAGUCUUCUUCCCCAACUCCGGCCGCCUCGACCCGCUUCGGGAUCCAGCACGAUUCACUCCCCUGCAUGCACCCCUGCCUCUCAGCUCAUGCCAGUAGUCUCCUAGUGCAUCCACAUCUCUGACCAGCGCAUCAAUUUGAAGUUUGCAGCACCCACCGCAGAGCUCCACCCUCGCCCGAACCACCGUCCGCCGGACAUAGGGUCGCCGUCGACGUGGUGCUCACCGACGGUCAAGUCCACCACCCACCGAUGCGGAAGAACACCCUGAACCCGUAGGUACCCUCCGAUCACCCUGCCUCGCCGUGGAUCAACGCCGGCAACCACCGCAGCCUUCGGGCACCGGCGAGCUCUGUUCAGAGUUUAAACCUGACGGGUGGGGCCCCCCGUCAGCCUCUCUUUCCUUUCCCUUCGAACAGUUUUCUGAAGGCGCCUUCGGGCAAAGUGUGUUUUCUCUCUGGGCUAACGUAUUUCUUACCGAAGCGUUUUCUGCUUUUUCAAACGAGUCCCUGGAUCUUUUUUGUUUCAUCACAGAUUAGUCCUUGGACUAAAACCCUUAUAUCUUUUAAACAAAAGAUGCUUUUUGAUUGAUUCUUUUUCUGUCAGUCUUAUAUUUUUGUCUAGUUUUUUAUAGUAUUUAUUUGGAAAAAUUUAGGAACAAUUUUUAUACACACAACGGUUUUCACGUUAGUAUACGGUUUCGUUAUACCGUAGGUUCCGGAGGAGGUGACGGAGCCGCGAACUUCGCCGAGCUAGACUCCGACUUCUCCGAACCAGGCAAGCAUGUUUGAACCUUUGAUAUGAUGGGUGUUUUGCAUGUUUGCUUGAUUAGUUUGUGCAUGCAAUAUGGGCAUCGGUAAGUGUUUCGUUGCAAGCAAGGCAACUAACCGUGUGCUUCGAAGUUUACUGUGAUCUCUUGAUGAGAGAUGACCUGAUCAUGUGGUGACAUGAGAGGUAGUAAGAUGGUAUUGUUGUAGCAUGCCAAUCUUAUGUCAACCGUUAAACUCCGACGUUAACGUGGACCGAGCCACGUUACCGUUCGUCUCCUUUUCGUACUGCCACAUGUUUUCUGCAGAGAAUACGGUUUAGUAAGUUGCUAACCUCUUUCCUUGUACACACCAAAUAGAGGGGCCGGGAUGAGGGUUCCAUGGCCCUGGAUUAAAGCCAGUCAUCCGGUUAGGGGUCAUGGGUGUUUCCGGUUGGGACCGAGAGGGGGGCACCCCUUAGAGCGUGCGAUAUAAAUUUGAUCCCAUGCUACGUGAGGUUGUAGCCUCCCCGUCUCAAAGUUUUUCUUGAACGUUGCUUGGGGUGAUUCCUGGCAUCGGAAUGUGGAAUGGGUGUGUACUGGUUAGACGUGUUUCUCCUAAAAUACCAUAAACGGAACUAGUCCUUUGUGACUACUGAAAUCCGUUGGCUGUGGUUAAGACUACAAACUCUGCAGAGUCAAAACCUUCCGAGUCAUCGUGUCCAUGGUCAAGACCGUGGCCAGCAUAUCCAUAUCCAUGUCAGUCCCUGUGUCAGUCUCCGUGGAAAUCCCCGGUAAACAGCUUGAGUGGUAAAGCCGGUUGAAUGUUAUUCCUGUGGAUGGACUAACCAUUUUAUUAUUUCGUACCUGAAUAUUCCCUUGAAAUGAUUUAAAUUCAUGAGCUACUGAAAUAUCAAGUUAUGAGAUAUAAGCCCUUUAUGUGAUGUCACUCAGACGUCUGACUGUGGCACUCUUGUCAUUUACUUUUGAUAUAAGCCCUUUAUGUGAUGUCGCUCAGACGUCCGACUGUGGCACUCUUGUCAUUUACUUUGAUAUAAGCCCUUUAUGUGAUGUCGCUCAGACGUCCGACUGUGGCAGUCUUGUCAUUUACUUUUGAUAUAAGCCCUUUAUGUGAUGUCACUCAGACGUCCGACUGUGGCACUCUCGUUAUUUACUAUUGAUAUAAGCCCUUUACGUGAUGUCGCUCAGACGUCCGACUGUGGCACGCACUGUCGUUUAUAUUCCAUUAUAAGCCCUUUUUGUGGUGUCGCCUUGACGCCCGACUGCGGCAUUGUUAAUUUAUUUGUACCCUUUCGAGGAGCCAUUCAGACACUCGAUUGGCCUUCAGUAUUAAAUUGGUAUUUCGGGAGGACUACCGCCCGACUUCCUUUUUACUUUCCGCGCAUUGCUAUUUUAUUAUCUGAGUGUGCAUCAUUAAUCUGUUCAUAUGCAUCAUGUUUGCAUUUGUUAUAUCUUAUGUCCAAACUGUCUUGUGAGUACUUUCAUAGUACUCACCUGGCUUGUUGAUUUGGCCAGAUGUUGACGAAGGCGAUCUCAUGGAUGAAGAGUUUGAUAGCGAGUCCGACGCCUAGAGGAGUCCCAGUCAGUCCCGUGCGAUCCUGGAUUUUGGUCACUUGUAUUAUAUACGCUUCCGCCACCCACAAUAAGAGUCCUCGAGCCUCACUCCGACGCUCGAUGAGCUGUAAGAUUUAGGAGUCAUGUCACCCACUUCACUGUGACAUAUCCACCCCCACUUUUAUUACGAGUCAGUAGUUAUGCCACCAUACCCUUUGUGUCAUAUCCGCCUUUAUGUUUAAUAUCGGCAUGCUUGUAAUAAAUUGUUGAGCAGUCUCCGCUAAACCUUGUAUUAUAUUUAGUACUCCAGGAUACUUCUGUAAUCAAGAAAUUGUCUACCAGUGAGAAGGAUUCUUCUCUACUGGUCCGUAAAAGGGAUCGGUUUCUCAAUAAAUGUUUUAUUGGAAAACCGGUCGUGACAAGCUUGGUAUCAGAGCCAGGCUGACUGUAGGAAGCCACUAGGUGCGAUCGCUAAUCGGGUAUUAGCGUUUUUAGUGCUUUUUCAGCAUUUUGCAAAUGUAGCUAUUUUUUGUUGGUCAUCAUAAAUUUAUGAUUUGACUACUCAGAAUUUUUGCCUACUUUUGUAGAUGGCUGGCAGCGACUGCGAGACUCGGGUGUUUGCUAAUGUGCCCGAGGGGUUUGUCAAACUCCUCGUCUCCAUCACCAAGCUCAUGAUCGGGCCAGCGACUCGUCCGGAGUUCACGCUUUACGAACACAAGCUCAGCGACGACGUGUCUAUGCACCAGGCCGUGGUGCAAUUCAAGGGAGGACGUUCUGCGUCUCGCCACUUCCGUUUUGUGGGAAGGGCCAUGCCUACGGAGAGGCAUGCCAUGCAGAUGGCCACCCGUGAGGCGAUAGCUCGUCUUCGGGAUGUUCUUCCUACGAUGAAGACUCGUCGCUACCGCUACCUCCCAUGCCAUGUGCCAUAUACUUGUCACUAUGCAUUCGCCUGCCAUAGGGGAGAGAGGGAUGAAGCUAUCGAGAUGCUUGUUGAAUAUCUCAGAGCUCUGGAGGCAGCUUUCGACAACCUCGUGGACGACCUUGUGGCUGCCCGUAUGGACUUAGCUCAGGGUUGUUCUGCCAACAGGAGGGAGCUUCUCCACAUGGCACCGCCACUGACUUUCGUCUCGUCCUCAGCAUCCUAUUCACCUGCCAUUUUGGCCACCGCUCGCCGUCUGCCUACCACUGAGGAGUUCGACCAGGUCAUUGCUCCUACUCCAGUCAGAGCUGCACCACCUGCCGCACCCGCACCAACUCCUCAGCGCAGUGCUACGCGCCUGGAGCCUAUUAGGGAGGAGGUGGAGGUUGAGUCUCCUGCACCGCUGGGUCUUACCCUCGGCAGGCAGAAGGAAAUCUUCACCAUCUCCGACUGAGUGCGCCUAGCAGCCGUGUGAUGUACCCACUUGUAUGAUAUGUUUUAUUUGUUCAUAGGUUUGGUAAGAAGUAGUUUGGGUGCGCAUCAUGUAGGAACUCGGAGAAGUGCACUAGCCUAAAUAACAUGUCAGGAAUGUGUACGCACAUCCUGAGUGUUGUAUUGUAUAUUUACGUAUCGCGUGUAAGAUAUGUACUGAGCAGUCCUUCUCCGUGCGCAAUCAAAUAUUUUCUUGAAAAAUCUUGAGGUCUUUUAAAUUUUUGCCUCUGCAAAAAUUUCUUGUGCCACACAGUUCUUCUCAUGAGUUUUGCAAAAUAAUACCCCAGAGUGGAAAAUGUCUCGUCCGUGGACUCGUUCCAUGCCAAAUCCACCGGAAGAAGUUUAUGGAACACAGACAAGCAACAACUUCACUCAGGGGCAGUCUUGUCAACAGGACAGCGAGGCAGCCUUAUCUCAAGUAUGCCGCCUUUUCGAACAAAGCCAACAGCAACACCAAGAAAUGAUGAAUCAUGUCAUCAAUAUGGGAAACCACCGUGAUCCAUACCAACCGCACUCCAAGUUGUCUGAACUACAGAAGACAUGCCCUCCAAUGUUCGCUCACACUGAUAGGCCGCUUGAAGCCGAUGAUUGGCUUCGAGACAUCGAAAGAAAAUUGAUUAUUGCUCAAUGUUCAGAUCAUGAGAAGGUGCUUUAUGCACCUCACUACCUCACUGGAGCAGCUGCCGCAUGGUGGGAAAAUUUCUUACACAUGCACCCCAGUGAACAUAACAUCACCUGGGAAGUGUUUAAGGAAGGUUUUCGUGGGGCGCACAUCCCCAGGAGCAUUAUAAAGAUCAAGAAGAGGGAGUUUGAUGACCUCAAGCAGAGAGGCAUGACAGUGACGGAAUACAACAGUCUGUUUACUCAACUAUCUCGUUAUGCCUACAAUGAGCAUAUGACUGAGAAUAAAAGGAUGAAAAAAAAUUGGACGGCCUGGCGCCAGCACUAAAAUGCCAACUGGUCGUACACACUUUUCCCGAUUUCAAAACUCUGGUUGACAAGGCUAUUACAUUGGAGAAUGAGCGCCGGAGCCUGGAGGAUAUUCGCAAGCGAAAAAGGGACAAGACGGCUCAUGCUCGCAGCAACCGGAGCAAGACUGAUAUUCAGAGGAAUGAAGCAAGAAAAUCCACGACCACUGCUCUAAGGCCAACCAAACAUUUCCAUUCAAGGGACAAAGACUUUACAUACCGUCCAGGUGUCACUUGCUAUGCUUGUGGAGAGGAAGGGCACUAUGCCAAACAGUGCCCAAAACCAAGGAACUCGGCACCCAAGCCGAACAAUGGUGGAAUUAAUCCAGCCCCCAGGCGUAACAAUUUCAAUCCCAACAACAAUCACAAGAAGGGUCACCUGAACCAUGUGACCAAGGAAGAAGCACAGAAUGCCCCAAAUAUCGUGCUCGGUACGUUCCCUGUCAACACAAUACCUGCCACGGUUUUGUUUGAUUCUGGAGCUUCUCACUCGUUCAUUUCGAAGAGUUUUGUUUUGCAACAUGGUUUUCCGAUACUUCCUUUGGAAAAACCCAUGAUCAUCAAGUCCCCCGGAAAUAAGUAGAUCACUCAGAGUUACUGCCAAGGAGUGAUUAUUGAAUUUGAAAGACUAAAGUUUCAGGCGAAUCUCAUCGUGUUGGAAAAUAAAGGACUGGAUGUUAUCCUAGGAAUGGACUGGUUAACCACCAAUAAGGGAUUUAUUGACUGCUUCAAUCGGACUGUAAUCCUCACUCACCAUCACGGCAAGACAAUAAAAGUUACAGCUCAAGAGAGACCACGGUCACGGCAACCAAAGUUGAACAAGGUGGACAUUUCAGAAUUGAGAAAAGUUCCAGUGGUUUGUGAGUUUCCCGACGUAUUUCCUGAAGAACUACCAGGCAUGCCACCAGACCGAGAAAUAGAGUUCAGCACUGAACUAGCACCUGGCACCACCCCCAUUUAUAAGAAACCUUAUAGAAUGGCACCCUCUGAAUUGGUAGAAUUAAAGAAGCAAAUAAAAGAAUUACUGGACAAAGGAUUUAUACGAGCCAGCUCCUCACCUUGGGGUUCACCAGUAUUAUUCGCCAAGAAAAAGGAUGGGACACUGAGAUUGUGUAUAUACUAUCGAGCUCUCAAUAUGGUCACCAUCAAAAACAAAUAUCCGAUGCCACGGAUAAAUGAUUUGUUUGACCAGCUCACACAAGCCAAGGUGUUCUCAAAAAUUGAUUUAAGAUCGGGAUAUCAUCAAUUAAAAGUACGGACAGAAGAUAUCCCUAAGACAGCAUUCACCUCCAGAUACGGAUUAUAUGAGUUCACAGUAAUGCCGUUUGGACUGACGAACGCCCCCGCAUAUUUCGUCCACCUCAUGAACAAAGUGUUUAUGAGAUUUAUGGACAAAUUUGUUGUGGUGUUCAUUGACGAUAUUCUGGUAUACUCAAGGACACCAGAAGAACAUGCUGAACAUCUCAGAAUUGUAUUGGGAGAAUUAAGGAAACAUCAAUUGUACGCCAAAUUUAGCAAAUGUGAAUUUUGGCUAAGACAAGUUGGUUUUCUAGGCCAUAUAUUGACCCAAGAAGGCGUGGCCGUAGACCCAGAAAAAAUCAAAGCCAUACUUGACUGGAAACCACCAGCCAGCGUAACAGAUGUACGGAGUUUCCUAGGAAUGGCUGGAUAUUACCGAAGGUUUAUUGAAGGAUUCUCCACUGUGGCAAAGCCAAUGACACAGUUGUUCAAGAAAGACAAGAAAUUUGUAUGGACUGAAGCGUGCGAGAAAAGCUUCCAAGAACUCAAAAAGAAACUAACAACAGCACCGGUUUUGGUUGUGCCGGACAUACACAAGAGUUUUGAAGUGUAUUGUGACGCAUCCCGGAAGGGCCUCGGGUGCGUAUUGAUGCAGGACGGCAAAGUUGUCGCAUAUGCUUCCAGGCAACUAUGGAAACAUGAAGACAAUUAUCCUACUCAUGACUUGGAGCUAGCAGCAGUCAUCCAUGCACUCAAAGAGUGGAGGCACUUUCUGCUGGGAAAUCGUUGUGAAAUAUAUACGGACCAUAAAAGCCUUAAAUAUAUUUUCACACAACCAGAACUCAAUUUACGACAACGACGCUGGUUGGAAUUAGUCAAGGACUAUGAUGUCGGCAUUCACUACCAUCCAGGGAAAGCAAAUGUAGUGGCAGAUGCUCUUAGUCGGAACCCCAGCUCGGGCAACGACAGUCCACAGAACUUGAGGCUUGAGUUUCAGCAGGAGUUCGCUAAACUCAACAUGGUGAUAGUCUUUGAGGGCAACGUAUCAAAUCUAGAGAUACAGCCCACCCUAAUGGAACAAAUUAAGAAGGCUCAGCAUGGACAUCCCAGCAUCGAAGGUAUAAAGAGAAAAAUGAGCCUUGGCAAGGCUUCAGAGUUCGUCAUAGACAAUGAGGGAGUAUUAUGGUACGGGGACAGACUUUGCGUACCAAAUAUUGAGGACCUCAAACAGCAAAUCCUAACCGAAAGCCACACCGCCCCAUAUUCAAUCCACCCUGGAGGAACCAAAAUGUACAAAGACAUUCAGGAAAGGUUUUGGUGGCACGGCACGAAGAGGGAUAUAGCCACAUUCAUUGCUUGUUGUGAUUCGUGUCAGUGCAUUAAAGCUGAGCAUCAAAAACCAGCAGGGCUGCUACAGCCAAACAGGAUACCUGAGUGGAAAUGGGACGAAAUUGGAAUGGAUUUUAUCAUCGGACUACCUCGAUCACAACGCGGAAAUGAUGCCAUAUGGUUCAUCACAGAUAGGCUAACCAAGGUAGCACAUUUCAUUCCCAUGAAGACGACCUACUCCACUCAGAGGCUUGCUAAGCUUUAUCUCUCCCGUAUAGUUUGCCUGCAUGGAGUCCCAAAGACUAUAAUAUCCGACCGAGGCACUCAAUUUGUCUCUAAAUUUUGGGAUCACUUACAACAAGCUCUGGGCACGCAACUAGCAUUCAGUACAGCGUACCACCCCCAGACUGAUGGACAAACGGAACGCGUGAACCAAAUCCUAGAAGACAUGCUGAGAGCCUGUGUUCUCACCUAUGGAUCCAGUUGGUAAAAAAGCUUGCCGUAUGCCGAGUUCGCAUACAACAACAGUUACCAAGCCAGCCUACAAAUGGCACCUUUUGAAGCAUUGUACGGACGGAGAUGUUGUACCCCAUUAAAUUGGUCAGAAACAGGUGACAGUCGUAUCUUCGGCCCAGACAUGCUCAAGGAAGCCGAGGAGAAAGUUAAACAGAUCAGGGACAGACUCAAGACAGCUCAAAGCCGACAAAAGAGCUAUUACGGUCGAAAACAUCGUGAGGUCAGCUUUGAACCCGGUGAAUAUGUAUACCUACGAGUGUCUCCUAUGAGGGGCCUGCAACGGUUCAAAAUUAAAGGAAAGCUAGCCCCAAGAUUUAUUGGACCCUUCUGUAUAGUUGCACGAAGAGGCACAGUAGCCUACCAGCUAGACCUACCCAAAGAGCUGUCGGACGUCCACGACGUGUUCCACGUCUCACAGUUGAGGAGAUGUGUGAGCAACCCGGAAAAGCACGUAUCUCAUUGGAGCAUUGAGGUGCAACCAGACCUCACCUACAGAGAGCGGCCAGUAAAAAUAUUGGAAGAAUCUGAAAGAAGAACCCGUCAGAAAACAAUUAAAUUUUUCAAGGUUCAGUGGAGAUUUCACACAGAGGAUGAAGCGACAUGGGAAAGAGAGGAUUUUCUUCAGGCAGAGUACCCACAUCUAUUUGAGGAUCAGCUGAAAUGUCGGGGACGAGAUUUUUCCUAAGGGGGUAGGUGUUGUGACACCCAAAAAUUUUAUUUGGCUUUAUCAAACUUUUAUUUGAUUUGAGGGAGGUUAUUUAAAAAAUUUCUUCUAAAGGACUCUCCUUCUCAAAAACCUUCUUUUUAUGACAAGUAUUUUGCUUGGUUUCAUCCAAGACUUGAUCUUUGGUCUUGGAGGUUUUUCAUCUUGUGUUGACUCAACACCAAUGUUUUUCAUUGAAAAAGUUUUUGAAAAUCUUUUCUUUUUAAAAUAGCCCUAUGGCUUAUGGAGUGAUCCUUUCCCCUUUCAAAAUCUCCUCUUGCCAUGACCUAAGUUGAAAACUCUUUCCAAAGGCCAUCCCCCUACCUUGUGUCAAGAUAAACUUCAAAUCCAGCAAGUUGAACUCCCCCAUGAUUUUGUUUCCAUUUAUUUCUUAUUAAAAACUUUUUCUGUCCUCUAUUUUGACCCUUGGAGAUUUACAAAGGAACUACCAUUUCUCCUUUGAGUUUUGCCUCCAAACAAAUUUCCCUGGCUAGUCCUUAGAGCCCUCAACCAAGAUCCAUGAAGAUCCACUGGUCUCCAGUUCAAAAAUUUCAAAUUGUGCUUGCUGCAAGUUUGGACCAUAUUUGUCAAAUUUGAUGAAAUCCAUUUGUUUUCUCCUCCUAAAAAUCUGAGAAAAUUCAGGCAGCCUCUGGAUGCAUCGAGAGGUCACCUCACCAAGCCCCAGCUCCAGAAAAAAAAAUUCCUCAUGCCAAGUCAUAUCAUCAAACACCUGGCGUGCACUGUUACUAUCGAAGUUCAGAAAAUUCAGAGAUACAGUUUCAGAAGCCGCUGUCGUUUUCUUCAGAACCUCUCCUUGAUCUUUCCAGUAGCUGCAGUGGCAUCUUGCGCCCUGUGCCUCCUUCUUAUCCCUGUGCCGCACGAUCGCCUGGAAGCUUGCGGGCGUCGGCGACGAGCUGGCAGAGGUGCGCCUCCCCGUGAGUGGCAGCAGCAGCGCCCAUUGCGGCUGCCAGAGAGGCGCAGCGUUGGACGGCGCCGCCCAAGCCACCAGAGGCCACCGCGUGGCCGUCCACUCACAUGUGCACGCUGCAGGGCCGUCGUCGUGAACUGGAAGGCGCGGAGCACGCUCCCUGCCACCGUCGUGCCCGUACGGCCGUUCCGUCGAGGGCCAGUGUAUUACGCAAGCCCGACCGAGGUUUGAGCAGAGAAACGGUAUCAGUGAUCCACCACGAUGAUGCCUAGCCACCUAAACCCCCUGCCCAACCUCUGCCUCGCCGUAAUUUCUCGCCGGCUUAUCCCGUUCACGGCCACCCCCUCGGAUCGCCUAUAAAAGGAGGUCCCGAGCUCGAACUCGAACCCGCACCAUCUCUACACACCACUAGUACCACGACAAGCCACUGGGCAGACCCCGAGGGAGUCUUCUUCCCCAACUCCGGCCGCCUCGACCCGCUUCGGGAUCCAGCACGAUUCACUCCCGUGCGUGCACCCCUGCCUCUCAGCUCAUGCCAGUAGUCUCCUAGUGCAUCCACAUCUCUGACCCGCGCAUCAAUUUGAAGUUUGCAGCACCCACCGGAGAGCUCCACCCUCGCCCGAACCACCGUCCGCCGGAGAUAGGGUCGUCGUCGACGUGGUGCUCACCGACGGUCAAGUCCACCACCCACCGACGCGGAAGAACACCCUGAACCCGUAGGUACCCUCCGAUCACCCUGCCUCGCCGUGGAUCAACGCCGGCGACCACCGCAGCCUUCGGGCGCCGGCGAGCUCUGUUCAGAGUUUAAACCUGACGGGUGGGGCCCCCCCGUCAGCCUCUCUUUCCUUUCCCUUCGAACCGUUUUCUGAAGGCGCCUUCGGGCAAAGUGUGUUUUCUCUCUGGGCUAACGUAUUUCUUACCGAAGCGUUUUCUGCUUUUUCAAACGAGUCCCUGGAUCUUUUCUGUUUCAUCACAGAUUAGUCCUUGGACUAAAACCCUUAUAUCUUUUAAACAAAGGAUUCUUUUUGAUUGAUUCUUUUUCUGUCAGUCUUAUAUUUUUGUCUAGUUUUUUAUAGUAUUUAUUUGGAAAAAAUUUGGAACAAUUUUUAUACACGCAACGGUUUUCACGUUAGUAUACGGUUUCGUUAUACCGUAGGUUCCGGAGGAGGUGACGGAGCCGCGAACUUCACCGAGCUAGACUCCGACUUCUCCGAAUCAAGCAAGCAUGUUUGAACCUUUGAUAUGAUGGGUGUUUUGCAUGUUUGCUUGAUUAGUUUGUGCAUGCAAUAUGGGCAUCGGUAAGUGUUUUGUUGCAAGCAAGGCAACUAACCGUGUGCUUCGAAGUUUACUGUGAUCUCUUGAUGAGAGAUGACCUGAUCAUGUGGUGACAUGAGAGGUAGUAAGAUGGUAUUGUUGUAGCAUGCCAAUCUUAUGUCAACCGUUAAACUCCGACGUUAACAUGGACCGAGCCACGUUACCGUUCGUCUCCUUUUCGUACUGCCACAUGUUUUCUGCAGAGAAUACGGUUUAGUAAGUUGCUAACCUCUUUCCUUGUACACACCAAAUAGAGGGGCCGGGAUGAGGGUUCCAUGGCCCUGGAUUAAAGCCAGUCAUCCGGUCAGGGGGCAUGGGUGUUUCCGGUUGGGACCGAGAGGGGGGCACCCCUUAGAGCGCGCGAUAUAAAUUUGAUCCCAUGCUACGCGAGGUUGUAGCCUCCCUGUCUCAAAGUUUUUCUUGAACGUUGCUUGGGGUGAUUCCUGGCAUCGGAAUGUGGAAUGGGUGUGUACUGGUUAGACGUGUUUCUCCUAAAAUACCGUAAACGGAACUAGUCCUUUGUGACUACUGAAAUCCGUUGGCUGUGGUUAAGAGUACAAACUCUGCAGAGUCAAAACCUUCCGAGUCAUCGUGUCCAUGGUCAAGACCGUGGCCAGCAUAUCCAUAUCCAUGUCAGUCCCUGUGUCAGUCUCCGUGGAAAUCCCCGGUAAACAGCUUGAGUGGUAAACCCGGUUGAAUGUUAUUCCUGUGGAUGGACUAACCAUUUUAUUAUUUCGUACCUGAAUAUUCCCUUGAAAUGAUUUAAAUUCAUGAGCUACUGAAAUAUCAAGUUAUGAGAUAUAAGCCCUUUAUGUGAUGUCGCUCAGACGUCCGACUGUGGCACUCUUGUCAUUUACUUUUGAUAUAAGCCCUUUAUGUGAUGUCGCUCAGACGUCCGACUGUGGCACUCUNNNNNNNNNNNNNNNNNNNNNNNNNNNNNNNNNNNNNNNNNNNNNNNNNNNNNNNNNNNNNNNNNNNNNNNNNNNNNNNNNNNNNNNNNNNNNNNNNNNNNNNNNNNNNNNNNNNNNNNNNNNNNNNNNNNNNNNNNNNNNNNNNNNNNNNNNNNNNNUGUGGCACUCUUGUCAUUUACUUUGAUAUAAGCCCUUUAUGUGAUGUCGCUCAGACGUCCGACUGUGGCACUCUUGUCAUUUACUUUUGAUAUAAGCCCUUUAUGUGAUGUCGCUCAGACGUCCGACUGUGGCACUCUCGUUAUUUACUAUUGAUAUAAGCCCUUUACGUGAUGUCACUCAGACGUCCGACUGUGGCACGCACUGUCCUUUAUAUUCCAUUAUAAGCCCUUUUUGUGGUGUCGCCCUGACGCCCGACUGCGACAUUGUUAAUUUAUUUGUAUCCUUUCGAGGAGCCAUUCAGACACUCGAUUGGCCUUCAGUAUUACAUUGGGAUUUCGGGAGGACUACUGCCCGACUUCCUUUUUACUUUCCGUGCAUUGCUAUUUUAUUAUCUGAGUGCGCAUCAUUAAUCUGUUCAUAUGCAUCAUGUUUGCAUUUGUUAUAUCUUAUGUCCAAACUGUCUUGCGAGUACUUUCAUAGUACUCACCUGGCUUGUUGAUUUGGCCAGAUGUUGACGAAGGCGAUCUCAUGGAUGAAGAGUUUGAUAGCGAGUCCGACGCCUAGAGGAGUCCCAGUCAGUCCCGUGCGAUCCUGGAUUUUGGUCACUUGUAUUAUAUAUGCUUCCGCCACCCACAAUAAGAGUCCUCGAGCCUCACUCCGACGCUCGAUGAGCUGUAAGAUUUAGGAGUCAUGUCACCCACUUCACUGUGACAUAUCCACCCCCACUUUUAUUACGAGUCAGUAGUUAUGCCACCAUACCCUUUGUGUCAUAUCCGCCUUUAUGUUUAAUAUCGGCAUGCUUGUAAUAAAUUGUUGAGCAGUCUCCGCUCAACCUUGUAUUAUAUUUAGUACUCCAGGAUACUUCUGUAAUCAAGAAAUUGUCUACCAGUGAGAAGGAUUCUUCUCUACUGGUCCGUAAAAGGGAUCGGUUUCUCAAUAAAUGUUUUAUUGGAAAAUCGGUCGUGACAUGCAGUCCCCGUGCCACCUGCCGAAGUCCCCGGGCCGGCUACUGCAGCCCCCGAGUCGGAUCCGACUGCUUCGGGAGCAGCCGGCACGAAGAUGGACUCGGAUUCUGAAGAAGGCUUGAUAGACGGCUUGCGGAGGCACUGAAGGGAAACGCCGGCUGGUAUUGCUUGACGGGUGGAGCCGAUCCGUGCCAGGGUAUCAGCUGGCUCAUUUUUGUUCCGUGGCACAUGAAGGAACUCACACCCUUCAAAAUAUCCGCUGAGUUGCUGAACGAGGAAGCGGUAACUUGCCAUGUUUGCAUUCUUGGUGUCCCAGUCACCAGACGACUGUUGGACCACCAAGUCGGAGUCGCCAUAGCGCAGGAUCCGGCGGAUGCCGAUCUCUUUGGCCAGCCGGAGGCUGUGUACUAGCGCCUCAUACUCGGCCACGUUGUUGCAGGCGGCGAAGUGGAUUUGCAAUGUGUAUCUGAGCUUGUCGCCUUUGGGAGAGGUGAGGACAACGCCGACCACCAAGCCGGUGCGCAUCUUCGAGCCAUCAAAGUGCAUCCGCCAAUGAGUGGAGUCCGGAGCUGGCGACAGGUACUGGGUCUCGACCCAGUCGACGAGGAAGUCGGCCAGUGCUUGGGACUUGAUGGCGGUGCGUGGCUAGUAGAAGAUGGUGUAAGGGGCCAGCUCGAUGGCCCAUUUGGCCACCCGGCCUGAUGCAUCUCUGUUGCCUAUGAUCUCAGCAAGUGGGGCAGUGCAGACAACCAUGAUUGGAUGCUCUUGAAAGUAAGGUUUCAGCUUCUUGGCAGCAAAGUGCACGCCGUAGCACAUCUUCUGGUAGUGGGGGUAGUUCUGCUUCGAGGUUGACAGCACCUCGCUCAAAUAAUACACAGGCCUCUGGACCGGCUGUGCUCUGCCGGCCUCUAGGUGCUCUACUACAAUGAUAGUGCUGACCACCCGGCUGGUGGCGGCGAUGUAAAGGUACAUGGCUCUUUAGCAAUCGGGGCCGCCAGGACAGGCGGCGUGGUCAACAUCUUCUUCAAUUGGAGAAAAGCCUCGUCCGCUUUGUCACCUCAAAGUGAGUGGUUUUCUUCAUGAGCUGGUACAGGGGAAGGGCCUUCUCGCCCAGCCGACUGAUGAAGCGGCUGAUGGAUGCCAAGCGGCUGGUGAACUUCUGGACGUCUCUCAGUCGGGUGAGUCUCUGCAUCCUCUCGAUGGCCUUGAUCUUCAUAGGGUUGCACUCAAUGUCGCUUUCAGAGACCAAGAAGCCAAGGAGCUGGCCGGCUGGUACUCCGAACAGGCACUUCUCUGGGUUGAGCUUGAUUUGAAAACGGCGCAGAUUGUCAAAGGUUUCCUUGAGAUCUUCCAAAAGGGUAACGCGCUUCUCCGUCUUCACCACAAUAUCGUCUGCAUAGACGUGGGCAUUUCUGCCAAGUUGCUUGAGGAGGCACUUCUGCAUGCAACGCUGAAAUGUGGCACUGGCAUUUCUCAAGCCGAAUGUCAUGGUCAGGUAGCAGAAGGCUCCGAAUGGUGUGAUGAAGGCGGUCUUCAGGCGGUCGGCAGGGUUCAACUUGAUCUGGUGGUAACCUGAGUAAGCAUCCAAAAAACUCAACAGCUCGCAUCUGGCUGUGGAGUCUAUCACUUGGUCAAUCUGAGGCAAAGCAAACGGAUCCUUAGGGCAGGCUUUGUUGAGACUGGUGUAAUCAAUGCACAUGCGCCACUUGUUGUUCUUCUUCAGUACGAGGAAUGGGUUGGCAAGCCAUUCUGGGAAGAAAACUUCCAUAAUGAAGUCGGCUGCCAACAGGCGGGCGAUCUCUUCACCCACAAUUCUUCUCUUCACUUCUGACAGUCGGCGGAGGGGUUGCUUGACUGGUUUGGCAUCUGCUCUGACAUGUAGCUUGUGCUCGGCGAAAUCUGUCAGAACACCCGACAUGUCUUUUGGAGACCAUGCGAAGAUGUCGCGAUUCUCACGGAGGAAAUCGACGAGCUCGCUUUCCUAUUUGCUAUCGAGGUUGGUACCUACGAUAGCGUGCCUCUCCGGGUGCUCUGGGUCCAAAGGGAUCUUCUUUGUUUCUUUGGCCGGCUGGAAGGAGCCCUGGGUCUCCGACUCUUUGGGCUCUGGUGACAUGUCCGGCUGCUUGCUGGCCAUGGCCACCACCCGGUCCAGGAGCUUCUUGUCAGCGGCAAUCACAAGGGACUCGGCCAUCCGGCUGCUGGCUGCAGCACAGGCAGACGACUCCUCGUAGUCCCCGGCUAUCGUGAUAAUACCCUUGGUUUCGGGCAUCUUCAGCUUGAGGUAGGCAUAAUGAGGCACCGCCAUGAACUUGGCUAGAGCUGGCCGGCCUAGGAGAACAUGACAAGGGCUCUUCAGGUCAACCACCUCAAACCAAAUUGCUUCUUGGCGGAAGUGGUUCUUGUCUCCGAAGAGGACAUCUAUCUUGAUCUUGCUGAUUGGUGAGCAGGAAAGGCCGGGCACAGUCUCAUGAAACAUAGUCCGACUGGGUAGUAGUUGCUUCUCUUUGAUGCUCAACUUCUCCAUGGUAUCACGGUAAAGGAUGUUGAUGCUGCUACCGCCGUCUAUCAGAAUCCGGGAGAAACGAGCAGCUCGCCUCUCUGUAGCAAGGGUGGCAUCCAAUACCAGGCCAUAGGAACCCGGAGAAGGCAUCACUUCCGGGUGGUCUGCACGGCUCCAACUGGUAGGCUUCUCAGACCAGUGCAUGAACUCUGGGGCAGUUGAGGCAACGGCAUUCACUUCACGGUGCUGCUAACGUCGGCCGCGCCUAUCAACAGCCACACUGGUGAAGACGACAUAGCCUUCAUGUUCUUCAGGGAAUUCGUCUUGGAUUCCGCCGACUGCUGGACGGGCGGGCGACUGCUGAGGAGGCGGAGCCGGCGGGCCAACGGGCGAAGGAGGCAGUCCUUCUCCCUUGGCAAUGCGAACGAGCCAGUGGCACUUCCGGGUUGUAUGGUUGGACGGCUUCGCACCACUGUGCAACUUGCAGGGAGCAUCAAGGGUCUACUCAAAGGAGAAAGCGGGCAACCAAGCCGGCUUGCCGCCCUUCUGACGCUUGGGGCCGGGUUGUCCUUCAGGCUGCUGGCCUUCGACUGUUGCCACCCGCCAGCUGGUGGAAGCCGGCUGCGGGGCUUUGCCCUUGUUGUCGUUCGGCUGCUGGCGCCGACUGUUGUCUCCAGCUGGCGUUCGAGGAGCCGGAGGGAGCACCUUCCCAGAAGCAUCCACUCGGAGUUCUGACUUCAUGGAGGAGUCGGCAGUGGCGUACUUGUCUGCUAUGAUCAGCAACUCGUCGAGUGUGGCCGGCUCGUCGCAGAGGAGUCGGUGCUUGAGUAAGGUACCCUCUCGGCACCCGACAGUGAAGUAAUCUAUGGCCUGCACCUCGUGCACCCCUUCGCAGGAGUUGCGCAGUUUAGCCCACCGCGUCAAGUAGUCGCGGGUGGACUCGUCAGGGCCUUGAACGCACAACGAGAGCUGGCGGGGCUUGGGCGGCCGCUUGUAGGUGCUAGUGAAGUUGCGAACGAAGACUUUAGUUAAAUCUACCCAACUGUUGAUGAUGUCGGGCUUCAGGCUGUUCAACCACGUUCGGGCCGUGCCCUGGAGCAUGAGCGGAACGUACUUCACAGCAACACGCUUGUUGCCGUUUGCUAUGUUGACGGCUGUGGAGUAGUCAACCAGCCAAUCUUCCGUCUUCACGGAGCCGUUAUACUUGGGCGUGUCUCUUGGGAGCGAGAACCCUUUGGGGAAGGCUCGUCGCCGAUGCGGGGGCUAAACAAGGCGGGCCCAUUGCGUCUUCUUCUCCUAGUGUCAGGGAUCGAGCAAGGCGGUCGAUCUGAUUGCGUGCAUCAUUCUCUCCGACUCCUUCUCGGCGGCCCAGCCGGUUGCCGAGUGUCAGGUGCUCAACAGGCGGCGGGGAGGCGCGCCUCUCCCCGCGAGGAGGAGGAGAAGGAGGCGGAUAGUCAUCCCGUCGUUCCACUGCUCGUGGGCAGCCGUCUUGAUCGCGCUCGAUGGUGAGGCGUGUGCGGCUGCGGCUAGCAGCCGGCUCUCGGUCUCGUCUGUCGCGGAUGCCACCAGUCGGCGUUCGGGAGGUCACGCCUUGCUCUCGGCGAGGGGGAAGGUUCUCAACCCGCUGGUCGGGUUCUUCUACGCGGCAGCCGGCCUCUUGUUGUGCGGCAGCCGCGUCGAGGAGCUGCUGGACGCGCUCCGCCAUGCAGCGUCGCUCGUCACCCUCCAGGUGAUCCAUCUCGUCUGCUACCGCCUGGGUAGCUCGUAUGUUCUCCACGGGCGUGGCGUAAACAGGGCAGUCUACCCCAAACAUGCUGGCGACGGCAGCACCACGCUGUCGGACCGUGCCUACGUGGCUGGGCCCGCCAGCAGCCGGCGUGCCGCCAACAGCGCGGUCGAUCUCGCGCUGGUAGGCCUCGGAGAGGCGUCUCAUGGUAGCCAACUUCUUGGCGUUCUCGACGAGCGAGACGCGGUGGGCUUCUAGCGUCUCGGCAUCGGCGUCUGCCGCGAUGGGAGUGGACAGGUCCCGCAUCGCCGCCUGCAAUGGGUCUUGGGCAGCCCCACCAGAGGCUCUGUCGUGGCUGAUGACGAGCACCUCCGUGACGGUGCUGCCGACGCUGUCGGCGCGAGGGAGUGGGUCGUCGAUGAUCACCACAUUGGUGGGGAAGGCGUCAAGGGAUGCCGUGUCGGAGUCGACAAGCAUCGGGUCGGUGGAGCCGAUCGACUCUAGGUCAGAGGCCGGCUCAUUGGCGAUGUCAAGCUUGUCAAGGAGGUCGACGAGGCAGCUCUCGGAGCUGGCUGCUCCUGCGUCGGGCGCGGGCUCUUCAGAGAGGCGGAUCUCGCCGAUGAGGUCAGCGAGACAGCUCGCCGCGCAGGCGAGCUCAACGCCAUGCAUCGCGUCGGCGCAAACGCCAUCGGGCGUGUCGGGCUGGCUGCGCUCGCUAGGGAGGAACAAGGUUCCCGUCCAGAACAGAUCUCCGGACGACGGUGCACCUAAACCCACGGUGGGCGCCAAAUGUCGGGGGUGUCGUGCGACAUAUGCCAAAGGAUGGCUUAUCAUGGUGGGGGAUAGUAAGACGUCGCCCGUGCCAGGAAACGGGAUGAGGCGUAGACACGUACACCGGCGAACUUUACCCAGGUUCGGGGCUCUCCUAGGAGAUAACACCCCUAGUCCUGCUCUACGGGGUCUCCGCAUGAUCACUAUCUCCACAAGGGUGGCUACAAGCUUGCUCCUUGAGCUGUCUCUCUAGAGGAGGAAGAAGAACAAGGCUAGCCCUAGCUUCACUCUCUCUAUGUGUGUGUGUAAUCUCUAUGAGGCUGAACCCUUUGCAUGGGUGCCCCGGGGGGUUUAUAUAGGCCUACCCCCCAGGGGUACAUUGGUAAUCUAGCCGGGUGUAGGACCCGACUGUCAGUUUCUACGGUCGCUGGCUUCUUCGUCGGCCACUCGGGCCCGCUGCCUGGUGGGUCCCGCCGGCUGUCUCGUACUUCAUCGACAGGCCGCGCCCGCCGCUUGCGGGUCCUGCCGGCUGCUUAGUACUGUGGCAAUGCCACUGAUGAUGUGUGCUUUGUCGGGGAGUGCGUGGCUACAGUCCCGCCGCCUGGCGGGCGAUCACUGUAGCCAUUCCCCGUCUCUUUCGAUUAAUUGUGCACAGACUUUGAGGGAGGGGGAGGGCCGCCUGGUAGGGAGCUGGCCUCCCCUGUGCCGACUGGUCAGGAGUCGGUCUCUCACGGACAGGUAGGGCCCGCCGCCUGCGAGCCGUACCGACAGUCCGUAGUGGGAGCAUGGCCUCCUCUUCCAUGGGUGAUGUCAUGGGCUGCGUGGCAAAAGUGUCACGCCGGGCGAGGGAUGUCCCGCCCAAUACGCUGCACUGUGGCCACGCUCCGCCCUGGAUUCGGGGGUGGCAGGCUGCAGUGUAGCCACGCCCCAUCUCGUCGUUAUAAUGUGGUGCAAACUUCAAGGGAACGGAGGGGGGCGCCCGCUAGGAGCCGACCUCUCUGGAGGCCGCUUGCUAGGAGUCGGCCCGUCUCAUGGCUCUCUUCUAAGGACGGCCCUCUAGCAGCCGGCCGCUUGGACCAGCCGGCCCCAAGAAGGCGGCUCUUCGUCCUUGAGGCUUGAGGGGUGCAGCCGGCCCCGAUGUCUUGAAUCGCCAUGGGGAGCAGAUGAGGCUACCAGUUGUCAUUUACUCCGACAAUGAGUCAAGACUCCGAUUGGUCCAUGUCCUUUCUUUCCACGCAUGGCAUCCCAUCUGUGUUGUCACGUAUCCCCCUUCCCACCCGUGCCGACGGUGGCCUAAGUGCUCACAUAAUGACAAUGCGUUUGAAUGUUGUCAAUCCUAAGGCAUCUCUCUUGUGACAUAAGAUGAGAAAUCUACUUUUUUCUGUGAGGUUUUGGCGAGGCACCUUAGUUAUAGAUGGUUUUUUCGUCUCCAAUCCGGAUUUUACUAAGGUGUUCAUUUUCAAUAUGGAUCUGUACCAGUAUGAAAAAAAAACGGAUCAUGCACUAUUGAUUAAGGUUGCACCCGAAAAAGAAUUUUUAACAGGUAAAAUAACAUUGUAUUAAAAUUAUACACAUUUUUGUAAUGAAAUUCCAUACAUGACAAGUUAAAUUUGGAAUUAGAGUUUAAAAGACAUAGAUAUUUUAAAAAGCAUUUAAUAUGUAUUGCAGGUUGAUUAACCUAAUUAUCUUAGGGUUUCCAGCAAAGACGAGAAUCUGACUUAAAACUAACCUGCAGGUUUAUUACCAGAAACAUCUGCGGGUUUUCUGUAAAAGCGAAAAUUGAAAUUAAAACUAGACCAUGGAUUGAUUAUCAGAUAAAUCAGACGAUUUUCUGCGAAAUAGCAUGACGAACCAAGAUAAAUUUAUUUAUUAUCGGGUAGUAGAUAAAAAUAGAUUCCAGAUAAAUACUCCUAUCUGCAAAACUCAUGCUAAAAUUUCUACGCAGGAGAUAAUACCUUCGUCUUCCAUGCACGAAACCCUCGCCUAGAUCUAGAAGGAGACCGGCACAUGCUAUCUGGAAGGAAGACCGAGGUCCAGGUUGUGGACGAAGGUACGAGCGGCAUUCCAUUGCGCGGCUACACGAGCCAGAGAGUCAAAGGUUGCUCCAGCAUGAGCCACAACUAACUGUGAAGAGGUCAGCACUCAGCAGGCCACCAACCCAAGCCCGGCCGCGUAUGACCAGGUACCUACUAGUAGUGCAGUAGUAUAAUACUAGUACUGGCUUUUGUUCAAACGCACAUGACUACUCAACCCCAAAAUCCAAUAUCCAAAUGCCAUUCCACCAACCCAUCUCGCUGGGCGCUUGGUUGUAUAUAAAGCGCGCGGCAGCACAAGCACAGCAGCAACCCCAGCCCCCGCUAAGCAUCAGCCUUCUACCUCCUCUGCUUUGCAUUCCUCCUUCCGGUUCCAGCCGCAAUCAAUGGCUGCCAUGAAGAUCACCCUCCUCGCCGUGGCCGCGAUGGCCGUCUUACUAGGCACCGCGUCAGCGGUAACCUACAACGUCGGCGAUCAGGGCGGUUGGACCCUUAGCACCGACUACAGCAGCUGGGUGUCCGGCAAGAAGUUCAACGUGGGUGAUGACAUCGUCUUCAAGUACUCGACCCCGGCGCACAACUUGGUCGAGGUCAGCAAGGCCGGCUACGACUCCUGCAGCACCGACGGCGCCAUCAACACCUUGGCCUCGGGCAACGACGUCAUCACCCUCAACGCCACCGGCACCCGAUACUUCAUCUGUGGCGUCCCUAGCCAUUGCAGCCCCACCGCCGCCGCCAGCAUGAAGGUCGUGAUCGACGUCGCCUCGGGCUCCUCCUCGCCGUCGUCACCCAUGCCAGCUGC